rnacentral:lncRNA from 1 species
ACUAUUUCUCCCGAUGAUAGAAGUUUAUAAGUAACUAUCAAUAUCUAAUAUUAAUAUAAUCUAAAAAAUUUGAACAACUUUUGUCAUCUACAUAAACACAAAUAUAUAGAUAGUACUAUAGUGAUAUACAUAUAUACACGUGGCAUCAUGAUAUUUUGUUAAAUUUGUAAACAUUUUGAAAAAAUAUUGUUAUAAAUAAUAAUAAUUAAAAAAAAACUAUUACCAAAAAACAUCAAUUAACUUGUAAAAAGUAAUAAUAAAAAGAAAAAAAACUAUAACCAAAAAACAUAAAUUAACUUGUAAGAAGUUUGAACAAAUUUUGCUAUGUUUUUGUUUUUCAAAUAGUUGAAAACACGGCUUCAGUUAAUCUAUAUUUGAAAAUCAACUUAGGGAACAUUAGAAAAAAGAGAACUUUAGUAUCUAAGAGAUAAUAUCCUGGAUUAGAAAAAUAUAUGUAAAACAAACCACAAUAUUUUGUUUGAAAAAAGGGAGUGCAACCAUGAAAAAAACCCAAUAAAAACAAAUAGACCCCAAAACUACUUUUAGAAACAAAAAGGCAAAACCUAAAAAUCCUGAAACAUAAACACCAUAAAACUCUCCAGAAUUCCAUAGAAAUUUUAAGAGAGGAAAAAAAAAAAGAGAAAUAAUGUAUAUUUUUCUAAAACCUCAUAGGUUUUUCUUCUUGGCAAAAUUGUUUGAAUGGAGAGUUUCAUCCAGCCUUAGUACAUUACUUUUAACAUCUUCCCGUUUAAAGCACAUAGUUACCGGUAACCCCUGUCGUCAGAUGUCGAUCGCUUUCGUGCAGAUGAAACUCAUCAUGUAUGGAAUCUAGCUCUCUACUCCAUAAGCCUUGAUUACAAAGAAAAGAAAAAGUAGACUAUCAGCCAUGGAACCUGACAGAAUGAACAAACAAAGAUCGUUUCCAUACAAUAAUGUGAAGAACCCCACAACUUACCAAUCAAGGGCUACUGGAACAUUUUGCUAUAUGCCUUUCUUUCUUGAUUACGUCUGUCAGCAAUCUGCAUCCAUACAACACAAACCCAUCCGUUAACAACAUGUGUCGUUUCAACAUAAAGAAUUUACUUUGAUUACCUUUUUCCUCGCGGCAGCAAGCUCUUUCUUUAUGGCAGCUGAAACUCGAAAUAGUAGAAAGCGAUUAUCAAGUUCCAGAAACAAAAGGAUAUAUAGUACACAAGUUGAAUAUGGAUAGCUAUGGAGUGAGGUAAAUACACGGCUAGCACAAAGAAGAAUUGCACUAUUCCCAUGGUAAGUAUAUAGACAUCAGUACGAAAAAAAGUAAAACUCAUGUCCAGAAACAAACUUUUUCUUUUUUCCCUUAGUAAGUUGAUGAAUUAAUUUCAAGAUACAACGCUUUCCUACAAUAAAAGAUUAAACUAUACAAAAAUAGUCCUGAACUUUGCAUUUAGUUUUAAAAAAUACCUAUACCCUUUCACAAAUUACAAUACUAUUCUUAACCUUUCAUUAAGGUUUCAAAAGUUACAAUAAAAUGGGGGGUGGCAGUGACUUAGAACGAUUUUCUUCCAGGUCUCAAUUUUUGUUCUUCUCUCGAAAUUCUAAAUGAAGAUCUUUCUUCUCAAGACCAAGAAAAUGGGUCUGUGGUGAUCUAGACAACAUUUCAUGGCAAUACUCCAAUAAUAAUGAGAGGAAGUAGCCAACCCCCUCUUGGUUUUAAGUUGGGAUCUCUCCCAGAGUUUGACAACAUUGUCACUCCGAUUUCUCCACAACAUGCAUUAAUAAGAAAAUGGCAUCUCAAAUUUCAGACAACAGAGAAGCAAAUGAAUACCGAUGCACUCCAGUGAGAUUUUAGGUGAUUGGUUUUCAAAUUCUAAACACCUAUCUUCUACAUCCAAUCAUUUCAUCCACAAGAAUCUAGAUAUAUAAUACAAAGUACUUUGAAAUAUCUACUACAGUCUAAUAAAAAAAACCAUUACCAUCAUUUGGCUCCAAAUCUGAUGCCUUCUUGAAGCUUUCAACAGCAGAAUCAAUGUCAUUAAGAGCCAUGUGUGCCUGGAUGUGAAAUGAUUACCAUAAUCAGUUAGCUACAGAAAUAAGGGGGUGCAUUUGCAAGUAAGCAUGUAAAGGAGGCUAAUACACAGAAUUGUGAAUACAAAAAAUGGGAAACCAUGAAGCAAAAGAGAAGAAAAAGGCUGACUUGCAAAUAAAUUGACUUGUAGUAGCUUAUAAGCUAAUUUCCUUAGCAUCCGUUUCUAAAUCAAUGAAUGUAUGAGGAUACUUACGAACACUAACUAAUCUCACGAGACAACGGUCAAUGUCAAAUCCAUUUAAUUGUUAGGAAUCUAUGCAAAGUUAUAAAAUUAUUUUAUAGAAGAAACCAUGGAGAAGUGUAAGAAAAACCAAAAUAGAACCCUCCUUAAUUAUCCAAAUGACUUAGAUAAAAUUGAAAAGAAAAAUUGUGAAUUAACACAACCUAAAGAAAUUAAAAGAGAAAAUGACAAAGAAUCUAAUAUUAUCCUGGAAGGCAGAGCUCCAUCCAACCCUUUGAGACAUCACCAUCCUUUCCACAAGAAAUACCAACCUGACCUUGGCGAAACAAAGCCUUGACAUUGUCGUCUCCAUCACGCAUUGCAAAAUCAGUGUCUAACAAUGCUCCUUUUAGAUCCCCUAACUUUAAUUUACAAGCCUACAUCAACAAAAUAACCAGGUGAUCAUUAGACUGCCAAUAGUUAAGUAAAAUCUGCUGAAAAAUUCAAAAGGAAUAACAGAAUCACUUAUUACUUAUUAGUUAGGUGGUAAUUAAUGACAGUGAAAAUGGAUCGACCACUGCAAGCAAGGACAACCUCCAUACAAUUAAGAAGGAUGAUUGCCACUCCAACUAAAUAAUUCUUAAAAAGAUAAUGUGCAAAGCAUAGUACAUCAGCACAUAUAAUUUUUUUCAGAAAAGAGAGAUUUAGGCUUUAGGCUUUAGAUGAAAUAAACGGCAAAAGGUGAUUACAAUAGAUAUUUCCAAUUGAAAACUAAGUAAGAAAGACUUAAGUGUUAAAAAAGGUGUACAGUUCACUGGAACAUAUAACCAUCGAGCUGAAAGAGUGAUGCAUCAUUGCAAGAAAUCUGAAAUAUAUGCCCAUCGUAGCUAAGGAGCAUCCAAAGAUUCUUGAUUGUUUGAUGGCAUUAUUUAAGACCGUUCUUCACCUAAGUAUCUCCCUUCUGUGAACUAGGCUUUCCUCAAAGGUUCCAACACAACCAUUUAGCACUUGUCUAAAUUAAUAAAUUUCCUAUUUCAGGGACAUUUAAUUAUGUACAUUUUGUAAUUCAUUUAUAUGUGCUAAAAUCUGUUAGAACCAGAAUAUUCUACAGUAAAAAUAUUGAAAAAUUCCAACCACAGUUUAUAGUUCACAUUUCAAGGCAAAUUUACAUGGUUUUAGUAUCGUUGUAGAAGACCACAUUAUGUAUUUUAUUUUAGCAAACUUCAUUCACAAAUUUUUUUUUGAAGUUGCUCAUUUAUCUCUCUUUCUCAAUGAGAGCUCAAUUUCUCACUAACAGAAAAAUAUGUUUCUUACUGUCAUGCAAACCAACAGGGCUUUAAUCUGGUGUCGUGUUUGCAUAUGCAAACUGCUGUCUUUUUUCAUUCAGUCAUAGGCAACUUUUAGAAACAAGGGAUAUGUUUGGUGAAGAAUUGAAAUGACAAUCAGUCCAACCAAAAAAAUGAGAAAAUGGGAAUAAGGUUUCGAAGUAUUACAUUCACUUCAAUUAGUUUGGGUUGAGAAACACAAUUGAUAUUGUUUACUAAAUGUUCGGAGAAGCAAAUUUGAAUUGAUGCUAGGGCCUAGAAAAAGGUAAAACAAUAAAAGAACAAAGGACAAAUGGAAAACUUGGUGGAGAUGGGGAUAGAUGCAUGGAUCACCACCUCUCAAACGACUAUCAAAUAAGUUUAUCAACAUAUUUUAGAAGUACUGAAAUUCCACAAAUAACUCAACAAAGAAAAAGAAAUACAUUAACUAGGACACUUACCGAACUGUUUGUGAAUAUCUGUGAUUUAGUUUUUCUAAGAUAUGAACUCUUCUCUGCAGACUCAAAGGAAAAGACGAGGAGAAAUUGAGGGGAGGGGGGAGUCAGUGCAGUCAUUUAUACUUAAGAUAUUCAUAGUAAAAUAUCCUCUAGUUUCAUGAUACUACCAAGUACCAUUUAUGUCAAAGGAAAGAUGUACCUUCAUCAAUUCCUUCUUUUUCCCAGCAGAUAUCAAGGUAGCGUAAAGCCUUUCGAUACUUUCUGAGAGCCAUCUUGUAGUCUUGCUUCUGUAAGGAGACGUUAUGGGAGUAAAAGGAAAUCUAUCACUAGGUUUUAAUGAUAAGCUAACGAAAAAUCUGAACCCAAGGAUAUUCUUCUUUCCCAUUAGUACAAAGGACAAAAUUCUAUACAGCAGUUUUUUUUCAAAAUUAAAAAGAAAAAGGGAACAUUAACGUCAGAUGGAAUCUAGUGUCAAUACCUUGUAAUGCUCAUUGCCAAAAACCUUCACAGAAUCAACUGCCUUCACCCACCAUUCAAGAUCAUCAGAGCUCUGUUCUAGGUCAGUUGGCCAAUCAGGAAACGUAUCCCCAUCAUUGAAAAAGUUUGAAAUUCCAUCAUCUGCUCCCUCAGGAAUUUCUCCACAAUCCGAAAUAAUGACUUCAGCAAUAGGACAGGCAUUUUCACCAGUUGUAACAUGCUCAAUUGAACGAACAACACCCAUUCCUUUCAGAACCUUCCCAAAUACUACAUGUUUCCCAUCCAAAUGAGGAGUGCGAGUAGUUGUGAUAAAAAAUUGGGAGCCAUUGGAGUUGGGACCAGAAUUAGCCAUAGAUAACAUUCCUUUCCUUUCAUGUUUUACCUCAAAAUUUUCGUCAUCGAAUUUCUCGCCAUAUAUAGACUCUCCACCAGUACCAUCUCCAGCAGAAAUAUCUCCACCUUGUACCAUGAAUCCUUUUAUAACACGGUGGAAACAUGACCCCUGAACAAUUCAAAAUUCAAAUAAACACAUAAGCAUCCAUAUACCCAGAUCAUGGUAAUAAAUUCUAAACAAACAAGUGACACACUUUGCUUCAAUAGUGAAAAGGUGCAGUCAUUACUUAAGACCCUUUUCAUUACUUCACGGAAAAGUUCCAAAAGAUAAUCAAAAUGAAAAAACAUAAAAGAAUAUUACAAAGCCCACAGCCAAAACAAAGCCCUUGUCAAAUGUCUAUUAUUAACAUUUUUAAUCAACAAAAACACAACUAAUAGGAGACCUCGAGUAAAGUCCUCUGCUUUCAAAGAAGAGAAAACAAAAGAAAGAAGAAACAAAACUCCAAAUUUUGGAGACCCCUAUUUAUAUAUAUAUAUAUAAAAAAAAAAAAAAACUCAAUCCAAAUCCUUAAGGAACCCAUUGCUACCACAAUCGAAACAACCAAGCAAUAACAGUUAAAAUAUCAUCAAGUAAGUAGAAGAACGCGACUGUUUAUUUACUGAUCAAUAACAAAGACAUCAUCAUUCCACUGACACUCAGAAAGGAAAAGAAAUCCAACGUCUUACUAAAACAAACAAGUCGUACAAAAAAGGAAAGAGAAAAAAAAAAGCUAUAUACAUAAAUACAAAGAAACCCAGUUUGUAUUAUGCAUAUACGAAGUUCAAAACACCAUCGAUAUAAAGAACAAUGACCUUAAAAUGAAGGGGAACGCCGGUAUGGGGACCAAUACCCUUCUCGCCAGUGCAAAGAGCCCUGAAAUUCUCAGCUGUUUUAGGCACCACAUCAUCAUAAAGCUCCACAACAAUUCUUCCCUCCAGAUCACCUCCAAUACUAAUAUCCAAAAAGCAACGGAUCCUACCCAUUUCCUUCAAACUUUGAAUCUUAAGGCUCAACUAGCUUGACCCAGUAUGUAAAACGAGUUUCUAGAGUGUUCCAAGGGGUUCAAAACAGAGUGAAAACAGAAUGGGUGAAUCUGGGAGAACGUGAAAAUGAAGACAAAAAUCGAUGAACCCUAAAAAGGCCGGCCACUAUUUAUUUGGAAAUCUGUCACUCUCUUUCUCUUUCUUUGUGGUGGGACUGUGUCAGUGUUGAAAAUUUUGAAAAAAAAAAAAGAGUGGAUAGAGUUGGUUUAAGUAAGUGGGGUUUAGGGCAAUGAAAUGGAAAGGGAAAAAAAAAAGAAAAAGAUGGAAGGGAAGGUUGAAGGAACAGUUGAUUGUUCAGUUUCAGAAGAUAUGGCGAUGGGCCACUCCAAUUUUCAUUGUCGAUCCUCAUUGUUCCCUUUCGUCACCAUGUCUUCCACCUAACUCAAUUCAUCUCUCUGUUCUUUUCUAUCUUUUAACUUAAACUUUUCUGAUAAAAAUUGCUAAUUUUAAGUUCCUCAAAUCUUAGUAAUACUUAAGAGCCAUUUGAAUGGUUCAAUCUUUAUAUCACAACUUGUAUUAAAUAAUGAUGAUAAAUCAAUUUCAGUUUGUAUCAAUUUAAACUCUAUCUUACACCCAAGCUUUAUAUAGAUUAAUGUAAUUAGAGUUAUUUUGUCCCUUUGAGUUGACAUUAAAGUAUUAAAAGAUCACUUUGAUUAAAAUCAUUUAUAAAAUUAUUGUUCAGUCUUUGAAGAAAGCCUUAGAAAUUACAUUAUUCAAUGUGAUUUGAAGAUAGGAUGCAUUAGAAUAUUCAUGCGUGCGGUAGAUAGCUCCCAUUCUAUAAUUCAACCUUUUCUGAUGUAAGAAAUAAUAAAGUAGAAAAAAUAUAAUUUUGUACAAAUUUAAUUUUAGAAGGUUAAGUUUAACCUUGGAAAGAAAAUUAAAAAUGUCUUUAACUAUCAAAUAAUGAUUAAUUAAGUGGUGUAUAUAUCGAAGCAAAAAUCUUGAAAUUGCCAACAUAAGAGACCUAUAUGUAUCAAUGGAUAAAAAGUCUUGAAUGCAAAUCUCCACACCUCUACGUUUAUUACAACACAUGAAUCAACACAUGAACCACGUGCGUGCACCAAAUUGGAUUCAUACUUUCAUUACAAAGCUUAAAUUAAAUUUAAUACUUCUUCCUUAUUUUGUAGUGAAGAAAUUAUUGAAUUUUUAUUUUAGAAGAAUGUCAUAAAACUAACCUCCAAACAUAUAGACACGUGAGGAAGAUUUUUUUUAGUGAAACCAAAAACAGAAAUAUAGGUCUCUUAAAGUGUAGGAUUAAAUAGUUGUUUUUCCUAACAUUUUUGUAAGAACAUAUACACAAACCCCAAUGGAUUCAACCAUUUUUCAACAUUUUAAAAAGAAACAAUUCUUGUUCCCAAAAAAAAGUGUAAUCAAGAAGUGUUCAAGAUUGUGCCCAAUAAUUUUAUAAACUUAUCUAACAAAUCCAUAAAUUUUCAAUGGUGUGUCACAUAAUCAUAAACCAAAACCAUCCCCAAUCAAAUAUAAGAUUUUUUUCUUCUCAUUCUCACCAAUAAAAUAUAUUUUAAUUAUACAUUAUCACUUCACCUCUUUAAAUUCAAUGAAAACAAAUAACAAAUACUAAAAUGGGGUCAUAUUUAAAAUAAAUAAAUUUCGAGACUAUAGGUUUGAAUUUCAAUAAAAAUACAACUAAAAGAAAUAAAUAAUAAGUUUAAACUUGAAGAAAUGUGUGAUAAAUAUUUAAAUAAAGGAAAAUUUACAUUGUUCCAAACUUCUAACAUGAGUGAAAUUUUGCUACACUAUUCCCAACUUUCUAAAAAGGAUUCUAUUUUCCUACCUUUUACUCUUACAAAAGUGUUUGUGUUUCCUAGAGGCAAAGCCAAAAAAAUAGAAAAAUAAGCUUAAAGAAGAGUAAGCUGGAGCUUUGGUCUAUUUGGUUGGGGCUCCACAACCUCCAUGUGAAUUCUCACCGCUUGUAGAAUGUUGUAUGUGAUGCUUCCAUCUAACUUCUUGAUCUUUUGUUCUUGUUCAUCCACAAACCAUUCUCCACUCUGCUUCUCGCUUUUACCUGUCAAGUAAACCGGUCCUUCGAUACCAAAUCUGACAAAGGGGAAAGAAUGAAAACAGUGUACAUCAUCGAGUGGUUCACAAACAAAGCAAACAUGUUGUUCCAUCAUUACUGAACACCAUUUUAAUUUUAUAUCUGAGGAAGUCUAGAUCAACUUUAUCAACCAUAUCACCAGCUCCCUAUAAUUCUACGUCAACAGUCCAACAUAAUAACAUUUGAUGUUGGAAAACUCGUACAAUAUUUAAUAUCAUCUUAUGUGCAUAGUCACCCUUAUUCAGUUAUUUGAGUUCAUCUCAAACAUUUCAGAUCAAUCUAAGUAAAAGAUAGAGUUAAAGAUAUGCUAAUAUAAAACCAUAGGUUUGGGGAACAUACUUAGGAACAAAUACAAUAAAACCAUUUGAUCUUAUCUUCACUAUUCUGGCCUCCGUGUCCGUAGGCCUACACAUCAGAAAGAGAUGAAAUUACGGACACACAUCAAAAAGAGAUGAAAUGUCUUCGUUGGAUUAGACAAGAAAAAAGUGAACGUCAAAAUAUUUUAGUCAUGCACAAGAGUGACGAACAAGCUAAAGAUCAAAUACCGUUUUUUGAAGUAAAUUAGAGUAUGAAGCUCCACUGAAGCCCGGCCAGCCAUUUGGGCAUUUCUGUGUCGAUAAUUUAAGUCUAAAACAAUUUACAAGAGUCAGCAUAUAUAUAUAUGAUAUUUCUUUAAUAGAUUAGGAGUGCUUAUCAUCGUAACAAAUAACUAAGGUGCAGAGAGUAUUUCAUACUAUCUGCGAUUGUAGUGAGUUUCGGUCUGUCAAGGAAUAAUGUUGGGAGUUUGAAUAUUCCUAAAGAUGCAGCAAGCAAUCUGUGCACAAUGACAUCUGCAAUAAAAUAAUGGCUAAGGACACAAAAUAAUAGGACAACGUCACUAAACUGACAACACAAGGACCCCAAACCUGCGUAUCGUCGAAUAGGAGAGGUGAAAUGGGUAUACAGACGAGCUGCAAGCCCAUAAUGUUGAUAUUCUGGAGGACUGAGGUCUCCACUAUAGAAGUAAACUGCCUUCACUUGUACAAAAAAAGGAUUUCAGAAAUGUCCAUCAGCAAUUAAAUUAGAAAAAAAUUCAUAUUUAAGUGAAAUUACCUGUGUCAUACAUCUAGUAGCUAGUAUUCUGAUCAGCUUAUUGAAGUAUGGAUCAUCACCCUGAUAAUAUAUGAAUUUGUUCAAGUUAAACAAACAACAGAAGAGAAAAUGUUUAUCACAAUAUGGAUUUUGAAUUAAAUUCAGCAUAGCCACGAGCCAAGCAACAUUUGAAGACAAAUCUAAAAUUGUCCUACUCAGAUGCAAUAAUAUACCAAUGCACGAUCAAGAGAAUCAGCCAAAGCUUUGGAUGAUGAGACAUCCAAAUCAAGACCAACAGCUACAGCUGUGCGGAUCAAAGGUUCGAGCAUCUCUUUAGUAGGAGUAGGAUGGCGCCUGCAAAUAAAAAGAAAGGCCAGGAAGCAAUAGUUUAUUAUAACAAUCUUAUCAAUCAAUCAUUAGCCAUAAAAUUAGAUCAAAGAAGAAAAUUUGCAUCUUUUGAGAGAGAAACAAGAAAUAAGUCAUAUUAGGAUAUAGAUCGAAACUCCAGCUGAGAAAAAUGGCAGGAGAGCAGUUAAACUUCAUCCAAGAAUAUGAAAUCCUCAACUCUUCGACUGGUGUUGGACAAAUGGGCAAGUCAGAUUAGGCUUGCUUUUAAUUUGAAAACUAUAAAAACGAGUCUAUAUCCUAAUAUGACUAAUUUCUUGUUUCUCUCAAAAAGAUGCAAUUUUUCUUCUUUCAUCUAAUUUUGUGGCUAACGAUUGAAUGAAAGGCGAGUGCACUCAUACAAUAAAAGAUGAGAAGAAAAAGCUUAUGUGAUAGCUCUUGACCUUAAUAAUGAACACAGCGGGAAAUGUUUAAGAAUCUUUUCUGCUACCGAAACAUUUGCUGCAAGCAUAAACUCCUCAACCAUUUGGUUAGCUUCUCGAAUUUGAUACAUACCUGGAACAAAAGAUUUGAGAAGUUUUAAAGAAAGAAAAAGGGGAAAUCUUAGCACAUUAAUACACAACUAAUAAGGGAACGAAAAGUGAAUUUAGAUAUAUAAAAAAUGGAUGACAAGAACAUCUUUUUCAUAUUAUUAAUUUGACUGUUUGAAACAAAAUAUUUGUGUCUGAGGAUUCAACAAAUAAUCCUCGAACGAAAUCUAACAUCCAAACAUACCAAUAUCAAGAGGAUCAUGCGUCUCAGUGUCAAUUUGAAAUUUGACUUCAGCAGAAGCAAGAGUCAAAGCUCCUCUCUCAAUUCGUCUCAACCUCAUUUUCUGCGGGUACACAAGGUUGUGGGAUGUUAAAAACUAAGUCAGACUGAGGCAUAUUGAUGUAAUCUAAGUAACUCAAGGAGAAACCCUCCAAGAACCAAGAUUAUGGAUUUUUUAUUAGAAUGAAUAAUGUGUUUCAAACAAGAGGAGAAGACUCCUAUUUAUAGAGUUCUAUUACAAUUGAGGGUAAAAAGGGAAUUAACCUAGAAUAUUACCCAAUUAACCUUUAAUCUUCUUACCUCACAUAUCAAUCAGAUUAUUUAUAGAACAAAAGUACACAAAGCAUGCAUACCUUUGCUAAAGCAUUCAUAUUUCUCAAGUCUCUAGUUAUUGGAUCCAUCAAUCGACUGCAAGUAAAUACAGCUUGGUCAAAAUAAAACGUUUAGGUUUUAAUGAACCCCCCAAAAAUUCUGAAAAUAAGUAAAGCACAGUGAUAAAACAAUUUAUUGGUAAUUGCAUAUUUAAGCUCGAUUUGCCAAAUAUGCAAACAAAAAAAAGGUUGUAGAUUAUUUACAAAGGUUGCAACUCAAAGAUUCUAUGAUUCUGUAUAAGCACCACAACAUAUGAUAUAGAGAGAGAGGGAGAUGCCAAAGGAAGAGCUUCAGCAAGGAACACAAAAAAAUAUAGGCAAACCUGCACUCAAUUAAGGACUCAUAAAGUGAAACCCUUCCAAGUUCCAAGUAUCAAGAAAGCAACACACAAAUUUCAAAUAAGAAGUUAAGGCGCUAAUCCAAAGCUAUUUUGGUCGUACUGUCUAUUUUAAGGAUAAGAAAUAAACAACAGAUCUGUUCGGGACCAUGGGAUUCUUUUCUAUUUGGUAAACUUGAACAUAGUUCAGAAACUACUUUCGAAACAGUUGAAAAUUUUGUUCUUUCAAAAGCCAUGAGCUCAUGACAGUGUUUUAAAAAGCCUGGGAGUGGGUCAAGGCUCAAAGUGCAGGUUUGGUGUCUUGCAUUGAAAAGGUAAGGCGUGCCUCAAGCGGGCACCUUUGGUGUCUUGGAGCUUUUUUAUUGUUUAAAAAUAGUAAUAAUUAGGAUUUUAUCUAGUCACAUCUUGUAUUGAAAAUUGGAGCCUAGUAUAAGGGUUUUAUUUUCAACCUAGUUGAGAUGGCAUCAAUAAUACAUAAAACAACGUUAGGUACCUGGAUAGGAAUGUUAGUAUUCAGGGAUAUAAUGGUCAAUUGGUCAUUAGAUGGAAAGCUAGUUACUGGAUGUUCUAUAAAUAGCGAGAAGAUGAGUAAGUGAAGGGAAACUAUUAUGUGGAGUGAUUCUAUUGUAGUUUCUUCUUUGAUUCUCAAUAUAAUUUAGAUCUUGAUUCUUGUUAGGAUGUAUCCUAAUAAACAACUAACAGACAGUGAAGGUUUGAUGAAAGACAUGAACACUACACUACACCAUGUCAAAAUGCUGGCAAUUACCGUAAAUGAUCGAAUUAUUACAAACUCCAAUAAACUUCAGAUAGUUAUUAUUGAAAAGAGAGACAACGAGUUCACACCAAUUUACGUGGAAACCCGAGUACCGGGAGAAAAACCACGAUUGUUUGUGUUGUUAUUAUUUUCUAAUGAAUAAAGCAAUAGGUACAAGGGAGAAUAAAUAGAGUACACAAUGGAAUAAAAAAGGAAAAGAUUUAGGAAAAUAAGGAAUACAUUCCCAUAAUCUUUCCAUAAUUAUUCUAGGAUUCUAACAAGGAAAAAGCCUAGAAAAAAGGAAAGAAUUCCAACAGUUAUAACUGACAUGAAAUUACCUGUCAUCCAUCCUUGCCUGAGCUUCAACAUAAGAUAAUGCAGCACUCGACUUAAUGAUGCUUUUGGUGUAGCUAGUAGAAACAAUAUCGGCUUCAGGUGUCAUUUCCUAAACAUCACGAGCAAGUGAUUGAAACUAAAAUUCACGAACUAGGGGGGAGGGGGGCAUACUGAAGUCUAAACAUGUUCACUAAUUGAUUAUUAAACAACAGAUAAACAAAUAAUCGAAGUAAAAGAUGACAAAAGUCGAUGAUAUCAUAUAAAAGAGUGUACAAUACGAUAAAGGCCUAGGGUAGGAUUGGCAGAAAUUUAAUAUCAAGAAAAACAAAAGUAUGAAGAUGUUACUGCAGAAUAAAACUUUUAUCCAUAUUUCCAAAAAAAAAAAAGCGAUAAACUACAUACCCAAAUUACUGAAAAUGCCAGUCUUUCCACAUCAGCUCGAAGAGAACAUAUAUCUGCAGAUUAAGAUUUUUCAUCACAUAGAGCUAAAGUGGAUAAGAAUAAAACCUGUCAAACAAUGCCUCUUACACAAAUGCAACAUAAAAGUAAAUGCCGACCUUCUGUUAAUGGUUUCGGAAGCAUAUCUAUUCUCCGCUCAACAAGGUAGACUGAUGUGCCCCUUUGUGCAGCCUCGUCAUCCAAUGCAGUGCCCGGAUGAACAAAAUUUGUUACAUCAGCAAUAUCUAAUCGAAUGUUGUUAAAGAUGCAAAUACGAACCGAGCUUUCAUUACACAAAAUAAAUUAAUAUACAAGAGUGAACAAAAAAUUCUAGUCCCACGAAAGGAAUCCAACUCAAUCCACCCUUGUAAAAAUGAAUCUACUUUUUUCAAACUUAUUUAGAAUGACACACCAAAUGAUUUGAACAGUAAUCCCGAUAUGAAUUUUUUUAAAAUGAGAUCCCAAUCCUGGUACAACUAACUACCAAGAAUAAUCUAUUUUAAAGAAUUCCAAUAAAAAUAUUUAAAUAUUCUCUAUAAAAGGGAUGAAUAAAUAACAAGAUCCAAAAGAUUAAGUUAAUCAUUUAAAAUCCUUUUUUAUAUCCAUGAGUGUCUGAGCCAGCUUGUGCGCACCUCGACUAAUUUCAUAGAACACCCGCUUGACCCCAAAAUAUUUGGGUGUCAAGGAAACUCGUAAGAAAUUAAUUCCUAGAUAGGUGGCCACCAUGGAUUCAACUCGUGACCUCUUAGUUAGUUAUUGAGACCAUGUCUCCCUUUUUACCACUAGGUCAAACCAUAAUGGUUUAAUCAUUUAAAAUCUUUUAGAACCGUAAGAGUGCUUUAGAAACCCAUCGUUAAGACUCUUCAGUAACAAAAACCUCUUCGGUAAACAGAAAGUUAAAAGACUGAGGAUACGGACUCCAACUUCAAAAUUUCCAUUUGAAAGAGCAGUACAGUGAAGUGCAUCAUCAAUAUCUUUGCAACCUGGACAAAUAAAAAGCCCAUGAACUCCAAUUAAUGUUUGACAGAACUAACUGACAACACCACAAAGAGAUAAUAACAGGUAAAAAAAAGGCGUGAUAGAGUUCAAGAAACAUUCAACUACCUGGAGGGUCCACACUGAAAACAUUUAAAUGCCGCAAAUCCUGUCGAAUAGGGUUUGCAAUAUCAACAGGAGACACUGACCAUGGUAACGGAGGCAAGCAUGUCAUAACUUGUGAAGAAAAUGGCCUGGAGUUUAUAUCGUUUUCAAUUAAGACCACCUGAAGUAUUCAAAAGGGUCCAAAAAUUUCAGUUAAUGAGAAAAGGCACUGAAAGAUUUUCCACCACCUCACCCCCACGUAUUUCGGAUUAACUAGUACCUAAAAGUGUGUACAGCUCAUUUAAUUCUCACUUGCUGAUGUAUUCCUAGACAUCAGUAUUGUACAGAGAUAACAUUCAAUCAUAUUUAUCAUCUCAUCAGUAAUUUAAACAUUUUGUGAAUCAAAUUUUUAGGGAAAAAUCAACUUUGACAAGUUGGGUUAAUUGCACAUCAAACUCAGAUAAGCAAUGAAAUCUUAACCUUAAACUUAAUAUUAUAAAAUAAACAUUUUAAGAGAGAGAAAAUGUGUUUGCAAUUUUAACCCUCUAAAAUUGCUCACUCCAAAUAUGGUCAUAAGAAAUUUUCUCUUAUGCAUUCAAUGAACUUUUAAACGCAUGUACAAUAUGAAAUCAAAAAAAAAAACCUAAAAGAGCUAUAGUUUUUUAGUUCAAGUAUAUGAAUUUUGGCAAAGCUACUCCAUGGUUUAUUUGUGCAUUGGUCAAACUUAUAUUUGUACAAAACUUUAUUUCAUUGAAAUUAAGGAGUUUUCAAGGAUUUUUACACUAUUAUCUACUAAAAUUAGUGGGCAACUUAGCAGAAAUUGAUCGAUGGUAAAAUUGUAACACUUGUUUUAGGAUCCAAUUUGAUGAAAUUCAAAGUUUAGGGCCAAAACUGAUAUGACCUCAUAGGUUCAAUGUCAAAAUCCCCCCCCCCCCAAAAAAAAAUAAUAAUAAUAAUAAUAUUUUUACCAUAUCACCCUAAAAAAUAUUAUAUGUUAUUAGUAUAUGGAUAUAUUUAACAAUCUGAAACUUAAAUCCCACCCCCAUAAGUUUUAGAAAUCCAACAAGAUCUAUUAGCCCUGUAGGUAUUAUGGAAAAUCAUCUAAAGAACCAUGUGGUUUGAAAGCAAGAGAUAGAACAGAAAAGUGCUUCUUAAUGAUAUAAUGAUCGUGCAUACCUCACUUUCUGUAUCUCGAUCACCUAUUUCUCCUAUAGAUCGCACAUAAUGUCCUGAAGGAUAUCUAGAAAGACGGUCCCAAGAAUCAACUGCUACAAUAAUUCUCUUGUCUAAAAGAUUCUCAAGCUGACGAGUCUGGAUUCUAAUUUUAGGAAUCCGACGAUCUUUGGAAACAAAUAGAGCAUAAGCGAUGCCACCACUUCCAGCAGGCAUAGGCAUUGGAUCCAAAGAACCACAAUAACUGCAUUAAUUUCAACAACUUCAGACAAAGAACUCCACUAUGAUACAAAAUCUGUGCAACCAUCUUGAAAAAGUAAAGAAACAAAACUGCAAUACUGAAAACAAAAAAUUUAUGAAAUCCCCAAAACAACGAUAAAGUUAGGUGGAAAAUCAGAGUACAUUUUCAACAUUAACUACAAAUGUUAGUGUCAUCUUGAUCUUGUAGACUGUAGACAUAUAAAAAUAUACACGGGUACAUAUACAUCUAAAAACAUAUUUAAGUAUUUAUUAGUAGAAGAAAAAGUAUAUAAUGUGUACAGCAAAAGACACCCCAUGGAACAUAGGAAUCUAACAAACAGCCACGAUAACUUACGAAUGCCAGUUACGCUUUAUGAUACCAAUAACACGUCCAGCUGGGCGUGGUGAACUAGAAGAAGAAUCUCCACUAGAGCCCUGUAGUACAGAUGCAGCUCUUGGAGCAUCAUCAGCACUACCAGGAACAAGAUGAACAUCUUCUUCCUCAUCAUCUUCUGCAAUAAUAAAAUCAUGUCUGCAUCAUAAUGGGAUUGUGUGUGUGUGCACAACUGCCCGUGUAUGUGUGAGAAAGAGAGAGAGAGUGAUGUUCAAAGCCCAAUAUAAGCUUGAAUUGGAAAUACAGAGAAAAGAUAAUUAGUAACUUCCUGACAGGGACGUUGUUAACCUUUUUACCAUCUACAUUGAGUUGGCAUCUAAUUGCCCCCUCCCACCGGCCAGGCCACCAACCAUACUGAAUAGAAACUUUUAUUGGAAACACAUAGGAAAGUCCUUAGUCAUUUCCCUAAGGGAAUUUGCUAAUCUUUCUAUAUUUUCAUAUUUAAGUUAUCAUAUAAUUGGAAUUCUUAUAAGUCGUGAGAAUAUGACUCCAACCUAAUCCUAUCCCCAUUCACCCUACACAAACACCCACACAUACGCACAUCUCCAUGUUAGAUUGUUACAGAAUUCCCACUAGCCUUCUCAGUUCACAAUUAAUAAAAUAUUCGUGAGAAUAAAAAAAUUACCAUCGUCUGCUAUAGUCAGAGACUUCUCUUCAUGCCACUGAUCUCGAGACAGAAGUUCAACUGCCACAACAUCACCAUCAAAAGCCCUGUUCAUGUUGGUACGCCCAUAAAUAAUAAUUUCAUCACCAAUACUCUCACUUCCAACAUAUGCUUCAAAUGGGUUGUAUCGAUUAACACGGAGCUUUCCUUGAUGAUAUAUACCACGAUGCAAACCAGAAGUAAUUUCUGACAUGGGUUUAUGCUGAAAGAAAGAAGAGCAGGAUAUGUUAAAAACCAGAAACCUUAUAAGACACUAGUAUUUUUCCUGAAAUAAAUGAAGUUCAGCACAUUCAUUGUAAUACCUCGGAGUAAAGAACCUUUCUCUUCGAUGGCCUCAAAUCUUCAACAUCCUCCAUAUUUGCAUCUUCAUUUGCACUUUGCACUAACAGAUCAAGUAAAUGAGUUUGCCCCAAUGAUUUAACAUAUGAUUCAACUGUAAAGACCAAACAAAUUAACCGAGUUAGCUAAGCAUAUGACAAAAAAAAAAAUUGAGAGAGAGAGAGAGAGAGCAUAAUCAUUACAAGCAAGCCAUAUGGUAGACACCAGAAGGCUUUAAGCGAAGCUAAAAAUAAAUAAACAUCUAACAUACUUGUCUCUGCACCAAUUCCCUCUUCAAUAGCCUUUCUCCUAUUCUCUCUGUCAUUGGUUAUGAGUAGAACACGAGUAGCACCACCAAGAUGAUUCUGAUACCAUUGAGCAGCAACUCGAAUGGCUGAAUCACAAUGUUAGAGAUAACCAUCAACACAAUUUAAGCAAGCAUUUGUGAUCUAUCCCAGUCAUUAGCUUAUGAGUUAUGAAAGGGUUAUGAAAACAAAACAUACAGAAUAUUUUGGCAGUUACUGUAAAUGAUGAACUAGAAUGUUAGCAUGAAAAAGUGUAAGCUAUAAAUACUGUUCAAGUGGGAUAGAGAGGAUGGAUGAAAGAAACUAUAUGCAGUUCAGUUUCAGUACAACAUUACAGCAUCAACUUAUGCAAUAUCAAGAGAAUACCUCUAUCAUUUCGAUCAUUUUUACUUUCUCCACUCAUGUCCUUAAUAUAUGUAUCCCUGCCAAAACAAUAUCAUCAAAGGAAGCUCAAAAUUCUAGCUACCAUGAAAGUUAAAGAUUUUCCUUACAGAUUUUGAUAGUUUAUGCCAUGGGAGGUUAGAAAAAGAUUUAUAGGGAAACACACCACAUUAGAGUUGUAGGUUCAUUUACUAUGAAAAACCUAGACAUCACACUUCAUUCAACAAUCACAAUGACUAGCUAAGCCCUAGUAAAGCUCUUAUAAGUCGUAUUUAGUUUUUUCUCUCAGUUUUUACAUAAGAUGUAUAAAACCACUAGCCUGAUGUACGUAGAAGUAAAACCAAAGGUACCCAAUCAACUCUUGAUUGGCACAGUUUCUAAUUAGAAGUUGGUAUUAGCAAAUGAGUUAGAAGGAAAUAGCAACAACCCAAUUCCCAUGCAGUUCAGAAAUACAAUAAAAGGUGAAAGAUUUUGAAUCCCCAAGCCAAGUGUGAAUUUAUCCUGUUGUUAAUUAAAUGGUACAAUAUUAUUUAAUUAAGUGUAAAUAGAAAACACACUUGUGGUGCUCGUUAGAGAAAACAAAGAAUCUCCGCAGGGGAUUGCUGCAGAGAGCUCUAACUCUGUUGUAAACAGAGAGGUUCUUGUUCUUAACCUCGUCCAGAACAACUGAUAGCAUAACCACGUCAUCAAUAGCAGGAUUCUCAAGCAAAUCAAUCUGUAAAAACGCAUCAUUUCAUAAAACACUAAAAGUUGAAAGCUCAAUGUUGACAACAGAAACCACACGAAAGUAACCUGAGUAAGAACAACAUUGGUGUCGAGAACUAGAAUUGGCGAUGUAGAAGCACCCAAGCGAGCAACUGAAGAAUCACAUUUUUUGCAAAUCGAAGCCCCACAAUAUAUAUCAUCUCGAAGAUAGUGUUCUCUCACUUGCUGGCAUGAAGAACAGAGACCCAAAAGAACAAAUUAACAAUAAAAGGAUGGAAACUCAUGAGAUGUAUAAAAUAAGGCCCAAAGAUUAGUAAUUUACUGACCUUCAUCACCUUCCCAGACUUCGUCUUUUUAACAAACGACUUGUUAUGCAACAUGUCUUCUGAGGGAAGCUUCAACUAUUAUUGUUCACGGUUGCGUAUCUGCUGAAGCUGGUGAGAUUGCGGCUAUUCAGGCAGCCGUAAACCAGGGAGAAUAGUGAUUGCGGCUCCCUAACGGAGAUGAUCGAUAAUGAUUGUUGAACUGAAGAGCAGGCGAAGAGCGGCGGACCCCUGUCGGAGAUGGUGAGCGAUGCGUCCCUGGUAUCGUACGAAGCGAUGGAAAAUUAAUGGGUUUAAGCUUUUCCCUUUUCUGUUUUAGAGAGACGGAGAGAGGGAGUAGGGAAGAAGGGAAAAGAGGAAAAAGGGAGGGAACGAAAAUAAUAUUAAAGAUGAAUUUGAGGGAUGACAAAAAAGUAAAUAUAAGUUUUUACUUCAUUUUAAUUAUAUUUCAUUAUAAAACAAAAAUUUGAGUUGCCCACUAAUAUGUUGCUAAAAACUAUGAACUUCCACGUUAUUAUAACAUACACAAAAGUUAAAAAAAUUAAAAAUAGCAAAUUUUACAAAAUAUUUACGAUCUAUAGCUAGUGGCGGAUCCAUAAAUUUUACUGUAGGAACAUCGGGCACUAUAUAAUAAAUAUACUAAAAAAUAUUUUAAAAAAUGUCUCAACCUUUCACCAUGUACCAAUAACAUUCACUAUAUUUGUAGUAAUAAAUAAAAACUGAUUAUGUAACGUAUGUAUGUGAAGUUUGGAUGACCAAUUAAAUUAUGUUCUUUCAUGAAAUCAAAUCAUUAAAAUUUCUAAAAUAAUUGUAAAAAAUGAUAUUUGAACUCACAACUACACCAGAGAAGCAUGAAGCUAAAUUUAAUAUAUAUUAUAAUAAUCUAACACUUCAAAAUUAAUAAUAAAAUACAAAAAUCGAUAAUGUGAGUGGGCACGUGCCCUUGGCCUCUUAAUAAAUCUGCUCUUACCUAUAGUAAAUUAUUGAUAGAAGAUUGUCAUUGAUAGAAUCCAAAAUUUUGUUAUACCUGGUAAAUAUUUUAAUUUAUUUUACUAUUUUUAAAAAUGACCCUUUUAAAAACAUUUAAAAAGAUGUCAUCAUCAAAAUUUCUGAAAAAUUGUACCUAUUAAAACUCGAGAAAAAUAGAUAUUGUUUGACCUUUUUAAAACACUAAGAAAAAAUAUGUAUUACUUAACAUUUGUUAAGCAUAGCGUGAAUUUUUUUUCAAAAAUUCGUCCACCUCCGUCUUUUUUAAAACAUAAGAAAGUACAUAUUACUUUACAUUUUUCAAACGUCGAGGUCUUAUCGUGAAACUUUUUUUGAAAACUCAUCCACCACCGUAUUUUCUUGAUGUUUUAUCUUUGCAAUCACCAAUUUCUUUAAAAAAAAAUUAACCGUCAAGUAUAUAAUCACAAACAUUAAGAAUUCCUUUUUCUAGUAGUAAUGGUAUUGGACUGAACUAAGUUAUCAAUUUUUCGUGAUAUAUGUUUAAGCUUUAGUUUCAUGCGCUUGUCUUUAGUAUUCUUGGAAUUGGUAUAACAUUGUGUAUGAUAGGUUUUGUUGUGUAUUAGAUUGAUGAUUGUUUUUCAACUUUUUUAUUUAGCGACAAAGAAAAGUAACAUAUUUGCAAUGAGAAGAAGGUUUAAGAUAUUGUGUGAAUAUAUAGUUUAAAAGUAUUUAUAUUGUCUAGGCUAAAUUAUACCAAAUAUAUUUAAACUUCAAUUUUAUGUAAAAAAUAUCCUUAAAAGUAGUUAAAAAUUAUUCUCAAUUUUUAAUAUUUUGCUUUAAAAACUAUUUUAUAAACUUUGUAACUUUCAAAAUUAUUCAUAAACUCUUAAAAAAGUAUAAAAAUAACUUUAUUGUCAACGUAUGAACAAAAAUUAUUGACAUAUUGUCCAAAAAAUACCUCUAGACUUCUAAAAAAAUUGCUUACAUUAUACUAAAAAAGCUAAAUAUAUUAUCACCAUCUAUCAAAUAUUCAACAUAAAUGGAUAACUACUCUAAUAACACGAGCAUUUUACAAGAGUAUUAAUGCAACAUCGAAAAGUUGAAUAAAAAACCAACACCAUAAGUAUUUUCAUACAUAGAUAAGAGACAAUUUGUAUAAUUUAGUAUACUUGUUGCUAAAAAAAACUUAUAGUUCAACAACUUGUGAGACAAAAAAAUUGAAUGUUUCACUCAAGAUGAAAUACCAAACAAAUUAUUAUUGAGUUAAGUUGAGUUUGGAACAAUUUUACACGUAAACAGUAAAAGAAAAAGAAAGAGUGGAAUGAAAGGGGAUUUAAAGUAGAUUGUGUUUGAGCAUGUGAGGCCACGUAGUUUAGGAUGGCAUAGCCGAUGGAUGAGUAAUGCAAUAGGAUAGGGCCACUGUGUAUUUGAGUGGAUGUUUCAUGUUAAUGCCCCAGUAAACAUAGCUUCUAGGACAGUCCUUUCCCAUUCUAUCUAUUCAAACAUUUACCUAUAUCUUCUCUUCCAAUCAAAUUACAAAGUAACUCUAACAAUCUGGAGUAAGAAGAAAGGGUUUUCUUUUAUUACAAUUUAGUAUAUCAUCAACAUUUAAAAAGGAAAAACAAACCAAAUAAUUACUCUGUUUUUCCCCUACCAAUCUUAUUUCUCUGUUUUUAGGUAGCAUUGGAGUGGACCAAUUUCAACGGCUACUUCUUUUUAUUAGGUUUUUUAAGCCUCUGUUUGCAGUGCUAUAACUUUGAAAAGCAAUGAACUUUGUCAUUAAAAAGAGUAUACUAAGUAAAGAAGUAAAUAGCUUCCCUCUAUUUUCAUAAGCUAAUCUCAAAAUGUGUUAUUUUGCUUGAUUUUACAAUUCGAUAUGUUUGGAAGAAGAAAGGAACUUCAUCCAUACAUAAUUAACUAUUACUUUCUCAUUAUCACAUAUUUGAGAUGAUUGAGAUAUGUUUGAAUUGAUAAGGUUGUGAUUUUGAAAACAAGUAAUGAUUUACUUGAUUUAAAACACACGAACUUAAAGAAAAGUCAUUAUGAGUGGUUCCAAAUCUCAUACUCCAAUCAUUAUCCCUAAUCUAUGAUCCUAAGUUUUCAGUUGCUAGUUGUUGAUUAACGAUUUUGGUCAUUGGUCGUAGGUUUUAAGCUUUGGUUGUUGGUUUUCAAACCCAAGGCACCAAUGUUCGUAAUUAGAGCUGAUAUUGGAGAUCGUGACCAAGGACCAAUACCAACAACCAAAACAUAGGAUUUGGGGCUAGCGAUCACCCAUCAACAAUUACUAUCAACCCCACCCACUAAUGACAAGCGAUGACCAACGACCAUUUCGACAAUGGUUUGUAGUUGUCGAUCUCAACCAUCAAUCAUUGUUUUCAAUCACUAGUCAUUAUUUAUUGAUCUAGACGGUUGAUCACUAAUUGUUGAUCGUGGUUUUUGGUCAACGGCAAGGUAAAUAAGACUAAAGAUAGACCAUAACUAGAGAGUAGGAUAAAUGAUCAAGACCAGAGAACAAUGACAAACUCCAAUAAACCUCUCAAGUACGUGCACUCAUACAUAUGUUUUUAGAUUGCCCUGUGGUUGUUAAUCUUCUCAAUGACAAGUCUGUUGAACUCCAUAAUUUUGCAUUUUUCAUUAAGGAUAUCAAAGCUUUUUAUCGCCGGUGUUGAGCGAAUAGUUGUUGCACAACUUCCUGCCUUUAUUUCCUUGCCAGUUGUAGAAGAAAACACUUAGUUCUUUUACAAUUUCUUCGUGUUUGAAGGUUUGUUUUGUUGUUACACAUCGAUUUAGUUAUGUAGGUUGUCUAUACUUUUGCUCAUGAAAAAAUAAAAAUCUAAAUGAAAAGUAUUGAGUUGUAUUAAAACAAUACAUAUUUUGGAAUUUGUAAAUUUUGAUUCACACACUUAAGCCUAUUUGCUUUGAAAUGAAUCUUACUUAAUAGUUUCUACUACUAGUUUAUGGUUGAAUUUUGUAUAAACUUUUUUAUUAUUGACGAGUUUUUGUACUAUAAUUUAAUAAAAAGCAAAGGAAGCAUUAGGAAGAUGAUGAAAUAUAAUAUUGAAAUUUUCUUAAAAAGCAAAAACUGAGAAUGGCCAUAAAGUGAGAGUGAGAGUGAGAGUGAGAGGCCACCUCUUUAGUCUAUCACUUCUUCCGAUAUCUCUCACAACCCUCAACUCUCUCUCUCUCUCUCUCUCUCUCUAAACCCAAAUUCCAAAAACCCCUUUCCGCUCCUUUCACAUGUCCACUCCCAUCGACCAACUCCAGCCCCCCCCGCCCCUUCACUCCUCCCACGCCUCUGUCGGCCCCCUCAUCGCCGUCCUCGCCGUCAUUUCCAUCCUUGGCGUCAUUGCUGGUAUGAUUGGCCGCCUCUGCUCCGGCCGCCCCGUCUUCGGCUACGGCGCACACUACGACCUCGAGGAUUGGGUCGAGAAGAAAUGUGCUUCCUGCCUCGAUGGCUCCCUCGACCCCCCUCCUCCUCCGCCUCAUCUCCGCCACCCACCGCCUCUGGAUUCUGUUCCUGUGGCUGAACCUCUUGGUGGGCCUCCGCCGGAGAUCAAACAAAGCGCCCAUGCCGAUGCUGAUGCUAAAGGGGAGAAUUUGCAGUCGGCGGCUCCUGGAACCGGCGGUGAGUCAUGAGAUUUAAUAAGAAGAGUAAAGUUGUUUCCUUUUUUUCUUUGUUCUUCUUUUUUGUGGUUCAAUUUUUAUUCUUUUACAAAUCCUAUCUGGUGGAUGAAUGAAUGAAUCUUUGCCUCUUUUAUAUAUAUAUAUAUAUAUAUAUAUAUAUUUCUCUCUCUCUUUAUUUGCAAUUUAAACACUAAUUUCCUUCAUUUUUAUCCUUUACUUUGAAAUAUUUUUUGUAAUAAACAAAUUUUGUUUAUCUUAGUCCUCAUACACUAAAAUAGUGAAUUUUAAUAAAAGAACUCAAAUGGGCAAUGUUUUUAGAAAAACAAUAUUUUGUGAAAGUAAAGGAAAUAAAAAUGAAUAGUUUCAAUUAAAAAAUUGGAAUUGAAUCAAAAUAAUAAUGAAAAAAAGAAUCAUACUUUCACCAUAAUAGUGAAAAUAAGAGUGAAAGUAGCAUAGUUUUUAGACAUAAGAAAAGGAGACAAAGUAUUUACAAAUAUUAGCAAAAUUUGAAAUAUAUUACUUCUUUUUUAAGUGGUUGAUAGCUAUAUGAUAUAUCCAUAUUCUAAAAUUUUGCUAUCUAUUUAAAGAAAGUUUCGAUGUUAUAUAUCAAUUGGGGGGAUGGCAUUGACUGUUAAGGCAAGAGACUCUUUUGUUAUGUUUACAUUCCCUUUUCUUUCUUUCUUUUUCUUUUUCAAUACUAGGCAGGGGCUUGGUGCUAGAAAAUUCUAACUUAUAUAUGUACACUUUAAAUAGACAAGUAUUUUAGUUGCUUCAAUUCAACUAAAGUUUGAUUUUAUAAUGCUAGAGGAUGGUUUUAUAUUUUGUCUAUUUAGUCCCUUUUUUCUUUGAAGUUUUAACUUUUUUUGGAUAUCUUUCUAAUAUGGACAUUAAUUUUGAUAUUUAAGCUUUAAUCUCCCUCUCUUUUGUAUUGUAUAAAAAAACAUAUACUUAGAAUAACCUUGAAAAAAAAUCCUAUAAAGUAUAUAUAUUAAAAGGAAAAAAAAAUCUUUACAAAGGAUUGUAAAUAGUCUAAAUACAUGGGCAAAAGGUGAUUUCCAUGGCUUAAUGUAUUUUUCAUAAUUAUUUAUUAAUUUAAAUAAUAUGAUGAAUUUAAAUAUAGAAAUCACAAUAUCAUAUAAAGUGGUGAUCAGUAAACUCUUUUAUUUCUUUAAAAAAGUUAAUGACUAAAAUAAAUGUUUUUAAUCGUAUAGUACAAUCUACAAAGUUUGUGAAAAAAAUAGAAUUUAAACAUAUUCUUUUUUCUUGAAUUUGUUUAUUCCUCUGGAAAGGCUGGAAAUGUACUUUUAUAGUCUUUCAGAACUUUAUACCAUUUUUUUUUUUAAAAAAAAAGAGAAAAUCUUGAUUUAUAGUGCAAUGAAAUUAAUUAAAUAUGUAAGUUUCAUUUGAGCUUUCUCCAUAACUAUUCUUUUUUAAAAAAAAAGAAAAAAAAAACUUUCUAAUCUUUCUAAUCUUAUUAAGUACAAUGGGCAUACAAAUUUGAAACAAAAGUUGCAAAAUCUAAGGAAAAAAGAAGAGAAAAAAAUCCAUAAUGUCUAAAUUUAAAGUACAAAUUCAUGAAAUUGGAAAACUUAACAUUAAAACAAUUUUUUCCCUACUCUUUUCAUCACCAUUUUUAUUUUUUAGUUUAUUUAAUGGCUAAAGUUAUAUAAGGAUAAGUUUGGUUAUUGGAAAAGGGUCAAAAAGUUGAACCAUUUAUUUGAAUAUUGGUGAGCCCAAAGGGAAAUAAAUAUUUUGUUUCACUCCAAUUCUACAUGUAUCUCUUCACAUUAUUACCCACUUAAUUACCACUUAAUUGCAUCCUCAUUAAUAAUUAAAUAUAUAACAAAAUUUAUCUUUACCAACAAAAGAAUAAUUUAAGAAUUUCACCUUUUCUUUUUUUUUUCUAAUAUUAAUUUGAACUAAUUCAACUAAUAUUUUGUUUCAACUAAUAUUUUCUAUCAAUUUAGACCGAUCAAAUAUCUUAAAGUCACACAAAUUUUUCUAUAAGACUAGUCUAAAUAUGUGUAAAUUGGCCUAGACAAUCACAAUUAAAAAAAAAAAUUGAUAGUUACGUAAAAAGAUAUCUCUCACAAACUAUUCUAAAUUUCGUAUAUUCAACAAUAUUAAUGGUGGUUACCUAAAAUACACCACCAACCUAUUAAACCAUAAACUUUGAAUUUUAUAAGGUAUAUUGGAUUUUUUAUCUAGAUAUGAACUCGAUCUCAAAUUUAAAAAUAAUUAAUUAAUAUUUGUUUUGGGUAAAUCAACAAUAGUAACACAAGGUUAAGUUUGUAGGAAGUCUUCUUUAUCAAUUAUCAUCGUACCAUUUCUUGGAAGCUCACCACAAUGCAUGUGGGAUUGUUUGCGCCAAUACUUCAGAAUCUACUUCCCAACUCUAAAGAAAAAUUUACUUCUCCAACUUUAAAUUAAUCUCACGGUCCAUUUGACAAACCAAUCUCAUAGUCCAUUUGACAAAACUGGUUUGGUGCAUGAUUUUAGAACCAUCAAAAUCACUCCUUUCAUGUUUCAAGUCGUUCUGAAGCACACUUUUAAUCACCCUAGUUUGUUUUGAACGACUAAAAGCAUAUUUCAAAAUGAUUUAAACUAUUUCAAAAUCACCUCCAAACAAACUCUUGCCUUUCCUUGGCACAACGUCCAAGAAAUCCCAACUGACUGAGAAGACAGAGUAACUAUCCAUAAUUAAUACCGAUGCCCACCAUUUUCAACACUUGACACUAAGAAAAUCCGUUGGAUUUGACCUUUUGAUGCCUAUUUUCUUCAACCUCCUCAACUUGUAUGGUGUCUAUUUCAGGGGCACAUCCAGACCUUCUCAUAUCGCAAAUCAACAAAUCAAGCAGGCUAUAGAUCAUUUCACAUUUCGGAUGUGCUUUAUCACAAACAAGAAAUGUAUGUACUUCAUCUUUUACCUCAAUCCAGCUGCAACCUGGCUCCUUUUUCAAAUUGUGAGAUCUCAUUGUUUGUCUGAUCUUUGAGACUUGUUGCCACAUGCCUGCAUCAGCAUAUAUAUUUGAUAGAAGGGUGUAAGCAGACGAGUCUUCUGGAUCCAAUUUCAAAAGUGAACUAGCUGCUUUUUCAGCAACUUCUACAUUUCCCUGAAUUUUGCAAAUACUAAGCAAAGUUCUCCAUAUAAUUGCAUCUGCUUCAAAUGGCAUGUCCUGAAUUAGUCUCAAUGCUUCUUCUACUUGGCCUGAUCUCCCUAAAAUAUCCACCAUACAUGAGUAGUGCUCAAGUUGAGGUUCUAAAGCAUAGAUACUUGCCAUUUUCUGAAAAUAAAACAGGCCCUUCUUAGCAUUUCCAACGUGCGAACAUGCUCGGAGGACCGAAACAAAAGUUGCAUGGUUUGGUUUUAUAUUCUCAUGGAGCAUAUGUUCAAAAAGCUCAAGAGCCUCUUCCCCAAGACCAUGGUAGGCAAAUCCACAGAUCAUGGCAUUCCAUGUGACAGAAUCCCGCUUGGGAGCUUUCCGAAACAUAAGUAGAGAAUCAUGCAUAUUUCCACAUUUGGAGUACAUGUCAACAAGAGUGCUGGUUAUGUACACAUCUGAUAGCAGUUCCAGCUUGAUCAUUUGUGCAUGGAUUUGCUUUCCUAGUCCAACAGUAGCUAAAUUAGCACAAGUGUCUAGAACAGUUGCAUAAGUGAAGUUGUCGGGCUCUACACCCAUUUCCAACAUAUGAGAGAAAAAUCUUUGUGAAUCUUCACUUUUCUUUUGCAAUGAAAAUCCUGAAAUAAUUGCAUUCCAUGAGACCAUUGUUUGUUCUUCCAGCCGGUAAUGGAUCUUUUCUGCCUCUUCCAUCAUUCCACAUUUGGAAUACAUAUCAACGAGCGCACUUCCUACAAACAUUUUGAGACCCAUUCCAGAUUUGAUAAUUCUUCCAUGAACCUCCAUGCCAUUACUGAAAGCUCGCUGACCUGCACAAGCUUUUAAAACACUACCAUAUGUGAACUCAUCAGGUUCCAUCUUUGAACGUAGCAUUGCACCAAAAUGUGAGAGCGUUUUCCCUUCACUUUCAUUCUGCUCACAAGCUGUGAUGAUAGCAUUCCAAGACACCGGAUCCCUUAUUUCCAUUUCAUCAAACAGGCCAGAAGCCUCAACUAAAGCUCCACAUUUGCCAUACAUAUCCAAGAUGGCGUUUGCGACACAGAUAUUUGACGAUAAAUUAGAUUUGAUGGCUAACCCAUGUAGUUGAAGCCCCUCAGAGUGCCCUUUGAUUACUGCAGCUGCACUUAAUGCACCAGAAAGAGAUACUUCAUCAAAACUAAAACUGUUCUUCUGCAACUGAAGAAAUAGCUUAAAAGCUUGAAACCCUUGCUCAUUCCGAGCAUACCCAAUUAUCAUGGCAUUGUAAGAUUGUAAGUUAUGGUCUGGUAAUAAGCUAAAUAGCUUGUAGGCAUCAGACAUGUUGUCACACUUAGCAUACAUAUCCAAAGUGGCAGUUCCUACAAUAACAUCAGAUCCGAAGUCAGUCUUUAAUGCAUGGCAAUGCAACUGAGUACCUAAUCUAGAGGCUGAUAGUCCUGCACAAGACCUAAAGACACUAGCAUAAGUAGAUUGACUCACCCCAAUUCCCUUUCUCUGCAUCUCUUUGAAUAGUUUAAGGCCCCUAAGCAACUGAUCAUUCUGAACACAACCUGCAAUUGCCGCACUCCAUGAAAUCCAAUUCUUAUCUGGCAAUUCAGAGAAAACAUCAAGUGAAUCCUCUAAGCUGUUACACUUGGCAUACAUAUCCACUAAAGCACUCCCUGUCACAACAUCAUAAUCAAAACCCAUUUGAACUGCAAUACCAUGAAUCUGAAUUCCCAGAACCUGAUCUUCCAACAAAGAGCAAAUUUUUAAAGAAACAGCCAGCGUGGUAUGGUCAAACAUAACUCCCAAAUCUCUCAUUUUCAAAAAGACAGCGAUCGACUUUUGUAUGUCACCAUUCUGCAAGUACCCAGAAAUCAAAGAAUUCCAUGAAACCACAUCUCCAUGAUGAGGCAUGGAAUUAAACACCGCCUGUGCAAGCUCCAUCCUUCCAGCCCCUGCACAGCCAAAAACCAUGGUGUUCCAAGACACAAUGUCCCUCUGUGGCAUUUCCUCAAACACCUUAUAUGCAUAUUCCAAAGCGCAACAUUUGACAUACAUUUGGAUUAAACAAUUGGUUACAAACACAGUGGGAGUAAACCCAGAUAGAAUCAUAUGGGCAUGAGCUUCCUUACCUGGUUUUAGAGCUCUCCGGUUGGAGCAUUCCUGAAAUAUAUGAGAGAAAGUCUUCCUGGUUGAGGAGAUUGUUUGGGUCGUAGUGGAAGUUGAAGCUGCACAUAACUGUAGAAAUUUGGUUGGCAUUUCCAAGGACAGAUAUAAAAUUUUUAAAGAACAAAAGCGAGAGAGAAAAGCCAUCAACAAUGGCACUCAUGGCUUGGCGGGUUUUGGACUUUGAACUUGAGCUUCGGUGUCUUCCGCCAUGGAAUUGUGGGCAGAACGUUGAAAACCUCCAAAUAACGUUAUAUUUAGCGGUAAAAUUAAAGUAAAUUCUUUUAAACUAUAAAACUUAAAAUACUGAGAGAGAGAAAUAUUUAAAAGGAAUGAGAGGAGGCAAAGAAGUAGUAGAUUCAAAAAUAAUUGGCCCAUGCAGGUUUCGAACCUGCGACCUUCGCGUUAUUAGCACGACGCUCUAACCAACUGAGCUAAUAGGCCAAUCUGUAUACUGGAUAUAAUUUAUUUUAUUAAUUAAAGUACUAAAAUUUAAAAUUCUAAACUAACAAUUUGUGUCAAAGCUUUUAUAGAUUUGUCAAUUUGACUCCUUUUUUCAUAAAUAAAUAUCAUGUAUGAUACCAACAAUUCUAUUAUUCAAAAUUCCAAACUCUUAUAAACGAAUCUAUUUGGGCUAUCAAUUUCUUUAAAAAACAUCCAUACAUCAACUUGAAUUACCUAAUACUUAUUAAACGUAUGGACAAAAUAAAAACAAACUCUAAACCAUGUAUAAAUGCAAUAUUUUAAAUUUGAAAAUUAAAUUAAAGACUUAUGAACCAAAACAAUGAUAAUCAAUAUCAUUUUUAUUGAACUAUGUUUGAAUAGUAUAUCAAAAUAAAAUUAGUUUAGAACUCAUUUGGUGUCAUUGCAAUUGAUCAUAUUAUCAUUAAUUAUUCAUUAGAUUAAUCACGAGUAAAGAUUGAGGAACGUAAGCAUAUUUUAGUUGACAUUGAAAAUGUAUGUUAGUAAUUUCACCCUUUUACUAACAACAAAAUAAUCACGAAGAUGGUGUGUUGCUAACCACAAUUGUCAUGCAUACCAAACACCUAUUUAGUUUUUUUUUUUAAAUGAAAUUGAGUAUUAUUAUUAGUCGGUGAAACUUGUUAGAUUCCUACCUAUCAUAUCAACCAAUACUCGGUUAAAAUAUCACUUUAGAUUUGUAUAUUAAACUUUGUUUUAUUUUCGUACUCGUAGUUUCAAUACAUCAUAAGUCUAGCCUUUCAAAAUUAAAUUUUACCGUUAAUUAAAAUCAAUAACAAACUAUUAUUGAAGAUUAAAUUUAAAACUUAUUGAAAAUAUAUGAUGUAAAGUCCGUAUUUUAGGCAUUAAAUUAAACAUAAAUUCUAUUUCAUUCUCAAAUCUUCGUUUCAACGCGGAGAAGGGUUCUUGCCUAUAGGGGUGGGUGUGGUUUGGUUGGGACCUUUGACAUAGUCUUUAAAAAAAAAACAAAUAAGAACCUCAAAAGGGUAAAACUAUAGUGAAAUUUAAUCAUACAAAUCACUUUUCAAAAUCUAUUAUCAUUUCCUUACUUGCUUCCUUUCCUUGGUGAAAGACUAAAUAAAUAAAUAGAUUAAAAGAACACAUUCAUUCUCUCGAAAUUCUUCAAAAUUCUAUCAUUUGACAUCUCAUAAGUAAACUAAACAAAUUGAGAGUAGAUAACAUUUGUAAUAAAAGUGAUUUGGAAUUGUGUGAUCUUACUUUUUGUUUUAGGUCACCAACACAUCUUUAUUUAAGUUUUUUCUUUCUUAACAACAACAUAAUGUAUUGCAUUUUUAUUUUAGAAAUGAAAAAAAAAAAAUUCCCCACAAACAAAGGAAUCUAGUGUGGUUGUUUAAUUUUUUUUAAAAAAAAUGGAAUGGGGGUAAAUGUGUGUGUUUGGAAGUGGGGAUGUGUCCCUCAUGAUACCAUGUCUCCCUAAGAUUCUCCCAAUUGCUUUACUUUCUUAAAAUCACACUCAAUACCACUCUUCUUUUCAUUGUUUUUAAUUAUUAGUUCACCAAUCAACACACCUUUUCCCCAUCAUUUUUGGUUCAAAUCCCAUCCACACACUUUUUUUUUCCCCAUUAAUUUAUCAUCCAUUCUUUCUUAAUCUCUUUUUAAAAUUUGACCAUUUCUUCCUAAUUUUGCCUUCUCCCAUGUAAGAGGUUAACUAAACUUGCAAUUUAGCCUUUUAAACAUAUUAUCAAAACAAUAAUAUCUUUGUAAUCCAAAUAAAUAUCAAAUAGUAUUGAUGAAAGAAGUUUUUUUUUUUCUUUCUUUUAGAACUAGAAAGAAGUGGGUGUGUAGAUAAUAUGAGAAUGAAAGAUUGUGAACCAAGUUUUGGCACAAUCAUUUAUCUUUGUUCUAAAACUAAAACAAACAGUUCCCUUGAGAUAAAAGUACAAAGUUGGAUACUUUUUCAAGUUAAAGUAAUCUAAAUUGGAAAGAAUAAUAAUAGUAAUGUCCCCAUCACUUAUCUUCUUAACAUCAAACAAUAAAAUCCCCAAAAAAUAAGAAUACAAAAAUAGCACAUAUUUUGAUCAAAUACUCUUAUUUUAUUUCAUAUGAUAAGUUCGGAUCUUGUUCUGUCAACACCAAAUCUUUUUUCUUUUUCUUCUCAAAUGUUUUUCCAAAUAUAUUCCUUAUUCCUUAUCCUUCUUCCCUCUUCACAUUGGAAAAGAAAUUAGGUACCCAUCAAAAUACAAAGUUAGGUCAAGGUUCAAUGAAUCACAUGUUAGUUGCUCAUUCACAAAAUUUGGAAGUUUGGAUCAAUAAAAUAUAAGUAUCUAACUUUACGUUAAAAUAAGCAUAGUUUAACUCAUAUAGUAUAAAUAUUUAUUAAAUAUGAAUGAUGCAUAUACAUGAAUUCAUCCUUUUAGUCAUAAUUUGCUUUCUUUCUGUCUUCUUGAUAAUUUAAAAGAUAAAAUAAAUUGAUUUGGGUUAUGAAAUGGUUAAAAGUAUGUGUUCUUUUGGUUUUUAAUUCUGUUUUUUCUUUUAAAGAAAGAAGGAAAAGAAAUUCUGUCUCAUUACAAUCACAUGGAGCAUUGAAUACUUGUUUCCUAAUCAGAGAAUUCGAAUCACAUGGAACAUUAAUAAUGUUGUUUUUUUUAAAAUGAUGAAAAAGUGGUGACCUUUCGCAGAACUUCUUUUCCUAAAUGGGAAAACAACAUAGCAAAAUCAUCAUCUGAGUAUCUACAAAUUAUCUAUCUCUCAAUCAAACUUUAAAAUCUUCAAACCAUUUCGUGUCUUAGUCGAUUUUAGUUUUGAUUUCGAGUUAUUUCGGGUUAUUUCUCUUAAACUGUUAGAUCAGCUCCACGAGUUAAAAAGGAUAUUGUUGUUGGUUGGUGGUUGGUUCCAAUCAAAUUUUGCAGCCUAAUGGAAACUCAAACUUGCUAUAGCGCGAGAGAAACACAGAAAUAUAUGAACUUUUGAGUGUGGGAAGAUGUAAAUAUGAUAAAAGUGAAGGGAUGAAAUAUGUAAGUUUUUUUUUUUUUCUUUCAAUACAAACAACAUCUUGAGAAACUAUAAUCUCAAAUUCCCCAAGAGAAGGAAGAAAAAAGUAAUUAAAAGGAUAUAAAAAAAAAAAACUCAGAUUCUUUCCAAAAAAGAAAAAAUCAAACUAAUCCUGCAAAAAUAAUUCACAGCCUCUCAGAUUCUCUUUGCUUUUGAUAUUUGAUAUGGAUCUUCAUUUUUCUUCUUUUCUCUUCUCUUUUAUGUACUGUGUAGAACAAUCCUUCGGUAAGUAACAAACUCCAAUGUUUUGUAUUUUAUGCUUCAAAUAUUUAUACAUCUUUUGCCAGUGUGAGCCUGAGAUUUCCAGUAGUCAUAGCUUUCGGAUUUAGUAUCUUCCUCGUCCUCCACACUGUCGCCACCGGUCGUGGAAUACCCUCCGUUUCCAGCGAACUGGAGCGGCCCUUGCGGUGAUGCUGACUGAGAACUGCUCACCUUUGAUGAUUCACCACACCCAUCUUGGGACAUCCAUAAAUCUCCUAGAACAACAGGAGAUUGGUCUGCAGCUCUGGCAGCUGGAGUUGUUGGAAGUCGCCGGGUAUGAAGGCGGUAUUUCUGCAUCGACAAGCAACCGAUUGUUCUCGUUAUCAUAAUUGAUUUAUAAGUUUUGUAAUGUCAUCAAGCUUUCAGGGAAAUGAAUUGCAGAUUAGAAUGUUUAUGUUUUUGGGUCCUUACUUGUAAAUGACUUUUUACUUCAUCAUUGGUUAGGCCAUCUACCUGCAUCAACUCUCUAAUUUGCUUCGGUGUUGCCACUGCUUUGAUAGACAAAAAGGCUUGAAUUAGAAACAGUUUGAAUGCCAAAAAUUUCCAAGAAAAAUUAUCAUUUAUCACAAAUGUUAACAGCUCUUCUUCAAGCAAAUUGCUUAGCAUGAUCAACUCUAAGCUUGGUUGAACUGAUUUGAUUCAUCCAUUAACCCAAAAUCUCAUACGAGAAAACAACAGAAAAGUGAUCAUCAAAACUGAAAAUCAACUAGCAAUUGAUUCAAACAUGAAAAAAGAAAGACAAAUCCUUUCCAUUAUCUCACGUAUAAUUCUCACCUUGUGAACCUCCAAGUUGCUGCAAGGCAUUCUCAAACCGCCGAUGCAACUCUGGCGACCAGCAUCUCCUCUGCUUUCGGGCAGGCUGCUGUUGAGGUGGCAACACCGUCCGUAGAUUCGAUUGAAUAUCAGCAGCAGAAGUCGAAGUUGCUCGGUUGCCACUUGACCGCAAAACACAGGAAACCAAUUCUUCUCUAGUAGUCUUCAAGUUGGGAGUGACUAAAGAAAGUGCACAAAUGGGAGAUUCAAUCCUCUCUUCCUUCUUCACAGCAGCCAAGACUGGACAAGCAGAAGAAGAAGAAGAAGAUGGCUUGAACCCAACAAAUAAUCCCUCCUCAUUCUUCUUUCGAUGAACCCGAUCCUCUGCAGCAGCUACAUACCCCCACCCCUCAUUCCUCUAUCACAAAGAAGAAGAAAAAAGCUUUUCAAUAACAUUCACCCUAAUUGAAUUGGCCAUAAUUUUACAACAAACAAGACUUUUACUAUUUCAUUUUCAGACAAAAAAUGCAAGAACAACACAUCACAUCAAUCACAGAGUUGGUGUUAUCGUUAUGUACCUUGGUUUUGGUUUGAGUAUUUUGAAAGUCAUCCGUCUUCCAUAACUGAACAGAGCUCAUCCAUUCCUUCUUAUCUCUACAAUCCUCUUCCUUCUCAUUCUCAUCGGAAGAAUCUUUGUUCAAUGACAUGAAUUCCUCCAAAACUGGCUUACGUUUAGGAGAAGAACAAGAAGAAGUACAUUGCAGUGAAGUGUCUUUCAAAGCAAGGAUAGCUAGAAAACACAAAACAAAUAGGAGGGGGGAAAAAAAAAACAGGUUUAAAUCCAGAGAAUCCCAGAACGCAUGAAGAAGAAAUAAAACAAAAUCGAAAAACCCAUGAAAAAAAAAGUGGAAAGAAACUAACCAUCGUUCAAAAGAAGCAUACAUAAGGGAAGCUCGCGCUUGAAGGCAUCGAUCUUCUUCAUUUCAUCCUCCAAGCUGGUGAUAAGAGAAUGGAGUCGAGAGGACCUAUCAGAGGGAUUGGAAAGAGAGGAAAUCUGAUGGAGGAAGUGAGAGAUGGAGUUGGGAGGAGAAAGAGAAGGCAUUUGGGGAUGAAAUUGAGAGAAGGGAGAUGGGGAAUAAUAAUGAGAAAUUAGGGAGAGGAUGGAAGAAGUGGAGGAAAGAACAUGGGAAUUUAGAAAGGGAAAAUGAAGGGUUUGAAGAGAAAGAGUGUGAAUGGAAGAAACAAAGAAAAUGAAGGGGGGGGAAUAAGACGCGGAGAUUCUGCCUUGCAGAUGCAGAGAACGCAUCGCCGGUUUUAAACGCAGAUUCGAACGCCCCCUUCGCCCUUCUCUACAAACAAAAAAAAAUACAACACACCCACCCACUCUCGUGUUUUUCUUUCUUUCUUUCUUUCUUUUUUUUUCUUUUUUCUCUUUUAAUUACAAUACUUAUUAACAUUUUUAGGUUUCAAAUUAUAUAUAUAUAUAUAUAAUUUUAAUAAUUACUAAGGGAGGGAAUCUCUCGUUAAAUUAUGUUCCUAACAAUUUAGUUUUUAAUAUAUAUGAAAUUUGGAUUACACAUCUAAUCUAAAUUAUACAAUAUUAUCAUAUAACAUUAUUAAAUAUAUUAACCCACAUAAAUAACUCUAUUAUUCAAGCACCACAAAAUCGUAGAAAAUAGGUCAUGCGAAAUUAACUUAUUGGCCACAUAACAAUAAUGAUCAACGUCAUCUUUUAAAUCGUAUAACAUUGGUGCAAAGUUAUAUUAAAGUUUAAGAGUCAAAUCAUUGUUUUUUAGUGUAACAAAUGAUACGAAAGAAUUGAAUCUUCAAGCUAUUAAUCAUAUUAAUCUUUAUUAAACGAAGCCUUAUCAAAUGUACAUAGAAGGACGAGUUUUUCAUCCCACACCAUCUCAUUAACAAUUGCUCUAAAGCAAUUAAACUUUAAUAUUUUUUUGAAUUAAAAGGAGGUUUAGGCUUUGUUAUAUAUAUAUAUAUAUAUAGAAAAGAACAAAUAACCAAUCCCACAAAUAAAAUUUAAAAUUAAAUAAUUAAGAAAAGGAAUCCCAAGCAAUAAUGAGCCUUUUAAACCCAAAAAUAUGCACUAAAAUGUGGUCAAUGUUGUGAAGUAAGACAUGAUUUGACACAUAUAUACAACUUUCACCUAAUAUCUUUGAAUUUUCACUUUUCUCUUUAAAUCUUUUAAUAUAUAUAACUUUCUUAAUGCAAGCCCACCAAAUUGGAAUUUACCAUUUUGAGAGUAAAGUUCAUUGAGAUUCCCACAUCAAAUUAAUUAUAAUUUAUGAGCAUCACAUUUUCUAUUUCACCUCUAUUGUUUAUUUUAUUUUGUUAAUUGACUCUAAUAUUUUAUGCCUACUUUGAAAUUUACAACCUGUCUUUUUAGUGUGAAGAUUCUUAUUUGUUGGUUGUGCAAUUUUUUCAUUCCAAAUUUCCAAGGGAAUCUUCUGCUUCCAAAGGGAUUCCUAAACCCAACCUCAAGUUAUGUGUUUUUUUAAUAAUUUAAAUGCAAAAUUAUUUCAAUCCAUUUGAAAACGAUGGUUUGUUUAUGAUUAUUAGUUCAUUUGGUUAAGUUUCAUACUUUGUAGUUGUAACUAGGUUUGAUUUAUUUAUUUGCAUGUAUUUAAUUUUGAGGAUUUUGUUGGUGGAUUUUUGUUUGUGUAUGUGAUCAUAUUAUUUAGUAAUUACAAUUACAGCUGUGUCAUGAGUUUUUGUAUACUAAAAAUUAAUUGUAAAACAUAAUAUAAUAUAUAACAAAUAAAAUUUUUAAAUAAUGAAUGUUGGUAUUGUUUUCUAUUACAACAUUUUUAAGAUGGCGAAUAGACAUGUAAUUAAAGUAUAAUUCAACUAGUCUAUAUUUGAAGUUAAAAUCUCCAAACUAAAAUAAGGGCAUUACAUGAAUAAAAAACCUACCGAAAUAGGAUUGGAUUUGAAAGAGAAUUUGUUUUGGUAGGGGAGAGAUAAUGUCAGCUAGAAACCUGAGUCGGUGUCCAAGAUGCUGUCUUUGACUACUCCAAAACCACACCAUUUCUUGUUCUUUUUCCUUUCUUUUCUAUUCACACUCUCACACUCCCCAAUUAUAUUCCUUCUUUGCCCCACCCACUCCUACUCUCUUUCUCUCCCACCUUUUCUACUCCUUGUUUUUCUCUUUUAUUAUAAACAAAAUUAAAUUCUUGGUCUAUAUACCUUUUAUGAUCUAAUUAUAGUCCAAUAUAUUAUAUCAUUCCAUUCUUGUAUCUAAUAUUGUUGCAAUUUGUGUCAUGGACUUAAAUUUUGUAAUGAGAUGUAUUUUUUAAAUUUAAUAAGUAAUAACCAAUAGAACUACUAACAUUUAAAUUUAGGAUUAGGUGCAAAUUUGAAAAGAAAAAACAAUACAAACUAGAGCUUUAGAGACCUAAAAAUGUUUUUUAUUUUUUAUUUUGAACUUUUUGAUGAUAAAAUUGCAUUUUUUCUUUAAAAAAAAAAAAGAAAAAACAUGUAGAAGCACAUUUUGGAUGGAUUUGUUUGACAUUACACAACAAUCUUGUUGGAUGCUUUCUACUUUAAGAUUCUCUUGUCAAUUUUAUUUUAAAAGCAAAUGCUUCAUUGCUCGUUUUUAUUUUCGAUUCAUUUCAGCUCUUUUGCUCGGUUAGUAGAUUAUUUUUGUAAUACUUCUUUUUUUCAUAUAAAAAAUAGAUAGCAAUGACUAAUGAAUUUAAGUUAUGUUUGUUGAUUCAUAAUCAAUGAUUCAAAAUUUAUAAAGGUCCAUUUAAUCCUAAAUUAUACCAAGAAUAAAUGAGAAUGAGGAUGUCGACCCUGUCUGGCCUACACGAUUAAUUAUUGAUUAACUAUGCACAUUAUUUACAAAUAAAGUUGUCUACGGUUAUUUCAUUGCAUGCUUAGAGAUGAGAGCUUAUAUACCCUAGAGCGGAUUUUAUUCUUUUUAGAAAGGAUAUAAGUAUAUAUUUUAAGUAUGUUUUUUUCACUCGAAAUAUUGUUAUUGGUGGCAAUAAUCCAAAAGGUUACAAAUAAAGUUUAAAUAAAAGAAUAGGGCUUACAAAAUAAAAAAAAAACAAAGGAACUCUUUUUUCCUUGUGAAGCCUGACUCCAUAGCACUAGACAACUUCAGAAAGAUAGAAAGAAAAGGCGCUUUCUCACUAUAUCUUUUCUAAUAUUGUAUGUCUUUUUUAAUAUCGUACAUACGAUGACAGUGUGAUUAUGUUAAUUGAACAAUCAAAAUAAGUCUAAUCGCAAGAUUAUUUAAUUUUUUUUAUGAUGUUUACUUAAACAAGUUGUAAACAUAAUUUGGUUAUGAUUGAAGUUAUAUUAUCGUUAACUUAUUGAUUAGUUAAUGUUAAUUGAUAAUUAUACUUAAAUAUUAACUAUAAUUAUAAUUAAUAAACUUAGCUACAACACUAAAAUAAAUUUUUAUUACAAAAAUAUUAGGAGAAUAAAUUCCAAAAACUAUAGGAACCAAAACCACAAUUUUUUUUGGUUAAAUUUGUAAAUAGUUUUAUUAUUAUUUUUUAUUAUCCAUAACAAUUUGAAGUGAAGUACUUUUUCAAUCAAAUAUAGCAAAGAAACUAUUGAUAAUUCAUUAAAUUCUUGAUCUUCUUUUUUGCUAUUUAGGACAAUUCCUCCUCAUUUUAAACAAUCAUUUAUAUAUUUUAUUAAUGGUAAAAAACCAAUAAAAUUGUCUAGCACAAAAAACGUAAAGGAGAUAUGUUCCUGUUUUUUUUAUUACAUGAGAGCUUUUUUUUGAGUUUGAGUGACAUUAACUACACCCUAAUUUUGUACAUUUCCACUCCAAAUACCAUUAAUUAAACUUAUGCUAAUUUGUAAAACAUUUUUCAUUACAUUUUCAUAGUUUAACAUUCUCAACUUGAAUUUGAGAACUUCACAUACUUUUAAUAGACAUGGGAUAUUGAAAUAUUAUAAUAUGGAGAGUAAAGUAUAUAUUAAAAAACAACUAAUUAAUAUAUAAAUAUGAAAUGAGACAUUUUAAUUAGUCUUUUUUUUUUUUUUUUUGCUUUUGGUGCUUAAUUAAUGGUGGGGAUAGGAAGAAAAAGCUAUUGAAGAAUCUUAUGUACACUAUUUGACCCAUGAUGAGAGCAAUAUUUUAACAAAUUACUCUUUGAGCCAUUCAAAAGGGAAUGCAAUGACCUUUGAGUUGUUCAACCCUUUCACUUUUUUGGUCAAUUCUAAAGAAUUUAAGGAAAAAAAGUGCAAAAGUGUGGAAUCAUGUGUAUACAAAUACAUUUAACAAUCUUCUGCCACGCUUUCACGAGUAUUAGUUGAGUUGAUCACUCAACAAUUUUUCGAACAUAGCUACGUAUGAUCAUCUACUCUUAUAAUUAUUUUCAUUCAACUUUUCUUUUUAUAUAUCUAACAUGAUUGAAAAAAAAAUUAAACAUACGUUAAAGUUAGUAUAACUCAAUAACUAUUCUAUGAAAUGAAAAUAUUUUUAAAAUUUUCGUUCUACAAAUGCAAUAUAUAUUUAUUUAUUUUAUGUCAUUUCACCAAUAGGUUAAUGAUGUAUAUAUAAAGAACUCUUUUCAUUUAUAUUGAAUAGAAAAACUAGAAUGAAUAAAUUAGUCACAUUAGUUUUUUUAAAUUUUGAAAAGAAAAAAAGAUUGAAUAUAAUUAGGUUCACUAAUUUAAAAUUGGGUUUAAAAAAAACUCUCCUUUUUCACUUUUCAAUGAUGAAGGACAUGUUACCCACACUCAUAUCACAUUAUUAAAAGGAACUUUAGGGUACCAAAAUGUCUAAUCCUUACAAAAUGUUUGUUAUGUUUCUUAGUAAAAAAAGUGAUUGACUACAUGCAUCACUCUACACUAUUUGACAUGUGAUUUUUCCUUGUGAUACGAUCCAUGCUAAUAAUAUAUUCCCAUGGAAUAUUUGAAGAAAUAUAAUCAUCAACUAAUUUUUUAUAUUUCACUCAAGUCGAUUUGAUUAAAUUAUUAAUUUUUCAUAUCAUGCUAUUAGAGUGGCCCAAUUGACUCUACAAAUAAAAUUAUUAAUUUCACACUUUCACUUAAAAAAUUAUAGUAUUUCACGAUCACUCAAAAUAAAUUUAUCUUUUAAACAAUAAUUAUUAAAAGAGUAAAUAAAAAUGAAGGAUGAAAUUUUGAACAAAAAGACCUAUGGAUUCUCUAUACAUGUCGAUGUCAGUUGAACUAAAUUCUUGAAUUGAUGAACUCUUUCAUUUUCUAAGUAAGAGUAUGUAUAUAAAUGAGCUAUAUACAUAUAUACGUAUUAUUGUGUAAAAAAUUGGCCAGUUGCAACUCAAUAUAAAUAUAUGUUUCUCUUCAUAGUCAUUGUGACGAUCAUAAAGAGGAUACAAGUUAACAAAUUUUUUUGUCAUAUGUGAACAUAAAAGGUUAGAAGAUUGGACAUUUUUAGGUUUGAUUUUAUUUAGCUGUUGGCUGUGUGUUUGCUUGAAAUAAUCCAAUGUUUUACUUAUAUUAUAUUAUUCUUUGAAAAUAAGAAGAUUUUAGUUUGAAAAUCAACUUUUAUGUUAUGAAUAAUGCAUUUAAAUUUCUAAAUAAAGAGCCUAUUAACAAGUGGAAACAAAAACAAUAACAUAGUUCAAUGUAUAUAACUAUUUAAUGUCAAUGACUUAAUUAUUAAUUUGUUUCGAAGUAUAAUAUAAAAUAGUUUUGAUUGAUAAUAUAUUUAACAAAAGUUUUCUAUUAAUUAAAAGCAAAACCUAAAACUGAGUAAUUUGUUGUUACAAUUAAUACUAUUUAGAAAGGAAGUUGAGCGACUGAAUUCUUACUUUGGAUGGACCCAAGCCCAUAAAAGCCCGAACUACUUACUUAGACAAAGCCAUUUAUUUGGAUGGGCCCAACUAGGCCCAUAAAUAAUAUAAAGAAAAAGAAGGAGGAGGGUGGUUAAGUCAUUUUAGGUGUUUGGGUUUCACUGACUUUGAGAGGAUAAAAAUAAGAACAUCGUCAUCAUCAUCAUUUCAUCAUCUUCUUCCUCCCCACUAAAAUUUGUAGUUAAAAAGAAAAAUCUGUCCAAUUCCCAAUGCUGAGAAGAAAGCUUUUGGAGCUAAAAGAAAAACCACAGAAAUAGAAAGAGAAAGAGAAAGAGAAAGAGAAAGAAAAUUUUCAAUUCGAUUCACGAGCUCUGAUCAUCAUCAUCAAUCGAUCAAUCAAUCAAUCAAUCCACCGCCUCUUUUUAGAAACCCUAGAAACCCCGAUUUGAUUUUUACUCCAAGUAGACAGAUGAUAAAGGAAUUUCUCAGUGUGUGAUCUUACAAAUAAAUUUCUCUUUGUUGCUUUGCUGAUAAAUUAAAGGCAGUGAAGUUUGGUAAACUUUCACGUGCUCUGUUCUUUCCCCCUUCCCCCACUCCCACAUUUCACUGGCUCUCCUCUCGCCACAACAUCAAUCAGUUUCUUCUUCCUUCUCGAUUUUCCCUUUUCUUUACGUACUGCUUCGGGAAUUUCUUUCCCACGAAGCGGAUUCAUAUAAUUCUCACAACAAAUGGAUCGCUCCGCACUUACUGUUGGACCAGGAAUGGACAUUCCCAUCAUGCACGAUAGCGAUCGUUAUGAGCUUGUGCGCGACAUUGGCUCUGGAAACUUCGGUAUUGCUAGAUUGAUGAGGGAUAAGCAAACUGGAGAGCUCGUUGCCGUCAAGUACAUCGAGAGAGGUGAGAAGGUUAGUCAGCUGGUAACUGUCAUUGCUACAUUAUUAUGUUUAUUUCUGCCAAUUCUUUGAAUUUUAAGUGGGGAUUGUUUCAAUUUUCUUUGAUUUUCGUGAGUUAGUUUGAACUAUUGUGAAUCUGCUUCUGAUAGUAUACAUUUUUGUAUGUUUCUUGUGUUUUCGAUUUCUAGAGUCGGUUGAAGAUGGUUUUCUUUUUUUCUUGUUGAUUUGAGAGAAAAUAUAGAGUUAUUCACACCUUAGAAUUUUGUUUCUUAUCAAUUACAAAUAAUUCGUUUGUGAUGUUCUUCAAUUUAAUUUCUAGUUUUUUAAGUUUUUAUUAUUGCCAUCAGUCACUAUGAAUUUAUACGGGUUAUGAUAUUUAGUGUGACAAAAAAAUUGUUAUGAUAGAGAACAUGGAAAUGCCAUAUACUUGAUAUAAAAUUUUGAUAAUUUAACAAAUAUUAGUGUAUUAUGAAUUUCAAGACAUUCUAUGGAGUAUAAAUUAUUAUUUAGUUUAUUACACCACAUGUGGAGGUCAGGAAAUGGGUUAAUCAUUGAGUUAUGCUCAUGUUAUUUGAGGGUUGCCUUGUACACAAAAUCUAUAAAUUUAGUUUUAAUUACUUGAAUUUAAUGUGAAGAGAUAAUAAAAAAACGAUCAAGACAUUCUAUUUAGGGGUGAAAAGAAGUGCUUGCAACAUGGUUAGUUUAGUGACAACAUGUUACAAUAUUUAAUUACUUUAGUCAGAAUACUUCAUCAAAUGGCGGUUUAAUAGUAUUUACCAGCUCCAUUGCAUUUGACAGAUAGAUGCAAAUGUGAAGCGAGAGAUAAUAAACCACAGAUCUUUAAGACAUCCUAACAUUGUCAGAUUCAAAGAGGUUUGCUUUAUUAUUUAAUUUUGCUUUUAUCCUAAUCCAGGCAGAAUGUUUUCAUCUAAUUUAUGGCAUGGAAACAGGUGAUCUUGACCCCAACUCAUCUUGCAAUUGUAAUGGAAUAUGCAUCUGGUGGAGAGCUCUUUGAACGGAUCUGCAAUGCUGGACGGUUCAGCGAGGAUGAGGUUUGAUUUCUUUUAGGUGCAUUAAAAUUCUUGAUUUAGAUCCUCCCACACCAUCGUCAUCUGAUUGUUUAUGUUAUACUGAUCUGCAGGCACGUUUCUUCUUCCAACAACUUAUAUCUGGUGUUAGCUAUUGUCAUGCAAUGGUAUGUAAAUAAUUUAUAUUAGUGGCUUUUAUCAUUUCCUUUUUGCCCCCAGAAGCACAAGUCAUUGCUAGAAACACAAGAAUUUAAGUAAUUGUUAAUUUUUACACAUGUUUUGCAGCAAGUAUGUCAUCGUGAUUUGAAAUUGGAGAAUACGUUGCUGGAUGGAAGUCCUGCUCCUCGUUUGAAGAUUUGUGAUUUUGGAUACUCAAAGGUAAGACCUGGCUUCUUGCGUUUCAGCUCUACAAAUGCUUCCGUAAUCUUGAAUUAUGUUAGAUAAUUACGAUGACCCAUCUUGUAGGGACUAAAUUUUUUAGAGUAAUAAACUAUUCAACUACACAUUGUCUGUUUUACUUGAUCUGAUCCGUUCAUUGUCGAAUAGAAAAUUUAAUUGGUUCAACUGUAUUUAUAUCUAGUUCUAUCUUCUUUUGCUUGCACAUUCUGAUUUGGUGUUUUCCUUUCAGUCUUCUGUGCUGCAUUCACAGCCAAAAUCAACGGUUGGGACCCCUGCAUAUAUUGCUCCUGAGGUGUUGCUUAAGAAAGAGUAUGAUGGCAAGGUAAAUGUUAUAAGAUAAUUAUAUAUACACACAUUUGUAUUAAUAUGCCCAUUCUAUCUUGUGAUGUUUUUUAAGGUUGAGAUUAUUUCUCUUUUUUGGGUCCACCGACUGUGCAUUUCGCAGAUUGCAGAUGUGUGGUCGUGUGGGGUGACCUUAUACGUCAUGUUGGUCGGUGCAUACCCCUUUGAGGACCCUGAGGACCCAAAAAACUUUCGAAAAACAAUUCAGGUAAUAUAGGGGUUAAACCUACCGCAUUUGUAGUUCCAGGUCCAAUAUUUUUCUUGCUAAAAGAUUUGAUUGUUUAAUGCAGAGAAUCCUAAAUGUACAAUACUCAAUUCCCGAUUACGUUCUUAUCUCUCCCGAGUGCCGCCAUCUGAUCUCUAGGAUUUUUGUUGCCGACCCAACUAAGGUUAGACUCUAGAUUCUUGUCAACAAUCCUUUGUUGAUAUGAUUUGAUGUUAACUAAAAUCAUCUGGGAUAGAGGAUUACAAUUCCGGAGAUAAGGAAUCAUGAGUGGUUUCUGAAGAAUCUUCCAGCCGACCUUGUAGAUGAAAACACAAUAAACAGCCAAUACGAAGAGCCCGAUCAACCAAUGCAAACCAGUGAAGAGAUCAUGCAGAUAAUAGCUGAAGCUGGGCUUCCUGCUGCAGGGACACAGAGUCUCAACCAAUACCUUACCGGCAGCCUUGACAUCGAUGAUGACAUGGAAGACGAUGAAGAGAGCGAUGCUGAUCUUGACCUCGAUAUCGACAGCAGUGGAGAAGUUGUUUAUGCAAUGUAAUUGUUGAUAGGAUUGAAAAGGACAAACUAAAACACACAUUUGUAGAAUACACUUGGACGAUGAAGACUGAAGAGAUCUCAAGACCAUAGUAUAGAGAGGUUUAUCAAUAGAAUUGUGAACCGUGAACUGAGUCAGUGAAUCCAUCUGUUCCUAUAUAUAUAUUAGCUUUUCCUUGGUUUGGGGUUUUAUUGAUCACCUUUUAUAAGUGCUUUCUCUGUAUAAUUUGUCUAUCAACCCCAUAGAUGCACACUUCAUCCUCUACCGUUGUAAAUUUUUCUGUAGAAAAUAUUUGAACUGCUUUGUCAAUCCUCUGUUUUCAUAAUCUGCAUCCAAUAAUAUGAUUAGGUAACAUAGUAAAUUCCCACUUUGACAAGUGAAAUUCAUUAGAGGUUCUAAAAUCGCUAUCAAAGUAUGUUAUAUAUAUCAGUUGUAAAAAAUGCACGAAAGAACAAAAAUAGCUUUUGAUAAACUACACGCGAUAUCCACUCCACGGUCAGCUUUCUGAAUUGGCAUUUUCCUGGACAGUAGGAGCUAGGUUUUGCCCACUGUUCGAAUUUCCAUCUUCAGAUGUUUCAACUGAUGGUGGUUGUGACUGGGUUGGAGCCACCAUCUCUGGAGGAGGAGGAGCCGGAGCUGAAUACACACCUGGUGGAGGAGGGUACACACUUUGCCCAUACACAGGAGGUUGCGCAUGUCCCCCACUAACGGUUUGAUAAGACCCAGACUGGUCAUUUCCUGUCUGAGGAAGCGAUUGGGUCUGGUCCGUCGUCUGGUAAGUCCAGUACCCAGUGGAAGCUUGGUAUGCUGCAGUAGGAUAUGUACCUUCAGAGGUUCCAUUUGAUGAUGGCAAAGCAGAUGGUGCACUUCCUGAAUUAAGGUACAUGUUUUGUUGAUCAUAACUUGGUGGAAUCUGCCCAUAACUUGGUGCCUGUUGGGAGUAGCUUUGAUCAUAACCAUGAGUGCCACUUGAGGCUGGCUGACCAUAGCUAUAGUCAUGAAACUGAGGAGGAGCUGACCCAACCUGAGACUGUUGGCCAUAGUAAUUAUAUCCUGUACUUUGGUCUGAUGGCUGGACGGUUGAUUGAUUCGAUUGAUCCCAGCUUGCUACUUGAGCUGGGUAGGUGCUAUAAUAUGGUGGCCCCUGAGGCGGGGGAUAGGUUCCUGCUGCAUAACCAUAUUGAGGUUGUUGCUGCUGCAAUGGAGGUUGUUGUCCAGCUUGAGACCAAUUGUUGGUAGAAGGGUAAGUUGGUUGUGCAUAGCUAGUAGUUUCGGAUACCAGACGUUUCUGCAGAUACGGGUAUAUGACUUAAAAGAUAAUCAAUAUUCAAAAUCUUGCACUCUAUCCAAGUGUAUGCCAAUCUCUUAAGAAAAUUAUAAAAAUUCUGAUCCUUUCAACGAGGAAUACAAGAACAAUUUGUAGUUAAAGUUUAACUGACACAGUGCUUGUCCUACCAACUUGGAAAGUCAGGUUUAAUUCACACAUUAUUAAAAAGAUAGACCAGCUUGGCAAGAAAAUUCCACAGAUAAGUAGAUUCAUUAAUUACAAGUACUAAAUAAAUUAUGCAAAAAUAUUGCUUUUAAAUUAAUUACACCAAAAGUGGAGAGGAAUACUACGGGUUGCCAUGCACAUUUCAGAUUUUCAAUCAGGCAUCAGACACGAUAAUAUAAGUAAACAAACCAAAGAAACAUCAGCGGGAAAUUAGUAAAGCGAGAAAAAAAAAAAAACAAUGGCAUAGUUUAGAAGAAAUUUGAUGGUUUAGAUGUCAUUUCCUAAUGAUACAUUUAGAAAGUUAGGAGUUAGGAGUUAGGAAAGGAAACCAUUCUCCCUUAUAAAAAAAAACAUGCGAAGGCAACAGAGGUACGUGAUGAGUGAUAACUUACCCCGCUUAUGACUUCGUUGAUCAACUCUUUGGCUGACUCAAUCUGCUCCUUAAGCCCAUUAAUAUAAACACUUCUCUCUGUCGAUGUAUCUCCAGGAGGGAGGUGCAAAGGGAUAAUCUGUAAAAUGAUUAUUAGCAUUCCAGAUUAAGAGUACAAUGUGAAUGGUGAAGAGGCAUAUAAUAUUAUCAUAAGGGCGCUAAGACAACAAAGUAAUUUUCUUAUCUUUUUUUUCAAAUACAAACCCGUCUGGGUGGGGGGAUAAACAAAGCUAAGGAUACUAAGAUGUUGUAAUGAUGAAAUGGAGAUCUUUCUUUUCCUUUAAGUGAACGAUUUUUUUUCAAAUACACAAAGCUGAAGUGAGAAAAGAAGGCAAAGAAUAUGUGACUUCAAACAAUUCAGACAUGUCAAGGUUACAAAUCUAACAAUACUAAACAGAUUCAAACGGUAGUAUUCCUUCUCUUUGCUAAUUUUAGAGGCUCUUGGCUGUUUUUGUUAGGCAUUGGGAACAGUGCAAUUGUAUCUAGUUCACCCAAGUUAGAUAAUACAAUACCUGAACACGAGCAGCUGACUUGCUCUGUAUGCUCUUUAUAGUUUCACCUCCCUUUCCAAUGACAAGUGCAACCUAUAAACAAAAUCAUUACAUAACAUUAGCUUUACUUUCAAGGGUAGAUAAAACACAACGAAAGCAACUACCUUAUUAUUAGGAAUCUUCAUUACAAACUGCUCAACUCCAGGUUGACUUGAGUUAAUUGCCUGAUUAGUGGUUGAGGCAGAACCCCCUGAAUCUGCCUGUUACAUAAAGGUGCCUAAAUUAGCUUCACAUCUUGAACACAAAAGUUGACAAAGAUAGCAUUCUAAUCAGUGCUUUACCUCCGCAAUCACUUCAUUGAUAAGCUGUUCUGCCCUGCUAACUUGUUCCGAAGUGCCCAUUAAUUCAACAUCUCUAGUUAAAGACUGUGGAUCAGCUUCAAAAUCUCUGGUGAUCUGAAUCUUAGCACCUGAUUGAAGUUGAAGGUAUUUGAUUGUUUCUCCUCCUUUCCCGAUAAUCAAUCCAACCUACAAACAGAUUUUUGGGUGGGGGGCGGAAAUCACAAUUGUCAGCAGUAGGCAAAUGGUAAUCUAUCUGAAAACAAUGUGGCAAAACUAAGUACCUUAAUAUUUGGAAUAUUUAUUUUCUUACUUGUGGUUUGAAAACCAUGAUAUGGACCUGCUUGAGUACCAGAAGAAACUAAACACUUGAAAGUUAGCAAAAUCUAGCAUGACAAAUUUGUGUUUCUUUUCAAUAGAAAGUGUAACACACGUUCAGUAUUUAAAGAAUACAAAAAACAGUGUGAAUCUCAAGGAUUCCAAAGCAUGUUACAGAUCUUAAUGCAAGAAGGAAACAAGACAUGAAGCAGAGUGAUUUGAGUAUGAAAAUAAAUGAACAUCUACAUCUACUUCACGAUUGGUAGAAUAAGAAUUAUUUUUGAAAAAGGAAACAAGCUAGUAGAGUAAGAAUUAUUAACCAAAUUAAACAUGCCAAAAGGAAUCUCAAGUAACAGGCAAUAAAUAUAAUCAGUUCAAAGAAGAGUUACACAACCCAUUAAUGUGGACAAACAAACAUAGAAGAAAAGGAAAGAAAUAAUGAAUUUUCAAUGACAAACACAGAGAGACUGUAGACCAUACAGCCUCAAAUUGAAGAGUCAUUUACAUUAUUUUUUAAACUACUAUGCUUUUGUUGUUGAAUAAAGAAACAGAUAUUCCUUGUCUAAACUACAUGAAGUUGUCAAGAACAAAUUUUCUUUCCUAGCUCUAUAACAUCCUGAUCUACCCACCCCUAAUCUCGUCAUUCAGUGGUACUGUUUCACUCUUUUCAUAAAACUCCAUAAGCCUAGUGUUAAGGAUCAUUUUGACUGUGGCCACAAACCGAUUAUGAAAAGUUUUAACUGUAGUUGAAUGGAAAGACAAUUGUAAACUAAAGCAUUCACAGAUGAAGUACCAACGCCUACUCGUAAAUUGACACUGCAAGAUGCAAUUUUAACUCUCUUUUGUAUUUGUACAUAAAUUGCACUGGUUUGAAUAGAAGGAGAGCAGGAAAGGUCAUUCUUUGGGCUCCUUCCAUUAACUACCCAAAACAAAGGGUGCCACAUAUUUGAGGCAGUGCCACUCCUAUUUAUUGCAAGAGCGAGUGCUUUAUGAAGAAAACAACUUACAAUCAGGUUUAUGAACAAAGACUCCGACAAGAAGUAAUUUGGAUUCUAAAUGUUCCACAUCCUUCUAUGAUUUGAUAAAAAUUACAAAGUUGGGGGAAAUGGAUUUGAAACAACUCAUUCUAUAGUGAUCAAAACAACAAUCCUCUGUUAUUUUCAAAAGAAAAAACUUAAAGAGCACCAGUGUAGAGAGGUUCUUCCUUUUCUGACAAAAUAAGCUUGAUGUGGCAUGGAGAUCACAUGCAUGGGUUAAUUUUUCCGUGAGCACUGUAUGUAUGUAUGGCGUCAAUGCUUUUGAGCUGGGUUCACCUAAAUGUGGGAUACAAUGAGAGAAUCCACUUCGGUGUUGCUCUCAACAUUCUUGAGAGGACCUAGAACAAAUUUUGCCGAUUUAAUAGGCCACCGUCCUUGUCCAUCUGAAUGCCUGUUUUUGGCCUGUUUGAUCAACACCCCUACAAAAUAGUCAAAUUGGAAUCGCUUGCUUGGGACAAGAACAUCCUCCAAUUAUCUUUUUGCCUUGGCCAAGGGAAACUUUCUGAGGACAUGAGCUGUCUCUCCUGUAUUCUUGAAAUGGACUCUAAGGUUGAAUCGACUUGGUGGCGUUAUCCUGCUCCCCCCCUUGAGUACUUAACUAUGGCAGCAGAUGACAGUUCUCGAAAAAACUUGAGCCCCUCAUGUGAAUUAAGCUCCAAUGAGCUCUCUUAUCUAAAUUAGUGUUCCAUGGGCUACGGAAAGGAAACGUACAUUAGGAGGAUAAGUGGUUAGGAUAGACUCCUCUGCUUAAUGUUUCCCCAUUUAUAUCAUUGACUUCUAUGCAAAAUCAUCUAUCACAUGGCUCUCUUGUGGGUUAAGGAGUUUGAGUUUAGAACGGUGAAAAUGGAUAUUUGCCUUCGCAGCAGUGACCCUACUGGGGGCUGUAGUUUGUUUUUUCAUUAAAUUAUUCAACCAUUCUCCUUUUCUCGUCUAUGUGUUAGGUGAAAAUUCAAAGGUAAAUUCUUUGUUUGGCAGAAAAGAGAAUACUGUCUUUGAUCAGGUUGUAAGGAUGCAUUAUUAGUUGGAAAACAGAGGAAGGAGAAGACCUAGGUAAUAUCUUUUGGACCUACAUCUUUGCAUAAGCCGUGGGAAAUUCUCAAUUGCAUCAACGCACAAGUUCUCGUAAAGAAAGAAAUUCAUUUUCAUCAACGUCUCAACUGUCAUAGUAAAGCAGCAGAUAUCCAAAGAUUACAAUAAGAAGUAUGCCAACAUCAUGGGGUACCAAUUGCUACAAACUCCAUAAUGCUCUACAAAGAUGAUUUCUGAGCCUUUGGACUGGAUUGAUGUGACCCAAAAAUGACAAAUUGUUAAAACAAGAUUAGAUUUGAUAGACCGUGAGAAAGCUUGUUCAAACUUCCAUCACAAAGGUUACCCUUUGGAUUCAGAAAAUGACUCGACUCCAAUUCCAUUUUCUCCAACAAAUGAAACGAGUAAAUCUUUCAUCCAUACACCCAACUUAACCAUAAUUCUAUACUAUCAAAAUAGUCUAAAUCCAACGACAAGAAAGUCAAAGGAAGAACUAGUAUUAAACUCAAGAGCAUAAAAACAAAACGGAGUAGCAGAACAUUACCUUAACCUAAUUUCUUUUAAAAGGAAAAGAAAAGGAAAAAAAAAAAAAAAAACCCUAGAUGCAAAGGAAUUGAAGAUAUUUUCGAAGCUUACCGGUAAAUGUGGAAGAGGAUAAUGGUGGGUUUUGAGGGGGAGGGCGGGAGCGGGGGGUUCAUACUCAAAACGAGGGCGUUUGGACUCGGCAUUGCUGACCAGCUUAGCAACAAUUUCCUGAGCUUUUUGUUUGGCCAAUUGAAUAUUCUCUUCGAGCUUGCGCUUGUUAGUGUCGGAGUGAAGCUCAUCGGCGUCGUCGUGGUCUUUCAUGGGGGUGGGAAUAAAGUGUUGGAGAAGGGAAAUAGCGGUGAGGGGAGGGGAGAGGAGUGGAUGGAGGAGGGGUUUGUUAAAGAAGGGUGGUGGGUAGCGGUAGGGCUUUUUUAAGUUUGCUUUUUAAAACCAAAAUGGAUUCCCAAGUCUUUCCCUCGAAGUCAAACUUCUCUUCUAUCAUCUCUACACAUUUUUUCUUUUUCUUUUUCUUUUUGUAUUCUUGUUAUACUGAUUUCCAACCCACCCAUUCCCCAUAGUCUAUGUAUUUUGAUAUUCAAAUUUUAUCUUCUAAUCUUUCUCAAAACAAAAACAAAAUUCUUUAAAUCAUUUUCUACCGGAUUCUCUUCCCACCCAAAUCUUCAUUAUCCCCUCACUUUGUUGCAGUGUACCUAAGCUGACCCAUACACCGAAAUCAAAAUUCUUUCAAUCAUUUUUUUUAAUCAUUAGACCAUGUUUAUGGAUCAAGAAAUCAUAAUUGAAUCAAAUAAAGAAAUUGAAGAGAUGCGACGCUUGGAAGUUGAAGAGUUAUUUUAGCAACCCAAAAGUCAUAAUAUUAAAUGGAACCGUGUAUUUAUGUGCUUUUCAUUUACCAUGGUAGUUGAAAAUGCAUAGAAUUAAAUGUGACUUUUCAUUUCAUAUUUUAAUUAGUGUAAAUAAAGUUGUAAUUUCCCCGUUCUUCUUAAAGAAGAGGAAUUUGGAUGAAUGAAAUUUGAAAAUUCUAUAACGUAGAAUUUUGGUCUUGUGUGUUCUUGUGAUAGAAUGCACGAAUAUUUGAAUCAUUCAAGUGAUGAUUGAUAUGUUUUGCUUGUAGAGUGCUUUAAAGAUCGAGGGUUGAUGGAAGUUUCAAAACUUUGCCCGAUCCUUGGUUUCUUAGAUCAUCUAAGUAACUUGAAUCUAGCAUUUCUUAGGGGCUGUGUUCUUUGAGUCUUAUUGUUUAACAUGGUUCUUAGAUCAUAUGCCCAUAGGUUUCUUAUCAUUUGGUAUCAGAGCUUUGGCUCUAGAUCGGAUAUAUCUUUUCAUUAUUGCAUUAUGUUCUUAAUUUUCUUGAUCCAUUUUUUUAGCUAUCUCAUUCACAUCGAGUUCUUCAAUGUUUUAGAUCUAGGUCUAAGCUAUAAAAUUGUCAUUCUAUAUAUUCAAGUUCUAUCACAUUAACACCGAUCAUGAUCCAUUAGGGCAUAGCUUUGGAAAUAAUGAUACCGAUCAUUAUAUCAAUGGUUGAACGUUCAAUCUCUCGCCCCACAAUGAGCUGUUAUACAAUUAUUUUCACAAGCCAUCCUUACUAAUUUUCUUAAAGUUUAGGAAGGAGUUGAAGUGUAAAACCAGCCUCCACUACUUUCUCUGUACUACAUACAUGAAAGAAAGAAAAUUUUGAGAAAAUUGGAAUUACAUUGGGUUUCAUUUAAAGCUUAUCAGGAACUGUUUAUCAGGAAAAUGAUCCCUUUGAUGAAGCACAAUCAGUCUCACGCUAUAAGACUCUAUUGAUCAGUUUGCUCGAUCGAUCACUUCAUUCUAACAAAGCCAAGGAUGAUUGAAAGAGAAGGGGAUUACAAGCAUGUCACGAAAUCCUACAUAGACAAGAGUGUAAAGUUUCAUGCAUUGAACAAAAUGCAUCUGCUAAUGCCAGAUAAUUGGAUCUCAUUACACAUGUAAAACAAUACAAAUAUGGUCAUGAUUAUCCCGUUUCUGUUUAACCAUUUUCCCCUUUUCAAAAACUAUCGAUUCGUCCCUUAAUUUGCAUUUGUUACAAUUCCAAGAACCUUAUUUGACAACAAAUUCACGUGUUACCCAGUUAUCGAGGGACAAAAUGAUAGAACACAAACAAAACUUAAAGACGAUAUAGAAAUAUAUAAAAAGAAAAAAAAAAUUACAACUAACCCAAGCAUAGUUCAACUGCUUAAAGCAUAAAUUACCCAGUCAGUGGUUUAUAUCCUCUAACACGUGAUGUUGAACUCUAAAUUAUUGUUGUUAAUAAAAUAAAAUUGCGGUACUUGGACCCUCCCUCUAUUGAGAUCACUCAAGCCUAAACCAACUCACUCAAUUUGCACCUCUACGCUGUAACUUUUCCCACCUGCUGAAAACAAUUCUCCUAACUAAUUAUUGACAUAUCUUUGAUACCUUAAUAAGAUUGAUUAUUACCAAUACGAAUCCUAUCAGAAAGCUACUAUUAAAUCUGGCCUCAAUAUUUGAGGCACCCAAGUCAUAAUUAUUAUUCCUCACAUGGGCAUGAUAAUGAAAUUAGACUCUAACAAGCAUUGAGCAACAGUACUUUUUUUUUCUUCUUUUACUCUUAGUAGUAAUACCUGGUCCAUUGUUCUAUAUGCGAUUUCAAUUAAUUCUUCUUCGUAUCCAGGUGAUUCUCGUUAUGCUUCAGCAACAUCGAUGUCUUUUGGGGUCUUCUAAACCAGAGAAACAUAGACCAUGUAGUUCUGACCAAACCUCCAUUUGCCAAGUGAGGAAUGAAUAUGCGACCCCAAUAUGGAUAGGAUGGGCCGGGCAGUUUAAUGAGAGUGAAGAAUAUUGCAAUUGUGAUCAAAUGCCAAGGUACUUCUAGAUCCUGGAAAAAAGGAAAACGGUGGAUAAUAGAAAAGACUAUUAACUUGCCAUUCUAUUUUAGAAAGAAACAAUUAUAAAAGGAACAAUUACGAAAUGUUCAGAAAAGGAGUUCAUCCAUGAUUAAUAAGACAACCUCAGAAACCUACUGAAUCCCCCAAGAGAUCAUUAUUCCUACUUGCCACUACAGUUAAGGCAUCCAAGAUGAAAAGUAUCCUCAUAGACAAUGUAGAUAGUAGAAAUUAGAGGCCAAUGAAGAAUUUCAAACAGCUCUUUAAAUUGUAUUCCAACUAGAGGGCAAGCUUUAGAGUGUGUUCCAAAGAAAAAUAAUCAACGGGAAGCCUAAUAAAACAUGUUCAAACAUUCCUAGCUAAUAGCAUUUCGAAAAUGACUAUUGUUCAAAAUGAAAAAUGCAACAAAGACAAAAAAGAACAUGGAGGAGUUGACUAAAAAAACAAUAAGGAAAUGAAAUAACAAGUGCAACAUCAGAUAGUUGAAAUGAUUUUCAAUUUUACUUGGUUAAUAAUUGGAAAAUGAUUUUCAAUUGCCUCACCCGCAUAUAAGAAUUAUUUACCUAAUCCAUAAAUAGUAGAAAAUGUUAUUAUCAAAGCCUCAACAAGGAUGACAUAAAAACAGAACUAAAAUGGAUGAUAUCAGACGAAUGCUUCGUCAAUAAUCCAUUCAACUAACGUCUCACACAUAAUGGAGAGGUGAUACUAAAAUCUUACCUUAAGAAUUGGAGAUAGACUUAAAGCUGUCUGUCUCAUGACCUCAGCAGCGGAGAAGCCAAUUAUAAAUAGAAAUGGGACAAUAAGAAGCUUCUUUUCAUGAGCACAGUAAGACAUCUCGCUAAGGGAGGUAACGAGGAGUAAUGGUACAAACAAGUACUUGAUAACCGUCAAGAUGAGAUCAGCAAUAAGCUGGAUGAAGUUAUCCAAUGCCUCGUUCCAAGGGAAAGACUUCACUGGCUCUGGUGAACUUUCCCAAAGCUGUUUUACCCUGUUCUUCAAACUAUCCCAAUUUACCCUUCCUGAAUCGUCUGAUUGUCCUGCAGUCAUAUUCGUAGCACAAGAGACCACUGAUCCAGCAUUCUGAAAUCUUUUAUGUGGUUUUAAACUCACUACGUGGCUGCAUUCUGGUGACCGUCGCUACAACAGGAAUAACUUUUGUAAACAAAUUGCUCGAGACAACAUGACUCAACCAACAAUGUCUUGACAUAUAAAUUUGGAUGCGUCAGUUAUGUUGAAAAACAGAAAUUUAGAAAAAGAAAAGGCAACAGGCUAAGCAAAAGGUGCCUCAAGAAAAAGUUGAAAAAAAUUCAUUAAACAGAAUGCAAAUCCAUCACAGAAUUGACAGUCUAAAUUUUAAAAGCAGAAGAUGCAUAUCUGUUCACCAUUGACCAAAAUACCACUUUCACCCACAAAUAUUAGAAGACAAACUAAAGCAAAUUCAGUCAUUUCUAGUUUAGACCUGGAUAUUCAUUCAAUUCAGAAAGUUCAAUCCAUAGGCCAUUAAUGCUGAAUAUAGAGGAAAUAACAUGAUAUGAGUUUGAACGAGAGCCCCCACAUUAUCAUCACGUUCAAUUAACACUAAUGACUAAACUCAAAAGUUCAAGCUAAUAAGCUAGGAUGAACUUAAUCAUUCUAUAUGCAUUUCAGACAUAGAUGCACCCUUAUGAUAACCACAGUCUUCAGCAUUCUUCCCUCUUGAAUGGUCUCUCCUUUCCUUCAUGGCAAUGAGAAGCUAAAAUAGAUAAGUCUAUACCUCUUUUCCUUCACAGCAACACUAUUUUCCUUCAAAUUGAGUUUUGAAAUCACCAAUCACCAUCACCCACAAAUUCAUAUAAAGGUUAUUCCAUAAAUUCAAUCAACAUCGUUUCUCGACUACCAAUUAACUCCAUCAACACAAAUGCAUUCUCGAAAACUAUAAACCAAGCUCUUAAAAUCCCACCCACAAAAUCAAGCUUCACAGAAGAUACUUCAGAAAAGAAAGAAAGAGAAAAGGGUGGUGGAGCUUACACUGGGAGCUAGAAGAAACGGGGCGUGAAGGGCCAGUUUCAUGGAAGUUUGAAAGUGGGUGGGCGGAGAAAGCAGGUGGGUCGCCAUAGCUGGACCUCAAUUGAAGCUUUUGAUAGAGGAAACACAAUUUUGGAAGGAGGGUUUCUUCUCAGACACUAUAAGACAUGAGAAAAUCUGAGCUCCAGCGAAAGAAAAACCUGAACUUGGAUAGAAGGGUUUAAGAUGACGGGACCCAAAUACGCUGCCGGCUCCCCACGGUAAUACGGAAGGAAGAAUUGCUAAAACUAAAUCGAAAUUACUUUUUAAAAGAAAAACCAUCAAAACUAAAAGUCAAUUUUAUUAUCCUAUUUUAUAGAUUUUGCAUUUUGGAAAAAUAUGGGGUCUCCAAAUAUUGGGUCUGCUAUAAUCCAAGUGAUUGAAGUUUAAAUUUUAACAGAACUUAGAGCAACAAUGUGCAUUGUCAUUGAAAAAGAAAGAAAGAAAAUUGUCCUAAGCAACUCUAACAAGUUUUUAAAAACUUGUUAUAUGAGUUUACGUCUUUGGAGUACAUGAUGAGCAAAGCCCAAGAGCCCAAUCUUCUAGGGAGGCCCACCUGCUAUUCCCUUUUAUUCUACUAUUUCCAUUCUUUUAAAGCAUCCUUAUCAAAUUAAAACAAACCUUUUUUUGUAUUACAACUAGUCAUUUUAUCUUUUCCAACUUUAGUAACAUUUUGCAUGACUUAAUGAAGCACCAUCCAGGAAUUAAAUACCCAAGAACUCUUUAUUUGCUUUCUUUAGAUAAAAUCAACACAAUUCUUAAAUAUAUAGACCAUGCAUGCAGGUGUAUGAAUAACUCACAAAUGAGUGAUGAGUCUUCCUUAGGCUCCAAAAUUAAUAAGAAAGGAAAAUGUCAAAUUAAACCACAAAAGGGGAGUAUGGGUUCCAAAGGGAAUGUCAAACCACAAACGUGUCUUCCCAAUUUCCCAUGCAUAGGAAUAUCACAUUUCAAAGAAAAAUGUCAAACCACAUGUCAUCCUACAUUUACCAAUAUUCUUUCUUAAAUAAAACACCAUAACCUACAUCUAAAUUAUUACAAUAUUUUCAUCGGUUCUAGUUUUGACUACUACCUACCAUAUAAAUAAUCAUAAAUAUUUCUCUAAAUAAAAAUUGGAAUAUUCUACCCUCAACUUGAAUCCAUCUAAAUCAAUUUUCAUGUAACAAGUUCAAUGAAUUCAUCAAAUCGAGUAAUAUAAUAAUUGACAUCAAAAUGAAACUUCAUUUCAAUUUCAAAGUCAAACCAAUUCAAAACCAAAUAAAUAUACUUAUAGGCAUUAUCUCUCAGUUCCAAAAAACAAAACAAAAAAAACCCCUCAAAUGCCUUACUAUUAAAUAAUUAUCAUCCCACUUUCUUUCAUUUUUUAUAAAAUUUAUCUAAUGGUCAAAGUUUUGAGUUAAGAAGCGCAAAAUAAAACUAAACUUAGCAAAAAAAAAAAAAAAGAAGCAUCUCAAAAUAUUGAUUACGGUUUAAUAUCAUUUGACCACUUCAAUUUAUGAAUAUAUCGAUCAAGAAGAUAUUUUAAUUUUUAUUUAAGAGUAAGCUCAAACUAAUUAAGGUAUGUGUUGUCAAGAGAGAUCAAAAGUUCAAACUUUGUACCCUCCAAAAAAAAUCAAAAUAGGUGACUUAAACAAGUGAUUAAUAAAAUGAAAGAAUCUUAUAUAUCUUCAAACACAAAUAGAAAUGAGAACAAUUAUUGAUCAUAUGUCAAGAGGUACUUUUGAGAAUAUUGGCAGCUUUUUACUCUCCAUUCUUUAAAACAUUUGUAACAUAGCCUAAGUUGGAAAUUUCUAUCGAGUUUUCAAUUAAAGAUCGAAAGAAUAUGAAUAUAGUUAAUGGCCACACAAAUAUAAAAAUUUGUUUUGGGAGAGUAGACCAAAGUUUUCACUUGAAAAGUGGAUUUUGUUAAUAAUUUUAUGGUUAUACAUGUAGGUUAGGGUUAGGGUUAGGGUUAGUAAGUUGAUAGAAGAAAAUAUUUUAAAAUUGCAAAGACUAAGUUACUACAUAGUGAAUGUUGAUUUUAUUAUUUUUAGAAUCAAAACUAAACAGAGAAUGAGAAAAAUAUCGUAAAAUUAUGCUCAUGUUUUAGCAACACAACAAAGGUUUAACUCAUCCAUGUGUUAGAUAAUUAGCCCAAAAAAACUCAUUUUAAUAUUUUAUUUCAUAACCAUUUUCUUUUCUGAUAAUGUCAAGAACUACAACUGUGGAAAUGUUGAAGUUGAACUCCUUAUAAAUAAAUAAUAUUAACAAUAAUAUAUAAUUUGGACCCACUUAAUAAGUUAUUAUUAUUGUUGGAUAAUUGAGAUAAUGAAUAUUCAUUGUUAACCAACAAAUAAAUAAAUAAAAUUGUUUAAAAAGAAAUGCUACUAAACAAAGUGGAAUGAUGGACUGAGGAAUUAAAAAUACAAUAGAGGAGCCAAAGUCAUUCCCCACAUUUUAUUUAACAAAUUAGAUUCAAAAUGUGAUUUAAUAUUACUAAUUAAUCAAUAAAUAUUAUCUUAUUUCUUGUUAUUAUUCUUAUAUUAUUAGUUUAUAGGGAGGAAUUGAAAGGAAACCUUUCCAAGACUUCGGAAACUAAGAUUUUUAAUUGGAAAACUCCUAUACUAAACAUGUUAGAAUAGGUCUAAGAGGUAAAUCUAUCUUCUAACUCAUUUAAGAUUCAGAUUCAAGUCUUGUGUUAUAUUUUAUCUACAAAAUGUUUAGAUCCAUCAAUAUGUAUGUAAGCACAUGCACAUGUAUAUAAUAGGUUAGAGGGAAUAAUGUAGUCCCAUUGAACAGUUGAGGGCAACUUUUAUCAUUUAGUAAAAAGAUUAAUGAAUUUAAUUGAGUGGCAGCUGGGUGGUUGCAAAAUUUAUAAGAUAAGGUCAUGAUAUGAUCAGUCACAUUACUUAUUUCAAACAUGUCUUUGCUGCCUCCUCGUGGAUAAACUUUGAACUGUUCACUGUUCACUUUUCUUUUUCUUUCAAAAAAUAAAUUGUUCUCCAUCACUUUGUGUGUCUAAAUCAUGACUUCCUUUUGAUCCCCACUCUUUUAUGUACUUUUUCUUUUUGGUUUCAAACCAAUGAAAAGCAUCUUGUUUUUCUUUUUUCUUUUCUGAACUUUUCUUCUUCUAAAUUUAUCAAUUCGCUAAGUGGUCUCUCGUCUUACAUGUGAUGUACUUAUGCCAAUUUUACUUUUCUUUUACUUUAUGAUUGAAAAGAACGAAUCUGUUUAGGACAACAGAGAGUGUGCUUUACUCUCUUUGUAAAUGAGAAGGUUUAAUUUAUAAUUAAUAAAUAUCAUGAUCAAUUUUUACUGAGAGGAAAACAUAUUAUUAAUGAUAGCAUUGACAUAAACUACAUCAAAUAAUUAAUAACAUUCCAUCAAUUAUUGUUGAAAGUAAAAUAUACUAUUUUAUAUAUAUAUAGUUUGAAUUUAAAGCAUCACUUUUUUUUCUUUUGAACUGCUGUACUGAAAUGAUUCUCUUCUAAAUAAUGAAACCCUUUAUUAUUUAAUAUAAAGUGAUGCAACUCAAAUAAUUGGGGAAGACAUAAACAUAUAAACAUUUUGCAAAGACUUUUAGUUCCUUGACUUGUUGAACUAAACUAAACCCUUUUUCAAAAAAAAUUAAGAAAACCCCAUAUAUAUAUAAUAUAAAGCUUCAAAGUCUAAUACGUGAAAUUAAUAAAUAAUUUUAUAACGUUGUGGAAAUAUUAAAUUAGGUUAAAUUACAUAAAUUAAUGUAUUCAUUGAAAAAAAAAACUUAAGUUUUCAAAUAUUAAAUAUUUCACUAUUUAAAUUUUGGAGAAAGAACUAAUAAAGCCACGAUGGUUAAUUUUCUAUUAAACAUAUAUAAAUUCUUUUAAAUAUAUAUAUAUAAGUCUAAAGCCCAUUCAUGACUAAUAAUGAGAUAAAUUAACAAAAAUCAUGUAUAGGUUUUAGAUUUUUUUUGGUUAAAUAAUUUAUGAAAAAUAAACCAUCAUCAAACAAGCCUUUUAUAUAUUACCUAAUACAAAGUAUUCUAAAAUUUAAACAUCAAACUAAAUACAAAACUAAGUCGAACAAAAUAUUCUAGAAAUAAACUCUAAAAAUUGCUUCUUAAGGAUUGGAAUAUAAUCUUCUAACUUGUACAAUCAUUAAAAUGUACUCGCAAACUUACAUAGAAAUACAAUGAUGAUAUAAAUGGAGAGUCCAAUUUUUAUUAUUAAGAGAUUCAAUUACUACAAUUACUGUCAUAAGAUGGUUAUAGGGUUUGGUUUUAAUACCAAUAUAUACAUUUGAUGACUCAAUUUUUAUAAUGAAAAGUUGGAUGGUACUGUAAAUUUGUAAGUAUAUCGUAUUUGACUCAAAAUUUUGGUUUUUGUAUUUCACUCAAAAUUUUGUUUAUAAUAUUUAAAUAUAAAUGUUACAUCUCUGAUGUCAUUUGUGAUGAAUCAUGCAAUAUGAUAAAAGAAAAAAAGAAAAGUGAGAUUUGUUUAUAGAGGCAGUCAUGAUCAUCUUAUGUGUUAAAAGUAGAUUAGGUAAACAAUUUUUAUGGAUAAGAAGAGAACUACUUGGCUAUCAAGUUGAGUUAUAAUUAUAACAAAUCAGAUCAAUAAGUGCUUUUUGGAAAAAGAGCAAAAAAGUACUCAAAAUAUUCCCAUGGUUUUUAGUUUUUAAUUAUUUAAUCUUACAGUAUGAUAUUGCCAAGUUGACAAUUUUUCUUUGGUUUCUUCUGUUAUUCUUAUUUAACUUUUUUUUUUUCUUGAAGUGUUUUAAUAGUGUUGUUUGUUUAUAACUUUUUUUUGAUUGAUGUUUAAAUAAUUUUGUAUUUCUAACCACUUCUAAAUUACACAACUUGGAUCAUUAUUUUAAUCGUAUUUGUUACAUUAAUAUUGAAACAUAAAUGGAUGGAGACCUUAAAAACUCUUAUGUUCCUUAAAUUUAAUUCGUUUCAAGGAAAAUUAUUCAAAAAGGAAAAUCUAUAAAAGUAUUUUACGUUUGUUACUUUCUUUAGUUUCGUAGUUUGAUAAUUAUCUCAAACUUUUUACGAUGAGUUAUUUGUUUUUUUAAUUAUUUAGGUUAUUCUUAUUUAAUUUUGUGAGUAUAUAUUAUUAUAUUGAUCACAUUCACUUUAGAUUCACAAUCCAACGAUAAGAGAUAAGGAGACAAUGAUAUUAUGUGUUAUUUGAAUGAUUUGAUAGCAAGUGGAGAAUGUCUUAUUAUUUAGAAUGUUGAAGCAAUAAUCACACGUUCACUGUACCAAAGAGAUAAAGAGGGGAAUGAUAGAGAGCAUGGGAGUAAACAAAAAAGCUGUGGCAAUUUUUUGGAAAUAUAUAUAUAUAUAUAUUCUCAAUUUUCUCUAAAAUACUAAAUUACGUUACUUUUGUGAAGAAUUAAGAAAUGAAAAAUAUUGUAUAACCAAAUAAAGGAUUAAAUUGUUGUAAUUUUGAAGGUUACAUAAAUUCAUUUUUGUUUUUGUUGUAUGUAGAAACUUAAAAUUUGUAGUAAUUUAAGUUUUAAAACUUUAAAAAGCAACAAUUUAAUUUAGUAUUUGUAUUAAUGAACUUUUUUUUUUUAACCAUUUAGUUUAUGUGAUGAAUGCUAGCAAAACUAAUUAAGUAUAAAAUUUGUACUAAGCAUGACUAUGACUAACAAUUUUAGUUUAGUUAAUCAUAUUUUGUCAAGUCUCUAUCACACUUUUACAUUAAAGAUUGAAUACUUACCUUAUUAAAAGUUGAAUGUCCACUAAAUAAUUGUUAUAAAUUUAAAGUUCAAUGAUGGAAUCACUAACUACCAUCUUGAGAAUUAAAUUUGUUUCUUUCAUGAAAAUCAAGGUUUUUGUAAUAAGUUUUUUUUUACAGGAAAGAUGACAGAUUUAUUACAUAUAUAUAAUUGAAUUUUUCAUAAUAUUUAAAAAACAAGCCAUUUUUAUUAGAAAAAAAAAGAGAAAAUUAUCAAAAGUGAUCGAUUUGAAUAAUUAUAAAAGGGGACUCGAAUGAUUAAACUAUUGCCCUUCCUAACACAAAAUAUAUUAUAAAAGUUAUGGGACAAAUUAUACUUUUUUUUUUUAUAAUUCUUGAAGCCAAAGCUAGAAAAUAAUAUGUCAACACCCAUAAUUAUUAAUUUACAUAUAAAGAAACAAUAAUUUAAAUUUUAUUUCGAUGGAAAGGUUUUUUAUUUUAACAAUUUAUUUGAAAUUUUUUAAGACUAUUACAUUAGAUAUUGAAUUAUUUACACAUGUACGACACAUUCGCGUACACACAAAUGCAAAAACAAACAAAAUGUGACACACACACAAUGUUUAUCCUCCUAGCAAGGUGAAGCAACCCAUUAAAAAAAUUCUUAUUACUAAAUAUCAAAAACCUUGUCAAACAUUGUUUUAAUUACAAAUCAAAUAUAAUCGUUGUCAACUACAUUUUGGUAACGGUCAACAUGAUGAAUCUUAUAAAUUGUUGUUGUUCUUAUGUACUAAGCAAUAUGCUUAUGCUAUAUUCUUUACCAUUUAUAAAAAUAUAUACAAACCUAAGUUUCCCCCAACCUUAGGUACCAAUCAACACAAAUUGUUUUUAUAAGUAUAAAAUAACAACCCACGUUGUCUCCAUUUGAAGAAAAGUGUCCAAAAUAAAAAAAUGAUAUGAAUAAUAAUUGGUUUAGGGUUUGAUUCAAUCAAAAUGAUGAAAUUAAACAAAUCAUAAAAUUAUGAUAACAAAUUGAAAACUAUGUCCAACCUAUAGGAUUAAACUAUUCAAAACCAUACAAUCCAAAUUGAAACUAACCAACCCCAUAUGAAACAUUAUUGAAAUUAAAAUAAAAAGUUAACAUAUUGUCUAAACAAUAAAAAAAAAUAUUCUAAAUUUUAUAUGGAUCAUCAUUUAAGCACUAUUGGAUAACUAUUUCAUUUUUAAUUUUCUACGUCUGUUUAAUUAUUUAAAAUAUUAAUAAAUUGAAUAAUAGAACCUUCUAAAAAAAUUGAAUGAUGAUUAAAAAUGUGUAUAAUUUAAAUGUUAUUAUGUUCAAAAUGAAAAUCAUGUGUGAUAAAAACCAAUUUUAUAGAAUAAUAAUAAUAAUAAAUUAUAAAGGUAAGUAUACUUAUCAAAUUCAGCCUACAAAUUUGCAUAUUUAAAAUGAUUGAAAUUAGGUAAAAGCUAAUAUUUUGCUCACAUCAUUGGAAGAUUGCAGUUGCCAAGAUAUAAAUAAAUUUUUGUUGGGAAGCAUGUAAUUAUCUAUCUAUUUAUUUAUUUAUCAACAUGAAGGCAGAUAUUAAAAUAAAAUUUUAAAAUGCCAAGUGUCACUUUUUAAAAAUUUUUAAAAAUAAAAAAUAAAAAAUAAGGCAAAUCCUUUCUCACCACAUGCAUUGGAGUCUCUUUUUUCUUUUUAUUAUUUAUAUUUUUGUUUCUUUUCCUUUGCAUUUGGAUAAGCACAAAGACUUCCCUCUUCCACCUCUUUAUUUAUUUAUUAUUAUUAUUACUUUCUAUUCCCCUUUUUUGCCAUUUUUGACAUUCAACGAUGCUUUAAAUUGUAGUCCUUUUUAUUAUAUUUCAUUUUUACACUUCUAACUCUUACUUACAUUGAAUUGGGUCUUAAACAUAAUUAAAUGUUUUAAUUUUCAAAAUCAUCUAUUCAAUUUUGUUUCUUCUUCGGUACUUUAACUUUUACAAUAAUUUUUUUAAAUAAGAAAUUAUAAAAAGGAAAUAAUUAGAAGACUGUCAAUUCAAAUAAAUUUGAAAUUUAAAAUAGAAAUUAUGGAGGGUAAAAAAAAGUUGAUUUUAUAUGCCAAUAAUUUUGUUGUUUUUAUUUCAUAAAGAAUCUUAAGAAAUAAGUGUACGAUAUUUUCUGAAUGUCUCUCACCAAUUUAUAGAUGCAUUAAUUACUUUGGUCCAACCAAAAUUAUUAACUAUUUAUUUCUACGAUUUUUUUUUUUAACCAUAGAGAAUCAAAAAGCAAAUUUUCAAUUAUUCACAACGGUGUCAAUUUAAAUUUAAAAAAAUCUUUCACUGCAAUUAAUGGUCAACUUUAUCAUUUUCUACAAUUUCUCUUUGAUAAUGCAAAAAUUAAAAACAAAACUCAUCUAUUUUCAAUAAACCGCCAUUUCAAAUUAAAACACCACUUAAAAAUGCCAAAAUAAAUAUUGUUUAGUGAUAAUUGAAACGUGUUGUUGGGAUAUCUUCUACCACAUUUUAUGUAUACAAGAAAAUGCAUUUUUGUCCUUAGUUCGAUUUGUUACAUUUUACUUUUUGGGUUUAAUUUUUAAAAUUUUUUAAUUAAAUACUUUCGUCAUUUGAAGAUUAAUAUCUAUUAAUUAAAUUUAAAACAAUUACAACUGAUUAACUUUCACUGUUUUUCUUCUUCAUUGAAAUUAAUUUUAAAAUUUUGGUAGAACAUAAAACAAAAUCACAUUAAACAUCAAUCUAAUAUAUAUUGAGAUAAGGAAGAAAGGGGGAAGAGAAAAGGAAUGUGGAGAGGGAGAGAGGUAGAGAGGUGGUGUCCUUUCCAAACAUCCAAAAGCCAAAUUAAACUUUUUUAAAGACCGUCUCUUCGUCUAAACCCAAAAAUAAAAAAGGACCUCUAAAACAAAUUUAUUGGACAUUAUUUGUUAGUUCCUCUUAUAAUCUUUCACAUUUUUCAUUUUCAAAAUAAUAACAAAAAUUCCAUUUUAUAAUUAUUAAUUAUUUACAUUUUUUAAAAAUAAACAUAAAUGUAUUCUUGUAAUAAAACUUCACUCUCUAAAAAGCAAUCAAAACUAAAAGUGCUUUUUACUUUUGAAAAUGAGUACAUUGAAUGCUUAAUUUACUAAUAGUCGGUCAAGAAAAUACAUUUUGAUAUAUUAAUAUACUUUUCAUAAUCAUAUUCUCGUAUUAAAAACGAAAAAACAUUUUUUAAUCUAUGAAUUUUUCUUCUAGAGAAUCUCUUUUUUCUUUUACAAAAUUUUAAGUAUACACAAUCUUUUAACUAGAUUAUUAUUUUAACUAUUUGUACGUUUCACCGUUACAUUCCAUUUCCACGACCUCGUUAAUUGUAGUUACAUUCAACCAAUAAACUAUAAUAUAUCAAAUCUCAAAUACAUAAUUUUUUUAGUAUUUCAAAUAUUUAAUUCAAAAUAAUAUUUUAAACGAAAUAAUAUAAAAAGCGGAAAAUAGAAAAAUAAAAUAAAAUAAGAAAGAGUAGUAUUACGAAAACAGCCCUCCAUUUCGUAGAAAUUUCCUUCCCUUCUUUCCAGCUACUAUAAAUACAAACAGAUUAGGGCAGAGAGGAAGAAGAAGAAGAAGACGACGACUAAGAAAGAACAUUUCUCCAAAAAGAAAAAAGAAAAAUAAAAAAAGAAAGGAAAAGGAAAAAAGAACGACGCGGAAAAUUGAGAGAAACAGAGAAAAUCGUUUCGAAAUUUCUCAAUCUGAAAGAAACCAGAAAUCGAAAGCACACGUUCUUCAAUCCGGCGGAGAUGGGGAUUCAGAGAUUAGAACUUUGUUUGGAGCUUCUGCGAAUGGCUAUCAAUUUCGUGGUGGUCGUUGCCGAAUCCGUGGGCGACGUUAUACACCGGGAAUGUCAACCGCAAGCUCUGCCGACGGCGGGCGGUAGAGUUCCGGUUCCUUUUGUGGGCUUUUACCCCUAAAUUCAUCCUCCGCUGCCGUCCGCGGCGGCGAUGUGGCGAUGUUCGUUCAAAGUUAGUGUGAAUUUUGUUUUUUGUUUUGUUUAGUAAUUAAAUGGAGGUAUUAUUGUAAUUGAUCUCUCUAUUGGAAAUAAUCCAAUUAUCUUCUUUUUUUAGUACGAAAUUACUCUCUCUCUCUCUCUUAUCUGGGUUAGUACGAAACUAUCGAAUUGUUAUUUGGUUGUAAUCUGUUGGUUUUAUCGUCAUUUUGACGCCGGACCUGAAAGUCGCGCUUUAACUUCAAUUAUGUUCUUUCUUUCUUUUUCUUUUUCUUUUUUUAAAAAAAGAAAAUGUAUGAACUGGAUGGGUAUUUGUGUAAAUAUUGUAGAAUUUAAGGGACGAGGUAUGGAAUAUAGUUGUUAUCCAAUGGUUUAUGUGGAAUUACAGAAGUUUAUUUUGUCCACUUCCCCGAUUUGAAUUGAGUUCUUUCUUUUCUUUUCUUUUUUUCUUUCUAAAAAGUAAUGCCUUUUAUUUUGUCCACUUUUGUCAAUGAAAAUAGGUAUUUUUAUACAUAUAGUAAAAUUAUCAACUUAUUUGUAAAAUAAAACUAAAUGUAAAAGGUACCGUUAAUUUGUCAUUUUGAUUAAUUUAAAAAUAUUUACGUUAUUUAUCAUUUAAAAUAAACUCUCGAUCAAUAAAAACAUUUACACUUGGUUUAGAUUAAAAUGGACUUUUGUGUAGAACUUAAGAAUAAAAAAUUUUGUUAAAAUGGACUUUUGUGUAGAACUUAAGAAUAAAAAAAUUUAGGAAACAAAAGAUAUAAAUAAGAAAAGUGAAGGACUGAAGUUAUAGUCAUAUUUGAGUCCAAGAUUCAUAUCAAACUCAAGAUCUUGUGCAUCCAUACAAAAUAAAUGUUCUUACUUGAUAUUUUGGAUUCAAUAUAGUCUGCACAAAUAAUUUUGGUCUACCUAGUUCAAUAAUUGUUAGGUGGAAUCUUAAAGAUCCACUUUACAAAUUAACGUUCUUAAUAAUUUAUGAUAUAAACAUAACAGGCAAAAUAUAAAUUACAUUAAUAUAUAGACAUAUUUAAUAUCAUAUAUAUAUAUAUAUAUAUAUAUAUAAUUCCAUGAUUCUCAAAUCCUACAAGACAAUUUUUAUUUUCAUUUUCUUGAAAAAUCAAAACUUCAAAUUUAUUUUUAAAAAUACAGCAUGGAUUAAGAUAUACGUAUUGAUAUGAUAUAUGAUUUAAUGAAUGCUGCUAGCUAUACUAUACUAACUAACACAGGGAGUGUAUAGUUAUUAAAUCAAGAAAAUCAUGGAUACGAUUGAUGUGUUGGUUUUUAAAAUGCAUGUAAUUAAUUAAAUAAUUUUCUUUAGUCAUUGUCCAAGAUCGAGACACACAAUUGCUUAUAAUUGUAUUGCCCGAGAAACUUGUUUUGUUUCUUUUUUUCUUUUACGAGACUAUAUGAGAGGCAUUCUUCUUCGAUAAAAGAGAGAUCACAAAACAUUUAUGAGCAUGUGUGCUUAAUUAAUUGAAGUUUUUUUAAAAAUAAAUUUCUGAAUUAGUCAUAUAAAUUAUUAUUAUAUAAUAUACUAUUAUCUUCAAAUCUUCAAUACAUUUUAAUUUUAAACAGUAUCAAGAGUUUUUUCUAGUAUGGAGGUAAUAAGUUGUACAAAUAAAAAUACAAGAAUAAACAAUAGUGAGUGUUAUGGUAUGCAUUCCCAAAACCAUUAAUGUAUAUGUUUUUUUUAAUAUUUAAGACGAUGGAUGAUCAAGAUCUUGUCGUUCAGUUUGAAGAUUGUGAUUAGUUACAAAUUAAUAUUUACAUCCAAGUUGAUAUACUUUUACAAAAAAAGUUAUUAGAGAUUUGAAGGAAGAAAACAAAAACAAUAAUGCUACCCACAUGACUCACACCUAUCAUAAAAUACUGCAUAUUAAAUUUUUAAUUCAACAAAACCUUCUAAUUUCAUGAUUCUCAAAUCCCACAAAACCCACUUUCUAAACUCUAUUUUAACACAUGCUUCUUCCCUACAAAAAAAAAAAUUGCUUUUCUUUUUUAAUUAGCGAUUAUAUUCUUAUAAUGGAUCGGUGUGGAUUCUCGAUUGAAAUGUUUGUUGAAAAUUACUAGUAUGAGUGUUCUUUAUUGGUGAUGUUAGUUAGAUGUGUAAACAACCACGUCGAUUCAAAAAACGAUCAAAUUUUAUAAUACAUAAGUAUAUAUAUAUAUAUAUAUGUGUGUGUUAAGAAAAACUUAAAUAUUUUGUCAAGUAUGAUCUUUGGAUUGUUUCAAAAAGAAAAGCGAUGAAGAUUUAUGUAAAAAAAUAGACAAUACCAUAGAGAGAUAAGUGUCAUGUUGUCAUUAUCACUAUUAUCCAUCAACCAGCAUGGAUACCUUGGUUUGGAGUUUUAUUUACAUUGAUGUGUGUGUAAUAUUCUAAUCUUUUGUAAGCUUCCAUUAUUAUUGUUGUCCUUCAAUUAUUGUAUAAGUAGAAUGAAAGACAUGCUUCUUAUUUCUUUUCUUUCAUUAAAAUACAAAUUUUGUAAUUCCUAUGAUUUUAUAAGUUUCAAAUAAUUAGUUAGUUCAAAAGAAUUGAAGCUUGAAGUUUGAAGUUAAUUUUAAUUUAAUUGGUUUGAUUUUAAGUUUCAAUUCAAUUUAAAUGAGUCUCUCAACGUAGUUUAGUAGAUAUCCACAAAGUAAUUAGACAGUUUAUAUACAUUUAUAGAUGCCAGUUAUGCUUUUUAAAUGAGGGUUAUAAUAUAUAUAAAUUUAUAAGUAUAUUAUAUCAUUGCAACAACAAAUAAUUAAUUAAAGGCAGCCAAUAAACUACUUGUUAAGUGAGAAUUAAAGGAAAGGAGAUGUGGGAUUGAUGAGUUAAAAAGGGUAAUUAAGGUCUAGGUUGAGCAAGGAGUUGAAGAUGAGCACACAACUGGAAAGGCUUAGACAUCAUCACCACAUGAUCUGAUCCUUCUAUCUCCACCACAUGAUCAGGUGGGUUGUUCUCAAUCAUCCACCUUUGAAAUUCUAUAUUACUAACCAAAUCCAUUUCUGACACCACGAAUACUCGCUUGACGGAACCGUAAUUUCUCUCCGAUAGCUUCAAUACAUCGGACAUGUCUUUUUCGGUGAACAAUGGCACUGCUCUCAUCAACAACGUCGCCAGUGUUAAAUCCUAUAUAGGAGCACAUAUUAUUGCUAAUAUAUAAUUCAAUUACUUCAAUCAACCCCAAUAUAUAAUUAAUACUUACCUCAGCUGGGCUGCGCUGAUAAACUUUGGAAGCCAAAAAGCGCGACCCAAAGAGGAAGGCAGUGGGAGGCCGAUUCCGGCCAUCGCCGUAGGAGUAAACGCUAUCCAUCAUUGAUUCAUUCCUCUCAAAUACCUUCGAAUAAAUGGUCGAUAUGUUCAGAGCUGGCCCAGGCAUCGUAGCGGUGACGAAAACGGCGGCGGAAAUCUUCGUCGGGAAGUCCUCCAUGGCUUUCGACACGACCAAUCCGCCCAGGCUAUGCCCGACGAGGAUCACCUUUUGGUGCUGAGGGAGAGCUGACAUGAAGUCAGUCAGAGGCUGGAAGUACUGGGAAAUGGAUCGGACAGAGUCCGGAUUUCGAUGGUCGAUUCCGGAGGCGGCCAAGUCGAGGGCGGUGACGCGGUGACCGGAGGAUUGGAGGAGAGGGAGGAGUUUAAACCAGGACCAUGCGCCAUGGCAGGAUCCGUGGAUAAAGACAAAGUGUUUGUGAGAAGUAUUAUCGGAGAGUGAGAGUUGGAAGAAGAGGGACAGGAGAAGUAGUGGUAAGAGGUAGUUGUUGUUCUUGAUCUGCUUCUCCAUUUUGAUUAUUGACCUGAAAUUAGUACUCUUUGGAAACUUUGGGCACGCAUCCCACAAGAAAGCUACUGAUCAAAAUUAAAUUAAAUUGACAAAUUGAAGCCAUUGACCUAAUUAAGCAAAUUUAAGACUCUUCGAUAAUUUUUUUUUUUUUUUUGUCUAUAUAGUUUGAAUUUGGAUUGUGAACUUUGAACACUCUAGAAAGUGUAGUUUGUGAUUUUUUUUUUUAUUUUUACCAAUACAUGCAUUUAGGAAACUACUUCUAUCUAAAAGAUGAAAUGUUUGAUUCUUUCUUUUCUAUAUAUCUAAAAAAAAAUAUUCUACAAAGAUAAUAAUCUCAAUCUACCCCUCAAACUUAGCAUAUAUAAAUUAUACAAAUGCCCAAGACCUUGACAUUUAUUACUUCUGGUGUCAUUAUUCAACAAAUUAUAUUUUCAAUAACCAAGCUUAUACCAAACAAACCCCUCUAAAUGUAAUACAUAGUAGCAUGAAGAAAGGAAAUAUUUAAGCUAAUUGGGGUUAGCUGGUGAGAUCUUGAAAUCAGAGAUUUGAAUGUUGUCAACAUUAAGCUUCUUGAAAUUGCUGCGUUUUCUAUUGGCGAGGAACUUCCCAAAAGAGUAAGGUUUGUAUUUGGGAGGGUUUUGGGGACCAAUAAGCUCUUCCAGAGGUUCAACAAUGGUGGAAUGAGAUGGGUAAAAGAAGAAAGCAAUGGAAUAUCUAUCCCUUUUGCUGUUUACAGUAGCCCUAUGCUCCACACUCUCAUACUUCUCAUUGCUCCAAACCUAUCAAGAGUAGAGUGGUUUUAAAAAUUUUAAUUAAAAGAAAGAAAAAAAACGAAAAUUGAUUUGUAAUAUAUUUAUGUGUGUUACGUUUGAUAAAAGUGCUUCGAUCGUUAUUUAGUAAUGGGUACGUACCUGAAUAAUAUCUCCAACAUCGACCGCAUAAGAAUCAGGUACAGGUUUGACUUGAAUCCACUCUCCAUCUUUCUUCCUUUUCACUUCCAGUCCUCCAAUGUCGUCUUGGGCGAGCAGCGUCAGGACACCUGGGUCCUUGUGGCGGCCAACUCCCAGAGCUAGCUCCGGUGAUGGGCACAAUGGAUAGUGAUUCAGUCUCACAGAACUUGUUUGACCUGCUUUAAAAUACUCUCCAAACCUUUUUGCCGGCAAUCCCAAGCUAGUGGCGAUUAGUUCCAUCAAUUUGUGCCCAAGUUUCUCCAAUUCUUCAACAUAUCCUUCGCAAAUCUCUCUGCUCAUUCUCCAAAUUGAUGAUUAACUUUGGGGAAUUGCGUUAAAUUUUUAUUUUGACUAAAUAAAUAUGAUAUCGUUAACUAAAAAUAAAAUAUAUGGACAUAUUCAAAAAAAAAAAUUGUUAGUUUACUAAAUAUAUUUGAAAAUCAAUCCAAUUCUCCGUAUAAUAACUUAUUGAACAAAAUAAUUGGAUAGUGAGAUGACCUGAAUUCCGGUGGGUAUUCCGGCCAUUGAUUAGUCCACUGAGUCAACUCGUCAUCAUCAGACUCCGGCGACGCCGGAACAAUGGUGGGAUCCUCCACCAUGAAAUCAAAGACCUCCUUCCAAUCUCUGACAUUCUUGGUCAGCUCCGUAUCAAAAUAGCCAGUCACCAACCCUUGGCUCCUCCUCACUUUCCUCUUCUCCUCCAAACUUUGGCCGAAAAAUUCCCGGGCAGCGGCCUCUAUACGGUGCCGCUUCUCGGGAGGGACGCCGUGGUUAACCACCAGAAAGAAUCCCCACUCCGUGCAAGCAGAGGCGAUUUGGUGGACCAAAUCGUGGGGGACAUCGCUGCCGGGUAGUGAGUGGUUGAAGAUUGGAGAGAGGUCGAUGGUGGGGAUUCGAUCAGCAUGGGAGAGUGCGAGUUUGGGGCGGUGCUCGGGAGCUUGGAUGAAAGCCUGAUCAAACUCAUGAAGAUGUCCCAUAUUGGGAGAUGGAAUUUAAUUUGAAGAAGAAGAUAUUGGGGGGACUAAAUCUUUAAUUUGUAAACGUUAAGGGGUUAUUUAGUUGAAUGUUUUAUAGAUACCGGUGAAUAAAGAAGGCUUACGUAUACCGAACAAUAAGAUAUCAAUGUAUUUAAUUGUGCACUGCAAAUACUAUCAGGAUCUCAUUAACAAAAAUUAUGUAUAUAUUUAAUAAUUAAAUUAAGCACAACAAACUUACCUAAUUUUAGUAUUAAUUAAUCAAAAAAUAAAUAUCAUUCAAUGUAUUCAUAAAUUUUAGUUAAUUAAAAGUUAUAUUCUAAUUUUAAAUAUAAAUAUUUGAAAAUGACUAAUUUUUAGAGACAUUUUAAAGUAUAACAAAAUUUUAGAUCUAUCAUUUUAUCGAUAUUAGCAUUACUGAUAUAGACUAUUUUUUUGAGUAAUAUCGUCAUUGAUGCAAUUUGAAAUUUUGUUAUACUUUGUAAAUAUUUUUAACACAACUUUGUCAUUUAUAAUAAUUUUUGUAAUUUAUAAUUAAAAUUAUCAUUUAAUAUAUCUAAUAAAUUCAUAUUAAUUGUUAUUUUGAUAUUUAGUUUUUUAAUAUAAAUUCAUUAUUAGUAAUUGUCAAUUUAAUUAAUUAGUUAAAGAGGAAUUGUGUUAUUAAUAGCAAAAUAUUGAAAUUAUUAACAAAAUAUAUUUCAUACAUAUACAUAGAUGCCACUUGAGCUUUUUAAAUGAAGAAAUUUGAACCCAAAAUCCUUUAAUCCUAAUGUAAAUGUAAGUUGUGGGUUAUAAAAUAUAUCAAUUUAUAACCACAAUGGGUUGGCCCUAGUGGUAAAAAGCAUUUAACACCUAAAUGUUGUAGGGUAGUUCUAAGCUAGAACUUUAUACUCUAGGUUGAAGAUCUCCAUUCUUUUUCUAUCUUCAAGGUUCCUUUUUUUCUCAUAAAUGCACAUCCCGGAUCAUCAAGCAUUUCUAAUGAAAUUAGAUUUAUUUUGAGUUUUGGAACAGUCUAACAUCUCUCAAUAGAACCUCUUGUUGCUUUCUGUGAGAUUAAUAGUAUUGAGCCUCUUCCAAUGAUUUCACACUCAUUAUUGUUAUUAUCCAUGUAAGCCGACUCUUCUUGGAAGUCAUAUGGUAGCUAGGUACAACCUGAGUUUAAAACCCACCCUCUCUCCUCGGUUUCAAUUUUCAUGACCUUUUUAUUAGCAGCAACAAGUACCUCAAUAUAUUCAUAAGGCUCUUAUCCAACAUUCCCUCGAUAUCUUUCAUGUUCUCUUAACCUCCUUGAGUCAUCUAUGUGCCUAAUUGACUCUUCUCUUCCAUAUGGCUUAAAUUUUCGACUAUCAUCUCUUCUAUAGUGUCUUCCUUUUUCUGGGUAAUUUUUCUUAAAAUGUCAUUUUUUGUGACAGAUAGAACACUUCAAGAUGAGUCUAUCUCUCUAAUUUUAUGGCUUGUAUUAAAAUAAUUUUUCUUGAUAGACAGUGAUAAAAACAUAUCAGUGGCUAUCAUUGAUAGAAUCCACAAUUUUGAUAUAGCUUGUAAAUAUUUUAAUUUAUUUUGCUAUUUUAAAACUUUUUCCUAACUAAUUUGUAAAUAUAGAACCAAAUAUAUUGAAUUGGUUAAGUUAAAUAUUUUGGAUUGUGUUUAAAAGAAUCCACGAAGAACUUAUGUAAUUAGUAUUACCUCCCAUCUAAAAGAUGAUAAUUUGUAAAUAUAGAACCAAAUAUAUUGAAUUGGUUAAGUUAAAUAUUUUGGAUUGUGUUUAAAAGAAUCCACGAAGAACUUAUGUAAUUAGUAUUACCUCCCAUCUAAAAGAUGAGAGGUUUGAUUCUCGAUCUUUAAUUUUCAUAGUUGUUAUACUAAAAAAAGAUUUCCAUACAAAAAAAACAAUAAUCUCAAUUUAAACCUCAAACUAAGCAUAUAAAUUAUACAAAAUGACGAACUUGGCAUUUACUACUCAGGCUGUCAUUAUUCAACUGAUUAUGUUUUCAAUAGCCAAGCUUAUACCAAACAUAUAGUAGCAUGAAGGAAGGAAGCAUUUAAGGUAAUUUGGGUUAGUUGGUGAUCUUGAAAUCAGAGAUUUGAACGUUGUCGACAUUAAGCUUCUUGAAAUUGCUGCGUUUUCUAUUGGCGAGGAACUUCCCAAAAGAGUAAGGUUUGUAUUUGGGAGGGUUUUGGGGACCAAUAAGCUCUUCCAGAGGCUCAACAAUGGUGGAAUGAGAUGGAUAAAAGAAGAAAGCAAUUGAAUAUCUAUCCCUUUUGCUGUUUACCGUAGCCCUAUGCUCCACACUCUCAUAUUUCUCAUUGCUCCAAACCUAUGAAGAGUAGAGUGGUUUUAAAAAAUUUAAUUAAAAGAAGAAAAAAAAACACAUUUAUUGAUUUUGUAAUAUAAAGAUAUAUGUUUGAUAAUGAAGUGGUUUUUGGCAUGAUUAUUUAGUCGUAAUGGCCCGGCUACGUACCUCAGUAAUAUCUCCAACAUUGACCACAUAAGAAUCAGGUACAGGUUUGAGUUGAAUCCACUCUCCAUCUCUCUUUCUUUUCACUUCCAGUCCUCCAACGUGGUCUUGGGCGAGCACCGUCAAGACACCGGGGUCCUUGUGGUGGCCAACUCCCAGAGCUAGCUCCGGUGAUGGGCACAAUGGAUAGUGAUUCAGUCUCACAGAGCUUGUUUGCCCUUUAAAAUACUCUCCAAACCUUUUUGCCGGUAAUUCCAAGCUACUGGCGAUUAGCUCCAUCAAUUUGUGCCCGAGUUUCUCCAAUUCUUCAACAUAUCCUUCGCAAAUCUCUCUGCUCAAUCAUCUCAAUCUCCAAAUUAAUUCAUAAUUAACUUUGCUCCAUUUUAGUAUGUUAUACAACAAAUUUGUGAUUGUGAUUGUGCAGUUCUUGUUGUACCCAGACUAAAAAGGAUCAUGUGACAAUUUAUUUUGUUUUGUUUUGUUCUGUUUAAAAAGGAUUAAAUUAUUGCUAUUUUGUUUGUAAAAAGAGAUUGCUUAAUCAUUUUUGAAAACUAAUUAAUUAAUGUCCCUUGAUUAGAGUGACUACUCCACAACAACUUGGGGUUGCAUUGUUGAAGAAUGUGCAACUCCAUCCAUAUCCUAAUCAUAAUUCUUUUUUCCUCUAUUAGAAUGACCAAGUGGUUCGUGAUACUCAAUUUUAUUUUCUUGAUUUCCAGAACAAUUUGAAAACAAACCACUAUUUAACAACAUAAUAGGACAGUGUGAGAUGUACCUGAAUUCCGGUGGGUAUUCCGGCCAUUGAUUGAUCAACUGAGUCAACUCAGUCUCAUCAGGAUCGGACGAUGCCGGAAUGAGGGUCGGAUCCUCCACCACGAAAUCGAAGACCUCCUUCCAAUCUCUGACAUUCUUGGUCAGCUCCAUAUCAAAAUAGCCGGUCGCCACCCCUUCAUUUCUCCUCACUUUCCUCUUCUCCUCCAAACUCUGCCCAAAAAACUCCCGGGCAGCGGCUUCCAUUCGACGCCGCUUCUCGGGAGGGACACCGUGGUUGACCACCAGAAAGAAUCCCCACUCCGUACAAGCAGAGGCGAUUUGCUGGACCAAAUCGUGGGGGAAUUCGCUGCCGGCCGGUGGUGAGUCGUUGAAGAUUGGAGAGAGGUCGAUGGUGGGGAUUCCGUCAGCUUGGGAGACGGCGAGCUUGGGACGGUGGUCGGGGGCUUGGAUGAAAACCUGAUCAAACUCCUGAAGAUGUCCCAUAUUGGGAGAUGGAAUUUAAUUUGAGGAAGAAGAAGAAGAUAUUGAGGGAAUGUAUAUUAAUGUGAAGUACUUUUGUGUUUGCAAAUUGGAAAAAAAUGGUAAGAGAUAUAUAUAUAAUAGAGAGUGUAAUAUGUUUGGAUUGAAGGAUUAAAAUAUUCUAUAUUACCAUAAUUCUAAAUUUUAGUGAAUUACUCCUUCUCCUUUAGCUUCAAUUUCAAUGCAUCAUCUAGUCAUUAACGGAUAUGUUUUUGGUAAUACACAGUCUCUAAAAACUAAAACUAAAAAACAAGACUUGUAUUCUAUUCUAUUUUUAUGUUUUCAAGUAUAUAUACUAUUGGUACCAUUAGUUUUUACAAUAUUUUCAAGGUGACUUAACACUAAUAUAUAUUAGCUAGGACGACUAAGAGUGUGUUUGUGGUUUUGAAGGGUUUAAUUGGGUUGGAUUUGAAGGAGUUUUUAGAUCCUUUCAAUUAUUUGGCCACUUACUUUUCAUUCUCAAAUAAUUAAUAAUAUAAAAGUUAUUUGAUGAUGCCAUAUUUCAUGGGAGAGGGGGGAAUGAAUGUGGAUGGGAAUAUGGAGGAUGUGAUGUUUUGAUUAUUGUGCCAAACAAUUCUCUUAUAAAUAAAUAAUAGAUAAUGCUAAACUAUAUGCAAUUUUUAAAAUAAAAUUAUCUUCAACCCCACCAUUUAUUCCAUUUUAUCCCACAUUAAAUUAUUUGAUUAUAAUUUAAUUUUGAUAUAUAUAAACAAACAAACUGUAUACACUCUAUAAAAAAAAUUACUACUUAAUAUAUCUAAUAAAUUAAUAAAUUAAUAGUGUUAUUUACAAUAAUUUUGUGAUUUAUAAUUAAAAUUACUACUUAAUAUAUCUAAUAAAUUCAUAUUAAUUGUUAUUUUGAUACUUAACUUUUAAAUGUAAAUUUAGUAUUAGUAAUUAUCAAUUUAAUUAAUUAAUAAAAGAGGAAUUGUUAGUAAAAAAAUAAAACAAGUUGGAUAAAUAAUUAUAUUUUAAUAAGCAAAAUAUGAGGCAAAAUUUUAAGAACAAAGAGAGAAAAAUAUGAAUAUGGUGAUGAUAAAGAAGAGUAAAAGGAUUUGUAAAUUUUUUUAAUAACUAUGAUAAAGAAAAGGUUUGUUAGAAGCAAACAAGCAACCACACACAGUUGACAGUACAUAAUACAUAUUUAUCAUUCAACGAGGUUUCUGAGCAAGCCCCCCGCCCUUAAAGCAAACAGCCUCUAAAGAGAGUAAGCAUGAAGCGUGACUCUCGUGUCUCUAGUUGGUGAUCUUGAAAUCAGAGAUUUGAAUGUUGUCAGUAUUAAGUUUCUUGAAGUUGCUGCGUUGUCUAUUGGUAAGAAACUUUCCAUAAGAGUAAGAUUUGUAUUUGGGAGGGUUUUGGGAAUCAACCAGCUCUUUCAAAGGCUCAACGAUGGUGGAAUGAGAUGGGUUGAAGAAGAAAGGAAUGGAAUAUCUAUCCUUUUCGCUGUUGACCAUAACUCUAUGCUCCACACUCUCAUACUUCUCAUUGCUCCAAACCUGGUAUUAGUAUAAAAAGUUUGCUUUUAGAAUAAUAUUGUUUGUUUGUACAUGCAAGUGCUUUAAUUUAAUUUAGAAAAACUAAAUCUGAUAGCUAGCUAGGUAACACAUGAAUUGCUGCUAUAUGUGUACCUGAGUAAUCUCUCCAAUAUUCACAACGAAAGAAUCGGGUACGGGUUUGACCCGUAUCCACUCUCCAUCUCUCUUCCUUUUCACUUCCAGUCCUCCAACAUCGUCUUGGGCGAGCACCGUUAGGACGCCGGGGUCCUUGUGGCGCCCAACCCCGAGAGUCAACUCCGGUGAUGGGCAGGGGGGAUAGUGAUUGAUUCUCAAAAAACUGGUUUGCUGUUUGAAAUAGUGUUGAAACCUUUUUGCGGACAAUCCCAAGCUAAGGGCGAGUAGUUCCAUCAAUUUGUGUCCAAGUUUCUCUAAUUCUUCAACAUAUUCCUUGCAACUCUCCCUGCUCUCAAUAACAAUGUCAAUCUUCAAAUACAUAGGUUAAAUUAUAAAAUCUCUCUCCAUAAAAUCCACUUCCAUAUAUAUGUGCGAUAUCUAAUUAAUAAUUCAAACUUUUUUUUUUUUAAAGUUUAGUUUUUAAAAUAAUAUAGAUUUUGAAAUCAAAUAAUUAUAUUAGAAGCAUAAAUAUUAGAUAAUUAAUUACCUUAAUUAAUUAAAUACCAAGGUACCAACUAUUAUUAUUCCACAAAGAAAGUCCCAUAAUUAAGUUAUUACAAAAAGAAAAUUAAUUUAAAAUAAACCAGGUGAAGGUGAAAAAACUUGAACUUUUAACAUUUUAAUAUACUGAACAAUAAUAAUCAUAGUGUGCAAUAAUUUAAAAGAAAAAGUUACAUUGUUUAUUGAUUUAUUUUUGUUAUUGUUGUAGUUGAACUAAUUAAGUGUUUAAUUAGAAGCUAAGCCCCCACCCCUCACUUUAGUUGAGUCUUUAAUUACUUUUAAAUUUGUUUACUACUUUUGAUAACUAGGAAAUUGUUAUUAUAGCCUAAUCAUACACUAUACUUCCAAACUUUGUAUUUUAUAUAUAAAUUAAAAAAUAUAUAUAUAUCUUUGAAUUUCUAGGAGUUUAAAAUUACCCUUUAAUUUGACAAAAAAAUAAUAUUAUUUAUCGAUAACUUUACUAUUAGUUCUGGAUAAUAAUAUUUUGUUUUAAUUAAAAUGUAUCUCCCCUUUCAAAAAGUUGCAAAUAUACUCUAUAAUAAAAAAGAAAAUAAUAAAAAAAACUUUUAUGUUAGUUAGCAUAUAAACUCAAACAAUUCAUACUUAUUCCAAAAUAGAAACAAAUAUUUGAAGUUAAAUCAUAGAAUCCGAGAAUCUCUUAAAAUUCAAAAUUCAAAAUUCAAAAUCUCUCCUCAAAAGUUACAAAAACAAUAAAUAGUGAAAUACAAAAUGAAUAUAUUUGUCUAUUAAAGCAUUUAACUACUAACAUACAAAAAGUCAUAAAAAUAUUUAAGUUGUAAGGUCUUUUUCGUAGUUUUAUUAUUCUAUUUGUUUAUGUUAUAAUUCAUAUAUCUGAAUUGAAUGGACAAAUUUUUUUAUGAGAUAAACAAACGUGAGAAAAGGAGUGAAAAAUCAAAAAAAGAAAAUAGAGAAGUGUGUUGGGGAGAGAGAGAGAGAGAGAGAGGAGGUUGAGGAGGUAGGUGAUGGGUUUAGAUCAAUGAUAAAGACCAUUGUUUGUUUAUUUGUUUAUAAAAAUUGAAAGCAUAUACUUUUAAAAAUGGGAACCAAAUCGAUAUCUAAUAAUAUUUAUUGGUUGAUAGCCACUUUGGAUUUUGUAGUUUUUCUUAGGACUUCACAUUCUUCUUCUUCUUCUUCUUCUUUUUUUCAUUUUGAAAUUUAAUAUAAUUUGUUUAUACGGUUGAUUUUAAUAAUUUGACAUUUUUUGUAUUUAGUUUUUGAAGAUGAAAAUUUUGAAUUAUCAUUUUAGCUAAGAUUAAACAAAUUGGACACUAAGUAACACGUACCUGAAUUCCGGUGGGUAUUCCGGCCAUUGAUUAGUCCACUGAGUCAACUCCUCAUCAUCAGACUCGGGCGACGCCGGAACAAUUGUGGGAUCCUCCACCACGAGAUCAAACACCUCCUUCCAAUCUCUGACGUUCUUGGUCAGCUCCGAAUCAAAGUAGCCCGUCACCAACCCUUCGCUUCUCCUCACUUUCCUCUUCUCUUCCAAACUUUGGCCGAAAAAUUCCCGGGCAGCGGCCUCUAUACGGUGCCGCUUCUCGGGAGGGACGCCGUGGUUAACCACCAGAAAGAAUCCCCACUCCGUGCAAGCAGAGGCAAUUUGGUGGACCAAAUCGUGGGGGAAAUCGCUGCCGGGUAGUGAGUUGAAGAUUGGAGAGAGAUCGAUGGUGGGGAUUCCAUCAGCAUGGGAGAGUGCGAGUUUGGGGCGGUGCUCCGGGGCUUGGAUGAAAUCCUCCAGAUCGCCCAUAUUGGGAGAUGGAAUUUAAUUUGAAGAAGAAGAUUUUGGGAGAAUAUACUAAAGUUAAUAAUAAUGUGAAGUUUUGUAAGACAAAGACAAAGUGAGUUCGAAAAUAAAUAAAGGUUUCCUUCCUUAGCUUCAAUUUUAAUGCAUCAUCUAGUCAUGAUCGUGACAAUAGUAUAUUAUUUAAAGGAUGACACACAAAGGUCUUUUUGGUAAUACAAUAAUCUAAAAACUAAAAACUAAAAAACCAAUGCUUCUAUUUUAUUUUAUUUUAUGUUUUCAAAUAUAUUACACUAUUUGGUACCAUUAGUUUUUCAUUUAGUUUUACAAUCUUUUCAAAGUAGACAUAUAUACACUACUUCAACUAAACAUUAAUAUAUUUAUUAGCUAGGACUAAGAGUGAUCUUCUCGUGGUUUUUCGGUUGAAUUGUGUAUUAACUUUUUUUUAGAACCCAUCCAAUUAUUUGGCCACUUAGUUUUCAUUUUCAAUUUAAUAAUAUAAAUUACUUAUUAUGUCAGUCGAGAGAAUUCCUAUGUGUGAUGUAAAAUGAUGUCAUUUUACUUCAUUUGAUAACAUUAGUAGAGAUAAAAGGAGAAAUCUUGUAGACGACAAUCACAAAUAUUACAGAUCAUCACGGACAAAAGUGGAAGAUGAAGUAGAAGAAGAAAAAGCAGCAUAGUCUUGAGCAAUGGUGCCGAGAAGUUGAGCAAGUUCAAGAGGCUUUGAAGUCAUGACCAUGUGAUCUGAUCCAUGAACCUCCUCCACACGAUCAGGCUUAUUUAAAAGGAGCAUAGCCCAAACCAUAAACUUUGAUGUCAUUUUGUCAUUUUGUGAUAUAAUGAAAGCCCUCUUCACAGACCCAUAAUUCUCUUUACUUAGUCUUAGCUCCUUCAUUGACUCCAACAAACCAAACAUUGCUUGAGGCCUCACCAAUGUUCUUGCCAAUGUCAAAUCCUGUAUUAAUAUAAUUGAUUACCAAACAUACGUAUAUAAUACAUAUAUUUGUCAUUACGUAUAUACUAUAUUAAAUAAUGAUAUAUGAUAUGUUCAAGAGAUCAUAUGCAUCCGUGUAUAACUUGAAUAUGUUGAUGACAAAAUAACUUGCUACUCAUUUGCCAAAAUGUUACCCUUUUGUGUUUUGUUUUCUUCUAGAAAAUGGAAAUUAUGUCUCUAGUUUCAAAUAUAACAUUUGUAUUUGUUAUAAACGAUAGACUAAAAUGGACAUCUAUCACUUUAGCAUUAUUAAUAAAUGUAUUUAAUCUAUUGAAUAGUCUCUAUUUGUAAAUAAUUUUAACGGUUUAGUUAUAUUUAAAAUAAUGCCUCCUACAAAAUAUCAAAUCAUUUAAUUUAUCACAGAAAUUGAACUCUUUGAUAUAUAUACAAUUCUUGUAAAAUAUAUUUAUGAUAGAUAUUAAUUCUCACUCCAUCGUAUAUGUCCUUCUUCGCUUCUAACCUAAUUAAUUGAUUAUAAUUAUGUUUGAGUAAAUUAAAAGAGAGGAUAUAUUUACAAACCUGAGGUGGAGAUAGUGGGAAAAGCUUGGUUUCUAAUUCUUCUUCUGAAAACAUGAAAAGACGUGGUGGCUUCUUUGAAACCUCGGAUUUGGUAUCAUCCCCUUUGUGAAAAGCCUUGUACAUUCCAAGUGUUGUCUUCUAAUUAAUUUUGUUUAUGCAUAUCAAAAGAAAAAAGAAAAAACUUUAAUUAGUAUACUUAUAUUACAUAAAUAGUUUAAUAAUUUGAAGGAAUUAAUUUGGGAUGUAGAAUUUAAACCUGUUCCUCGAUGGAUUGAAACCCGAUGAUUGGGCCAGGCAUGGCUGCAGUCACAAAAAUUGCAACAGAGAUUUUCUCAGGGAAUCUCUCCAUGGCCAUCGAGAUUCCGAGGCCCCCUAGGCUGUGUCCGACGAGAACGAUCUUGUCGUCGGCUUGUAGGGCUUCCGUGAAGUUCAGCAAUGGCUGGAAGUAGUCAGUAAGUGAUGUCAAUGACUCUGGCUGGGUUGGGUCGAUCCCGGCAGCAGCCAUGUCGACUGCGGUGACUUUGUGACCAGCCGUUUGUAGGAAGGUUGUGACCUGGUACCAAGACCAGGCGCCGAGGCAGGCACCAUGGACGAGCACAAAGUGUGAUUUGUUUGACUGGGAGUCGUGGCCGUCAUUGUCGUGGUGGCCGUGGUGGAAGAGAAAAGAGGUUUGUGUUUGGGUAGAGAAAGAGAGGAAAAUUAGAAGGAAAAAUGGUAGCAGAAGUUUUUGCAUUUUAAACUUUUUUUGUUGUAGGAAAAAUGCAUGCAAGGAAGAGUAGUAUAUUCAUAUUGUGCCCAUCAUAUCAUACUAUAUUUAUAAUAUAAAAAGAGAUAUAAUAGGACCCAAAUAUUUGUUUUUUAUGUUUAAAUACUAUUUAUAAUGUUUGUUUUCCUCUAUAUUUUCAACUUUUGUCCAAUUCUAUAUAUCAUCUUUCAAAAAUAUAUCAUUUUGGUUGCUUUUGUUUUUGUUUACACUUGUCUUAGGGGCCAAAGAGAGUUUUUUUAUUAUUAUUAUGGUUUUUGAAAGGUUAAAAAUUUUCAGAAAUCAAUUUUAUAAAAUCAAUUGUAUUUCAAUCUCUUUUUUCAGCUAGAGUAAGUACUACUCUAACUAUCACUUCCAAACCCAUCUUAACUAGUUUAUAAAACUUUUGUUAAAAAAAUUUAAGCUUAAAAACAAAGUAGGUUCCAAAAAUUAAAGUAAAAAAAAAGGUUUAGGGUUAUUUAAACUCUAUUUUGUAAAUCUUUCAAAUUAAACCCUAUGUUGAGGGGUGGAAUACUUCAAAAUAUUUUUAAAAGGACUUUUUUGUCUCAUCUGUCAACCUCUACAUCGUUUUCCAUUUUGUAAUGAUAAUAAGAAGAAGAGGUAUUAGGGUUUUAUACAGUUAAAUAAUUUGUGUGUUAUAUUUAUAAAAAUUAAAUUUAUAAAAAACGUGUUUUUUGUUUCUUUCUAUAGAUGAGGAUGAGAUUUGGUAAGAUAAGCGGUGAACAUUGAUUGUGAGAUAUUUUUGUUGGAGGAGAGAAAGAUUAGACGUUACAAACUUACAGCCACUGAAUUAUAAAGACAAAAUGGUCCCUAAAUGCAUUAAUAAAUAAAUAGCAAUACAGGCAUUAAUGUGUGAUGACAUUAUUGAUGCAGCCUGGCCCUGAAAUGAUGAAUUUGGAUGUUUUCCACUUCUUGGUUCUCGUUACCGUGGCUCCUCGAAGCAAUAAACUUUCCGAAGUUGUAUUCUCUGUAUUUUGGUGGGUUUUGCUCAUCCACAACCUCCUCCAAUGGCUUCACCAUCAUAUGGUGAGCUGGAAAGAAGAAAAAUGGAAACGAAUACCUUUCUUUCUCACUAUUCACCACCACUCUGUGCUCCACACUUUCAUAUUUGUCAUUGCUCCAAACCUUCACAUGCAAAAACCAUGAACUUAAGAUAUGAUGCUUCAUCUUCACUCAAAAAAGAAAAAUAAUAAAUUCCAUAACUAGAGAUAAUGCUUCAUCUCCUCAACCACAAAAAUCUAUCUACCACACGAUUGUAUAAGCUUAUCUAUAUAUGAAGCCACUUUUUAAGCACUUGGAUUCACACAGUCCUUUAUGGUUCCAAAAGGUUGGAAGUAUUUUUUACAUGUGAAAAAUUAUUUUUAAUGCAGUAAGAUAAGAUAGAUAGCAUCAGCUAGCAUGUAAGACUUAUCAGUUGUUCUUCUUAAACCAAACAACCAUACGAUUUUCAGAAGUCAUUUCCACUUCUUCAAGUCUCAUCCUUUUCAGAUAACCGUGAUCAGAGAAGAUUCCAUACGUAUCAAUAUUAUAUAAUAAGAAAAAUUCAACACAUACUUGAACAACAUCGCCAAUGUUAACGAUAUAGGCAUUUGGGAUUGGUUUGACAGGAAUCCACUGUCCAUCUGAUUUUCUCCUCACUUGCAGCCCUCCAACAGCAUCUUGAGCAAGGAUUGUCAAGGCACCAGAAUCUUUGUGACGGCCUACGCCGAGCACAAGAUCCGGAGACGGACAUGGAGGGUACCGAUUCAACCUCAUCAAGCUCAUUUGCUCGUCAUUGAAAUAGCCCUUCAAUCCAUCAGCACCAGAUAAGCCUAGACUCAAAAGAAUCAACCUCAGUAGCUUAUGUGCUAGCAAUUCCAACUCUCUGGCAUACUCCUCGCACAUUUCCCUAUUCAAGAAAACCAACAACAACAAGUUCUUCCAGCAGGCAUGCAGUAGAUGAAGAAAUACAAGAUCAGAGUUUCAGAGAGGAAUUUUUAUACAAAAAGUUGGUGUGCAAAUUCUCUUAUUCUCUUCAAGUAAUCCAAAUAUAGAAAAUAAAACAUGCAUGAACUAAAUUUCUAGAAUAUGGGAUCUGUUCUCGGCAUGUAUUUAACUAAAGACAAGGAACAAUUUGAACAGAAAUGCAAAUUAAAUUACCUAAAUCCAGGGGGAUAUUCCGGCCAAUGAUUAAACAAUACCUUCAAUUUCGUAUCAUUUGGAUCAUGCGAAGCUGGAAAGAACGUCCCAUCCUUAACCAAGAAAUCAAAGACCUCCUUCCAAUCUCUAACGUUUUUCGUAUUCUCACCGUCAUAAAAUCCCACAGCAUUACCUGCAUCUCUCUUCACCUUCCUUUUCUCCUCCAUCGUCUGGUCAAAAAAUAACUUGGCAGCUUUCUCGAAUCGCGCGAGCGUCUCGAGUGAAACUCCAUGGUUGAUUACCUGGAAGAAACCCCAGUUCUGGCAGGCAGAGGCUAUUUCAGAGACAAGGUGUUGGGUGGUGCGAGAGGGGGAGAUGGAGAGAUCUAUGGUUGGGACUUGGUCGGUGGCCGGUUGGAAGGGAUAGAGUUUGGGGCGGUGCUGGAUGGGUUGGAUGAAGGAAGAAUCCACGACCAAGGUGUCUUGGUCCAUGGUUGAAGCGUGUAGGAUGAAACUGUAAGUGGAAAGCAAUGAUCGUUGAUGAGAUUAUUAUGGCCAUUGUUGUUGUUAAGGAGUUAGGAGGAGUGAAGGUGGACGGAAUUGCAGUAAUGUUCAUGGUUUAUGGAGAAGAUAAAGAUUUUGAUUUGUGGUUAAACCAAUUUAGUGAAACUGUAAUUAGCGCAGCGGCAAAUUUGAGAUUUAAGCGUUGUUGAACAAAGAUUAGUAAUGCAUUAAUUUAUAACCCAAAAAAUGGAAUACACUACCAUCUACGUACUUUCUCUCUUUAAAAUAUUGUUCUAUUUUUGGUACUUAUACUUCACCUUCCUUCAAUUUUAGUCUAUAUAUAUAUUCUAUUACUCCUUUAAUUGUAUUCUAUACAUUUUAAAUAAAUUUAAGACUUACUUAAAUUAAAAUUUUAAAAAUUAAAAACAAGAAAUAUAAUCCUUUUAUGUUUUCAGAUGCUUUUGGUACCAAAUUUCGAUGUAGUUAUUCACUCAAUAAUUUGACAAUAAACUAUUCAACUAUGUUUAUUUUUUUAAAUUAAUAUUGUAUAAUCUAUUAUUUUGUAACAUUAUACAAUUAAUUAUAGGAUAAAUUGAAAAUUUGUUCUUCGUAGUUUAAAAGAAGUUUGUUAAUUAAUUACGCAUAGUUUAAAUUUUGUUCUCCGCCUUCGCUCCCCUUGCAUAGUUGUCCAUCUUCUUCGGUCUUUGGUUAAGAAUUAUUCAUGCAUGCAAAGAUGGUAAAAAAUUAAGAUGGACACUAAAUUUAUUAAAUGAAUAUCAUUAUAAAAUCAGCCUUGUUUUCAUACCCUAAAUUUUAAUAAAAUUUAUUUAAGAAAAAUAUAUAUUUCAAGUAUAAUAUAUAUGUAUGAAAAAAAAAAAACUUUUCUUAACUUCCAAAAUAUUGAAGUUCAGACCAACUUGCAUCCCAAAGAACCAUCAAAUGAAUAAAUACUAAAUAUUGUAUUCACAAUAUUCAUCAAUAAACAAAGUUCAAUUUCACGAAAUACAUUUUUUUUGAAAUCUCUUGUGAACCGUUUGAAUAUAUAUAUAUAUAAUAUAGAAUUAGCCUACAUCGUGUUGGAAUUUUUUGUCCUAAAACUCGUAGUUUGUAAAUCAUAUUCUAUUCAAUAAAGUUGUUAUUGAGAAAUUAAAAUAUUAUAAUCUUAAAUCCAAUAAAUCAAAGUUCCAAGGCUAUUUUUUGAAUAAACUUGAACUUUAUGUGGAAACAUAAAACGUGGAUCAAGUUCGAGUAUAUAGCCUAAAUAGUCUAUAGUAUAUGAAAUAAAGGUUGGGCGCCUUAUUUUGAGAGGCUAUGGAUGCGGCCCACUUUGUAGUACAAACGAUGUGAUCCUAAUCGUUCAUGUAGAGACAUGAAAGUGGGGGCAUCCUAUGUAAAAUGUUUACAUAAGACUGAACCAUGAAUUAGUCAUUUUUACGUUAUAACACCGUUUACUGUUUAAAACUGACUAUCUCAAUUAUUGAUGACCUAGGUAACUUAGUCUUAAUCCUGAGUUAACUAUGAACUCCUGUUCAUACGAGAUUAUCCUUAGAUCUGCAUAGGUGAGGGCAGCUCAUCAGCGUUGGCCCAAUAAGCCUCCCAUUUCAGGGGUAAGAUCGGGUGGAUAGCUGGGAACAUAGGGUACAAGAUGGAAUUCACUCCUACCCGCUUUAGGGUUAGUAGAUAGGUUGCUCUCUUAAGCACUGAAUCCAAGUCUUGAACAAGGGGCCCCACCCUCUCAUUGGCCCGAGAGGGAUUAAGUUUAUAGGUUGAACCUUAAACCAAUUGUUCAAUAGUGGAUUAGUGGGACUUAAGGAGCAAGAUGUAAUCUUGGGGGUAAAACGGUAUUUUGACCCAGCCAAGGUUACGAGCAACCUGUGAAGGAUUAACUUACUGAUUAUGGUUUUAUCAAAUGGACACAAAUAUAUCUAUAGUGAGGGGAGUGCAACUACGGGACUUUAGUGGAAUGACCCGUUAGUUAACAAAUGUUGAUUAACUCGGUUUAAAAGAGUUUAGCUAGUUAAUCUUGAAUCGUUGGAGCCCAUGAUCUAUAGGUCCAUUAGGUUCCUCUGCUAGCUCAUAUGGAUUAAACUUAGAACAGUGUGAUGAAAUAAGUCGAAUUGUUCGAAUAGGGAGAAGAAAGGAAAACCGACAUAUACAGUGAUAUAAUCGUCGGUCUUCUAAUUAGAAAUAGAGCUUUAUGUUUUACAUACUAUAAGUAUGAAUGCGGAUUCAUACUAAGAAGCUCGGAAUUGGUCAAAAAUAGUAAAAAGUCAAAAUGUUGACUUUUGACUUUGAAAAGUCAAACUUUGACCGGCCUUAUAUUCAAAUGUGAUUUGAAUUUUGGAAAAAUGAAUGCGGAUUCAUGCUCGGGAGGUUGGAAUUAGUCAAGACGGACAAAAUGGUAAAAAGUCAAAAUAUUGACUUUUGACUUAGAAAAGUCAAAGUUUGACUUUUGACUAGAAAAAUCUAAUGACCAUUUUACCCUUGGACUAAGUUAGUGGGAAAAUCCAACAUUUUGUUGGAUAAUCCCACUAACUCUUAGUGGGAUAUGUGGCUAUAUGAGAUAUAGACACCUAGCCCACUAAGUUCCACUAAUUGUUAGUGGAAUAUUAGGUGUUGAGAUUUGGCAAUUGAAUUGCAUGCAUUUUGCAUGUAAUUAGGCUAUAAAUAGAGAUGUUUUCAAAUGUUGAAGGACUUUUGCCUCUUUUAUCAUUUUCAUAAUCUCAACAAAAGAAAAAAAAAGCUUCCAAUCUCAUUUUAUCUCCAUUACUUUCUACACCAAAAUUGGGUCCCACAACCCGGUUCUUUGUCUAGAGGAUAGCAGUUGAGUACUAGUGUGGUCUCGGGUAGAAUUGGUAAGAAGACAUCAAACCUUUUGAAAGCUUCAAAGGUAAUACUUCUUAAAACCCUAAUUUGAUUAGUUUAUGGUUACAUGUUAAUUGUGGCAAUUAGGGUAGAAAUUCGAUUCUUUUUUCCGCUGUGCAUGACUUAGUUCUAUCAUGUGGUAUCAGAGCAUGCUUCAUUUUUACCCAAUUGCAUGUGGUGGGUUCAUAUUUAUUAGAUAAAUUUUGGUUUGAACUAAAAUGGAUAUAUUAUGAUUUUGGCUCUAGAUUAAGUGUUUUUGUUCUAAUUAUUGUAAUUAGCCUUGUUAAUGGCUUAUUUUUAUUGUUGCAAAGUGUUUGUAAUUUUUUAAAAAAAUAAAAAAAGUCAUUAGAGUUGAAGCUAGGCUGUAAUUGGUUCAACCGGGUGAGAGAAUUGAAAAAAAAUGAAGAAAAGAAGGUCACAGACCCGAAAACCCGGUUUUGACCCGCUUCGCGACCCGCACGCGCCCGCAUGCCGCGCGCCCCUCCCUGCGUCCUGCACGCGCCCGCGGCCCCUCGAUGCGCCCGGCGCCUGCAUGCGCCCGGGCGCCUUGCAUGCGCCGGCGCGCUCGCAUGUGUCCCGCGCGCGCCCGCAUGGCGCCCCGCGCGCCCGCGCGUGCCGCGCCUUCGCACGACCCCGUGUGCGCCUGGGCCGGUUCAAGCCAAUAAAUUUGGUUUUUGGGCCGGUUCAAGCGGUUUCGGUUGGUUUUUUAGCCGGUUCGAAAUUUUUGGGAGUGGUUCUGUACUACACCAAAUUAAUUAUGUAAUAAUUUAGCACUUAGCUUAAUUUAGGAGCCAAAAAUCAGUCCAUUUUAGGGUGUUUUUUUUAUUUAUGCAUGUGAUGUAUGAUUAAAUUACUUUAAAUUUGUAUGUGCAUUUUGAAUGUCAUAUAGAUUUAAAAUCCCACCAUAGGUUAACAUGUUCAUGCAUUAAAAUGUAUGAUAUAAAGGUUAUAUUGUAUUGUAUGCAUGUUAAUUGAUUAAUAUGGAAAUUAAUUAAUAUGAUUAAUUAUUAUUUAAUUAAUUAAGUUAUUCUUGAUUAAAUAUGAUUUAAUCAAAUUAAUUAAUUAUUGUUUUGAUUUAAUUUAAUUAAAUAUGAUUUAAUUAAAGUUAAAUAAAUUAAAAUCCAUAUUAAUUGAUUGUUUUUUAUUAUAUAUUGAUAAAAUGAUUGAUUAAGUUUAAAAGUUUUUAUAAGUGUUAUAAAAUAAAUUAGACUUUUAAAAUCAAUAACAAAGAUUAAAUGCAUGCUCACUUAGGUUAAACAUAUCUUCCAUUUUCAUAGAAAUAGGUCGAUAUCUUGUAAAACUGGUUACAAAAGGCUCACCUGGUUCAAUCUUGUCAACAAGUCAGAUAAGAUGACUAAGGUUGGAGUUCUUAAGUUGACGGUUUACGGAACACCUCCUACCUGGAGAUCGUAAUCAGUUCUUGAGCCUAGUUAACCUAGUUUUAUGAGCAUUCGUGAGAGGUGUGAGGUAAUAAAAAUGGUUUUCACCUAGACAUCAUAGGUUAAAAUCCUGUAUAAUGGUAUACUUGGAUGUUUUAUCUAGACUUAAGAUUUGUUUAAGUUAGCCUAAAUAUAAAUCUUGAAGUUUGGAUUACCCUAUUUUUUUCUUUUAGAACACUUCAACUAGAGAAAAAAUAAUGUAUUUUAGCUCUAGUGUCCCUAAGAGUUCACACCGUGAGGUCCAUGCAGGGCUUUGUGCCGUGCAUAGGAGCGGCCUCCCUUCGGAGAGUGUUUGCAUGGAUCAAAAUCAAGGUGAAUAGGGGAAGUAGUUCAUAGUAAGUGGGUGAGGGAUUUGUGGCAGCACAUCCCACGGUCUCUUCCAUUAGGUCGCACCGUGAGAUUUCUAUAAUAUGCCUGCUUGUCUGCCCUGGAGCGACGUUCCCUUCGGAGGGUUGUAUUAUAGGAUUCGGAACACCGCGAACUCCAAAACUGGAUAGGAUUUCUUAGAUUAGUUUUCAUAAAUGAUUCUAAUCUAUAAAAUCUGAAAAUGGUGGGUAACACUUACAAGAAUUACUAAGUUGUUAGUAUAUUCUUGACUAAAGUAGCGAUAACUAAGUGCUAUAAAGAAUAAGAGUUAUUCUUGAGAUAGCAUCUAGUCAAGAUUGUCUUGGUUCAAAGGAGGAAUAAUCAACUACCCUUCGGAGAAGGUUGUUCUAAACCUUUGAAAUAUUGUUGCAAAAUACAAAUAAUGAAAGGGUACAUUAUUAGUAAUUGCUAAAUUAGAUUGGAUAUUUUUAUGAUUAUAGUUUUUUCCUUAAAAGAAUAUGUUUGUUUUUCAGCAUGAAUAGCUCAAUAGUUCAACUUUUAGCUUCCGAAAAACUUAAUGGCGAUAAUUAUGCGGCUUGGAAAUCAAAUCUUAACACAAUACUAGUGGUUGGUGAUUUAAGAUUUGUCUUAACUGAGGAUGUCCUCAAAACCCUGCCUCUAAUGAUAACCGAACUAGUCGGGAUGCAUAUGAUCGAUGGAUAAAAGCUAAUGAAAAAGCACGUGUCUACAUUCUUGCCAGCAUGUCUGAUGUAUUGGCAAAGAAACAUGAAUCUUAGCCACGGCUAAAGAGAUUAUGAAUUCAUUAAGGGGAAUGUUUGGGCAACCAGAAUGGUCCUUAAGACACGAGGCAGUCAAAUACAUUUACACUAAGCGUAUGAAGGAAGGGACCUCUGUUAGAGAACAUGUUCUGGACAUGAUGAUGCACUUCAACAUCGCUGAAGUGAAUGGUGGUCCAUCGAAGAGGUUAAUCAAGUUAGUUUUAUCUUAGAGUCUCUUCCGAAGAGCUUCAUUCCAUUCCAAACGAAUGCGUCUUUGAACAAGAUAGAAUUUAACUUGACAACCCUUCUGAAUGAACUCCAGCGAUUCCAAAACCUUACUAUGGGUAAAGGAAAACAAGUGGAAGCAAAUGUUGCUACCACAAAAAGAAAAUUUAUAAGAGGAUCGUCCUCUAAAACCAAAGCUGGACCCUCAAAACCUAAUGCUCAAAUAAAAAAGAAGGGAAAGGGAAAGACUCCCAAACAGAACAAGGGUAAGAAAGGUGCAGAAAAAGGUAAGUGUUACCAUUGUGGCCAAAACGGGCACUGGUUAAGAAACUGCCCAAAAAUACCUUGCAGAAAAAAAGGCAGAGAAGGAAACACAAGGUAAAUAUGAUUUACUAGUUGUAGAAACAUGUUUAGUGGAAUAUGAAAAUUGUACCUGGAUACUAGAUUCAGGAGCCACUAACCAUAUUUGCUUCUCAUUUCAGAAAAUAGUUCUUGAAAAAGCUUUCAGAAGGCGAGAUCACUCUCAGGUUGGAACAGGAGAGAUGGUCUCAGCUUCAGUGGGAGAUUUAAAGUUGUUUUUUAGAGAUAGAUAUGUCAUACUUAAGAAUGUCUUAUAUGUACCUCAAAUGAAAAGAAAUUUAAUAUCUAUCUUUGUAUUUUGGAACAAAUGUAUAGAAUAUCUUUUGAAAUUAAUGAAAGCGUUCGUUUUCUAUAAAGGUAUUCUAGUUUGUUCUGCUAUACUUGAAGACAACUUAUAUAAGUUAAGACCAACUAGAGACAAAUUUUGUCUUAAAUACUGAAAUAUUCAGAACAGCUGAAACUCAGAAUAAAAAGACAAAAAGUUUCUUCUAAUGCCUAUUUAUGGCACUUAAGACUUGGUCACAUAAAUCUCAAUAGGAUUGGGAGAUUGGUUAAAAGUGGGCUUCUAAGUCCGUUAGAAGAUAACUCUUUACCUCCUUGUGAAUCUUGUCUUGAAGGAAAAAUGACCAAGAAGAUCUUUUACUGGAAAAGGUCUAAGAGCCAAAGGACCCUUAGAGCUCGUACAUUCGACCUUUGUGACCAAUGAAUGUCAAAGCUCGAGGUGGAUAUGAAUAUUUCAUUAGCUUCUUGAUGAUUAUUCAAGGUAUGGUCAUAUUUACCUAAUACAUCAUAAGUCUAAUAGUCUUGAAAAGUUCAAAGAAUAUAAGGCUGAAGUAGAAAACGAAUUAGGUAAAACAAUAAAAAAUACUUCGAUCAGAUCGAGGUGGAGAGUAUAUGAUGGCUUACGAUUCCGAGACUAUUUAAUAGAAAAUGAAUCCAGUCACAACUCUCUGCACCUAGUACACCUCAACAGAACGGAUGUAUCAGAAGAAGAAACCGGACCUUGUUAGACAUGGUUUCGCUCUAUGAUGAGUUUUUCUCAGAUGUCAGAUUCUUUUUUGGGGAUAUGCUUUAGAAACAGCUGCUUAUAUUUUGAAUAAUGUUUCCCUCUAAAAGUGUUUCAGAAACACCUUAUGAGCUAUGGAAAGGGCGUAAAGGCAAGUUUACGUUCAUUUUUAAAUUUGGGGUUGUCCAGCACACGUGUUGGUACAAAAUCAAAGAAUUGGAACAUCGUUCAAAAUUAUGCUUUUUUAUAGUUAUCCAAAAGAAUCAAGAGGUGGUUUGUUUUAUGAUCCUCAAGAAAAUAAAAUAUUUGUGUCAACAAAUGCCACAUUCUUAGGAAGACCACAUCAGGGAUCAUCAACCUCGUAGUAAACUAGUAUUUUAAAGAAAUUUCCAAAAGUGCUAUAGAUAAAACCUAGUUCAUCCACUAAGGUAGUUGAUAAGACUAGGAAAUCUGGUCAAUCACAUCCUUUCUCAAACAGUUGAAGAGAGCCUCGGACGUAGUGGAGGGUUGUUCAUCAGCCUGAUCGCUAUUGGUUUAAUUGAAACUCAAGUCGUCAUACCUGACGAUGGCAUAGAGGAUCCAUUAACCUAUAAACAGGCAAUAAAGAUGUAGAUCGUUCGACCAAUGGAAUCAAAGCCAUGGACCUCGAAAUGGAGUCUAUGUACUUUAAUUCUUUUCUGGACUCUAGUAGAUCAACCAAAUGACGUAAAACCUAUUGGUGGUAAAUGGAUCUACAAGAGAAAACGAGACAUGCCGGUAAAGUACAGACUUUUAAGCUCGCUUGGUGCAAAGGGUUAUACCCAGAAGAGGGAGUAGACUAUGAGGAAACUUUCUCUCCCUUGCCAUGUUAAAGUCAAUUGAAUACUCUUAUCCCAUCGCCACUUUUAUGAUUAUGAAUUUGGCAGAUGAUGUAAGACAGCUUUUUUGAACGUGUAAUCUUGAAGAGAGUAUCUAUAUGUCUCAACCAGAGGGUUUAUAGAACACAGAUCAAGAACAAAAGGUUUGUAAGCUUAAAAAAUUCCAUUUAUGGAUUAAAACAAGCUUCUAGAUCCUGGAAUAUAAGAUUUGAUAUUGCGAUCAAAAUCUUAUGGCUUUGAACAAAAUGUUGACGAGCCUUGUGUUUACAAAAGGUCGUCAAUUCCAUUAUAGCAUUUUUUAGUCUUAUAUGUAGAUGAUAUUCUACUUAUUGGAAAUGACGUAGGAUAUCUUACUGAUAUCAAGAAAUGGCUAGCUAUGCAAUUUCAAAUGAAAGAUCUGGGAGAUGCACAAUACGUUCUCGGAAUCCAAAUUGUUCGAAACCGUAAGAACAAAACACUAGCCAUGUCUCAAGCAUCUUACAUAGACAAAAUGUUGUCUAGAUAUAAAAUGCAGAAUUCCAAAAAGGGUCUGCUGCCGUACAGAUAUGGAAUUCAUUUGUCAAAGGAACAAUGUCCUAAGACACCUCAAGAAGUUGAGGAUAUGAGAAAUAUUCCCUAUGCUUCCGCUGUUGGAAGUUUAAUGUAUGCAAUGUUAUGUACUAGACCUGACAUUUGCUACUCAGUAGGGAUGGUCAGUAGGUAUCAAUCCAAUCAUGGACGUGAUCACUGGACAGCCGUUAAAAACAUUCUACAUGCUACAUGCUCAUGUAUCGUACAAAGGAUCUGAUCCUUACUGGAUACACUGAUUCAGAUUUCCAAACUGAUAAAGAUGUUAGAAAGUCUACAUCAGGAUCAGUAUUUACUCUAAAUGGAGGAGCAGUAGUUUGGAGAAGCAUAAAGCAAACUUGUAUAGCUGAUUCCACAAUGGAAGCUGAUCAUUUUACAAAAGCCCUCAUGGCUAAAGUGUUUGAGGGUCACCUACACAGUUUAGGUCUACGAUGUUUGUAAACUAGGACAAGUGGGAGACUUAUUGGCCAUGUGCCCUAGUUUCAUAUAUAUUCUCUCACACCACAUCUCUCAUACCACUAGGAAUUUUAGUCCAAGUGGGAGUUUGUUGGAAUUUUUUGUCCUAAAACUCGUAGUUUGUAAAUCAUAUUCUGUUCAAUAAAGUUGUUAUUGAGAAAUUAAAUAUUAUAAUCUUAAAUCCAAUAAAUCAAGUUCCAAGGCUAUUUUUGAAUAAACUUGAACUUUAUGUGUAAACAUAAACGUGGAUCAAGUUCGAGUAUAUAGCCUAAAUAGUCUAUAGUAUAUGAAAUAAAGGUUGGGCGCCUUAUUUAGAGAAACUAUGGAUGCGGCCCACUUUGUAGUACAAACGAGGUGAUCCUAAUCGUUCAUGUAGAGACAUGAAAGUGGGGGCAUCCUAUGUAAAAUGUUUACAUAAGACUGAACCAUGAAUUAGUCAUUUUUACGUUAUAACACCGUUUACUGUUUAAAACUGACUAUCUCAAUUAUUGAUGACCUAGGUAACUUAGUCUUAAUCCUGAGUUAACUAUGAACUCCUGUUCACACGAGAUUAUCCUUAGAUCUGCAUAGGUGAGGGCAGCUCAUCAGCGUUGGCCCAAUAAGCCUCCCAUUUCAGGGGUAAGAUCGGGUGGAUAGCUGGGAACAUAGGGUACAAGAUGGAAUUCACUCCUACCCGCUUUAGGGUUAGUAGAUAGGUUGCUCUCUUAAGCACUGAAUCCAAGUCUUGAACAAGGGGCCCCACCCUCUCAUUGGCCCGAGAGGGAUUAAGUUUAUAGGAUGAACCUUAAACCAAUUGUUCAAUAGUGGAUUAGUGGGACUUAAGGAGCAAGAUGUAAUCUUGGGGGUAAAACGGUAUUUUGACCCAGCCAAGGUUACGAGCAACCUGUGAAAGACUAACUGGUUGGGCGCCUUAUUUAGAGAAACUAUGGAUGCAGCACACUUUGUAGUACAAACGAGGUGAUCCUAAUCGUUCAUGUAGAGACAUGAAAGUGGGGGCAUCCUAUGUAAAAUGUUUACAUAAGACUGAACCAUGAAUUAGUCUUUUUUACUUUAUAAAACCGUUUACUGUUUAAAACUGAUUGUCUCAAUUAUUGAUGACCUAGGUAACUUAGUCUUAAUCCUGAGUUAACUAUAAACUCCUGUUCACACGAGAUUAUCCUUAGAUCUUCAUAGGUGAGGGCAGCUCAUCAGCGUUGGCCCAAUAAGCCUUCCAUUUCAGGGGUAAGAUCGGGUGGAUAGCUGGGAACAUAGGGUACAAGAUGGAAUUCACGCCUACCCGCUUUAGGGUUAGAAGAUAGGUUGUUCUCUUAAGCACUGAAUCCAAGUCUUGAACAAGGGGCCCCACCCUCUCAUUGGCCCGAGAGGGAUUAAGUUUAUAGGAUGAACCUUAAACCAAUUGUUCAAUAGUUUAUUAGUGGGACUUAAGGAGCAAGAUGAAAUCUUGGGGGUAAAACGGUAUUUUGAUUGAGCCAAGGUUACGAGCAACCUUUGAAGGACUAACUGGUUGGGCGCCUUAUUUAGAGAAACUAUGGAUGCGGCCCACUUUGUAGUACAAACGAGGUGAUCCUAAUCGUUCAUGUAGAGACAUGAAAGUGGGGGCAUCCUAUGUAAAAUGUUUACAUAAGACUGAACCAUGAAUUAGUCUUUUUUACUUUAUAACAUCGUUUACUAUUUAAAACUGACUAUCUCAAUUAUUGAUGACCUAGGUAACUUAGUCUUAAUCCUGAGUUAACUAUGAACUCCUGUUCACACGAGAUUAUCCUUAGAUCUGCAUAGGUGAGGGCAGCUCAUCAACGUUGGCCCAUAAGCCUCCCAUUUCAGAGGUAAGAUCGGGUGGAUAGAUGGGAACAUAGUUUACAAGAUGGAAUUCACUCCUACCCGCUUUAGGGUUAGUAGAUAGGUUGUUCUCUUAAGCACUGAAUCCAAGUCUUGAACAAAGGGCCCCACCCUCUCAUUGGCCCGAGAGGGAUUAAGUUUAUAGGUUGAACCUUAAACCAAUUGUUCCAUAGUGGAUUAGUGGGACUUAAGGAGCAAGAUGUAAUCUUGGGGGUAAAACGGUAUUUUGACCCAACAAAGGUUACGAGCAACCUGUGAAGGAUUAACUUAUUGAUUAUGGUUUUAUCAAAUGGACACAAAUAUAUCUAUAGUGAGGGGAGUGCAACUACGGGACUUUAGUGGAAUGACCCGUUAGUUAAAGAAUGUUGAUUAACUCGGUUUAAAAGAGUUUAGCUAGUUAAUCUUGAAUCGUUGGAGCCCAUGAUCUAUAAGUCCAUUAGGUUCCUCUGCUAGCUCAUAUGGAUUAAACUUAGUACAGUGUGAUGAAAUAAGUCGAAUUGUUCGAAUUGGGAGAUAAAAGGGAAACCGACAAAUAUAGUGAUAUAGUCGUCGGUCUUCUAAUUAGAAAUAGAGCUUUAUGUUUUACAUACUAUAAGUAUGAAUGCGGAUUCAUACUAAGAAGCUCGGAAUUGAUGGAAUUGGUCAAAAAUAGUAAAAAGUCAAAAUGUUGACUUUUGACUUUGAAAAGUCAAACUUUGACCGGCCUUAUAUUCAAAUGUGAUUUGAAUUUUUGAAAAAUGAAUGCGGAUUCAUGCUCGAGAGGUUGGAAUUAGUCAAGACGGAGAAAAUGGUAAAAAGUCAAAAUAUUGACUUUUGACUAAGAAAAGUCAAAAUUUGACUUUUGACUAGAAAUAUCUAAUGACCAUUUUACCUUGGACUAAGUUAGUGGAAAAUCCAACAUUUUGUUGGAUAAUCCCACUAACUCUUAGUGGGAUAUGUGGCUUUAUGAGAUAUAGACACCUAGCCCACUAAGUUCACUAAUUGUUAGUGGAACAUUAGGUGUUGAGAUUUGGCAAAUGAAUUGCAUGCAUUUUUGCAUGUAAUUAGGUUAUAAAUAGAGGUGUUUUUAAAUGUUAAAGAACUUUUGCCUCUUUUAUCAUUUUCAUCAUCUCAACAAAAGGAAAAAAAAAAAAGAAACCUUCCAAUCCCAUUUUAUCUCCAUUACUUUCUACACCAAAAUUGGGUCCCACAACCCGGUUCUUUGUCUAGAGGAUAACAGUUGAGUACUAGUGGUGGUCUCGGUUAGAAUAUGUAAGAAGAUAUCAAACCUUUUGAAAGCUUCAAAGGUAAUAUUUCUUAAAACCCUAAUUUGAUUAGUUUAUGGUUACAUGUUAAUUGUGGCAAUUAGGGUAGAAAUUCGAUUCUUUUUCCGCUGUGCAUGACUUAGUACUAUCACUCUGACCCCGUUUUAAGUCCGGUCGUUCCUUUCUAGGCCAUUGUGCCUUUCUUUCGCCAUUUUCGGAGGAACCAAGAAACCGAGUCUGGGGCAUCACCGUUCGGCUUCUGUGGGCAAGAAACUUCGAGACCACUCAGAAUCGGACCACCCAGUAGCUAGACGUGAACUUUCGAAGCCUCCGACCCUGUUCUAAGUCCAGUCGUUCCUUUCUAGGCCAUUGUGCCUUUUUUUCGGCGUUUUCGGACGGAACCAAGAAACUGAGUCCGGGACAUCACCGUUCGGCGUUCGUGGGCAAGAAACUUUGAGAUCACUCAGAAUCGACCACCCAGUAGCUAGUGUGAACUUUCGAGGCCUCCGACCCCGUUCUAAUUCCAAUCGUUCCUUUCUAGGCCAUUGUGCCUUUCUUCGGCGUUUUGGGACGGAACCGAGAAACCGAGUUUGGGGCAUCACGUUCGGUUUUCGUGGGCAAGAGACUUCGAGAUCACUCAGAAUCGGACCACCCAGUAGCUAGAUGUGAACUUUCGAGGCCUCCGAUCCCGUUCUAAGUCCGGUCGUUCCUUUCUAGGCCAUUGUGCCUUUCUUCGAGGUUUUGGGACGGAACUAAGAAACCGAGUCUGAGGCAUCACCGUUCGUCUUUCGUGGGCAACAAACUUUGAGAUCACUCAGAAUCGGACCACCCAGUAGCUAGAUGUGAACUUUCGAGGCCUCCGACCCCGUUCUAAGUCUGGUCGUUCCUUUCUAGGCCAUUGUGCCUUUCUUCGACGUUUUGGGACGGAACCUGUUGGCUUUUUGGCCCUUAAUCUCAAAUUAAUUUAUUUUAAUUAUUCAAUUAAUUUAUGUUUUGAUGAUAACAAAUCUGAUUUUUUUUAUUGACAAUUUUAUUAAGUUGAAUAGACCAUAUCGUAGAGCUUGGAAAAAUGAUUCUAACGCCUCUUGAAUCACCCAAAUCGAAGUUCAAAUGAAGAAAAUAUUGCUAAAAGAAGCUUAACGAAAAAAUACCCGAGAUGGUGACGUGGCGACCAAGCAUUCAAUUUGAACCAAUUAGAGAAAGCCACUUGGAGCAAUGAAGGAGUAACAAAUGUGGCUUUUUGUUAUGUUUUAUUGGCUUUUAUAAAGAAAAUGAAUUUAAAGAAAAAUGAUUUUAAUAUUAUUAUUUUUUCUUGUGUCUAACGGCUAGUUUUUUUAAAAGAUGGUGAAGUUGCUUUAUUGAUUUCUUUUUAAACAAAAUAUUUUGAAAAGACAUAUUAUUAUAUUAUUAUUUGUAUUGUGUCUAACGGCUAAUUAAGUUUAAAUCUCAACCAUUCAUUUUUCUUUUACUUAUAUCUAAUGACCCAAAUGAUUUUGAAUUUAUCUUUCCUCUCUUUUUAAAUACUUCACAUUUACACAAGAUCACAAAAUCUUUACAAUCCUCAAGCAAAAAGCCAACAUUGUUAUUCUCUCUAAAGCUUCCAAUUUUUAUUCUUUUCAUCUUAUUCUUGAGAGCUUCUUAUUGUAUUGUGAGGAUUAAAUUUGUGAGCUUCAAAUUGUAUACUCACUCUUUUAGAGAGUUUUCUUUUUGUGUGAUUUAAAAUUUCAACAUAUUGUAACGGUUGGAUCCUAACCCGUGGAAAGGAUCGGGUUUGCUCUUAAACCGAAAAAGGAGCAAGAAUCGGUUCGGCUCAAAUCCGUGGAAAGAGUCCAAAGAAGAUUUUCAAUCAAAAUCCCAAGGGGUGCUUGGGAAAGUGGAUGUAGGUUGAGUUUAACCGAACCACUAUAAAAUUACGGUGUCUUCUUCUCUAACUCUUUUCUAAUUAUUUUUUAAUUUAAUUUUAGUUACAUAUUCUUAUUGGUUGAGUUUGAUUGCAUACUUCCAUUCAUAUCUUUUUAUCAAUCUUGUUAUUUAACAAAGUUUACAAAGUUCUUUAUUUAAAUUUUAGAAAAUAUCUAAUUAGUUGAUUUUACUUUUUAUUUGUCAAAAAGUUUAUUUAAACCCUAUUCACCCCCCUCUAGGGUUGCCAUACCGAUCCAACAGAACCGAGAAACCGAGUCUGGGCCAUCGUCGUUUGGCUUUCGUGGGAAAGAAACAUCGAGAUCACUCAUAAUCGGACCACCUAGUAGCCUGAUGCGAACUUUUGAGGCCUCCGACCCCGUUCUAUGUUCGGUCGUUCCUUUCUAGGCCAUUGUGCCUUUCUUCGGCCUUUGGGACGGAACCGAGAAACCGAGUCUGGGGCAUCGUCGUUCGGCUUUCGUGGGCAAGAAACUUUGAGAUCACUCAAAAUCGGACCAAUGAGUAGCUAGAUGUGAACUUUCGAGGCCUCCGACCCCGUUCUAGGUCCGAUCGUUCCUUUCUAGGCCAUUGUGCCUUUCUUUAGGAUUUUGGGACGGAACCGAGAAACCGAGUCUGGGCAUCGUCGUUUGGCUUUCGUGGGUAAGAAACUUCGAGAUCAAUCAGAAUAAGACCACCCAGUAGCUAGAUGUGAACUUUCGAGGCCUCCAACCCUGUUCUAAGUCCGAUCGUUCCUUUGUAGGCCAUUGUGCCUUUCUUUCGGCGUUUUCGAAUGGAACCAAGAAACCGAGUCUGGGGCAUCACCGUUCGGCUUCUUUGGGCAAGAAACUUCGAGACCACUCAGAAUCGGACCACCCAGUAGCUAGAUGUGAACUUUCAAGGCCUCCGACCCCGUUCUAAGUCCGGUCGUUCGUUUCUAGGCCAUUGUGCCUUUCUUCGGUGUUUUGGGACGGAACCGAGAAACCGAGUCUGGUGCAUCGUCAUUUGGCUUUCGUGGGCAAGAAACUUCGAGAUCACUCAGAAUCGGACCACCCAGUAGCUAGAUGUGAACUUUCGACGUCUCCGACCCCGUUCGAAGUCCAGUCGUUCCUUUCUAGGCCAUUCCGGAGACCAAAAGAGAAGAGAUUGCCAGUUGUAUUAUAAAGGCACUAUGGAGUUCAAAAGGAAUUGGGUGGGUCUUUGUUUGAAGCUAGUGGCAGAUUAAGAGUUUUGCUGAUUAUGUGGAUAAAUACAAGUUAUCGAUUAUUGAAGUUUGGUCAAUAGAAGGAAGGUCAUUACAGUGUGGCUUAUAAGUUGUUUCAACAUUAAUUUAUAAGUAAUUUGCAAAGGUUCUCGCAGAAAGAUUAAAGAUAGUCAGGCCAGGUAUUACUUUGUAAGACCUCCUAUUCUAUACCUAUAAAAGGAAGGGUAGAAAGGGAAAUUCCUUAGCAACCAAUGGUGAGAGAAUAAUUGGAGAGGAUCGUGCAGGUUGGGCCCGCCAGGAGGUAUGAGAGAGAGAGGUAUAAAUAUGUAAUGUUGGGGUAGGGGAGGCUAGGUCUUUUUUGGUUAUUUCAAGGAGAGUAAAGGCUGCUGUAGCCUGAGGGUAUCCAGCCUCGUAUAAAGGAGCUGGGUAAGUUUUCUAUGUUGUUCUUCCUUUAUUUUUCAUAUCUACUACUGUUGAAUGUGUUUUGGCUUUUACAUAAAUAAAGAAUUAUAGAGUGUUGCCUCUGUUUAGCCAUUUGGUUAGGAUAUUUUGUGUUUUAUUGUUAGAAUCCUAACAUACUUCUCCAUUACAAUGUGGCUUUCUGGAAGAGUGCCAAAUCUUGGAUCCUAUUUUAAUAGCAAAGAAACUAUGGAGGCCAUAGUAUCCGAAAAAAGAAAAGAUGGAUCAUUAAAUUAGACCUUGAAAAGGCCUUUAACAGAGUGGAUUGGAAAUUUUAGAAAAUGUAAUGCAAAAGAAGAUCUUCGACGUAGGAUAUUGUGUUAUAUUGGCCAGUCUUUACAGCAUCUCCACUUUGAAGUCUUUGAUGAUCAGGACUUUCGGAUCAGCCCUCUGCUUCAAACAGUUGUUCCUCAACCAAUCAAGGCUUAUUCUUCUUUGUUCUCAGCAUGCUGCCUUUUUUGGAUGUUUUGAGGGCACUAAGGGGGUGUCAACCUAGUUUGAGAUGCCCGGAUGCGCCUGUUGAUCUUCCCUCUCCCCUUUUGCUCUUUGUAUAAUCAUCAUGUAAUUGAGCUUUGUCUCUUUCUUUAUAUUAAUAAUAGUGAGACUCGUAUCUUUUUUUAAAAAAAUAAAGAAAAUUCAAUUAUAUAUCACCAACACUCUCCUCACUUGUGGGCUUGAAAUAUUUGAAAGGCCCAACAACUGGAAAUGGAUUUUAAUUGGGGAGGAAACGACAAUGCGAGGCUUGAACACAAGACCUUCUUGGACCACCUGCUCGGAUACCAUAUUGAAACACACAACUUUACGUGGAAACCUGUGUACCAGGAGAAAAACCACUAUAUUUUUCUUCUUCUUAUUUUCUGAUUAAAAAUACAAUAGGUACAAGGAGAAUAAAUAGAAUAUACAGAGGAAUAAAAAAGGAAAAUAUUUAGGAAUUAAGAAAAAUAUUCCAUAAACUUUUCAUAAAUAUUCUAAGAUUCUAACAAUAAAAAGUUCUAUUUAUUCCAAAUUGUGACUGCUCUAAUGUGCAGUUGUUUUCUGAUUCAGAUGAUUGAGGAGCUUGGUGAUUCUCUCACUGCUGAUGGGAGUACAACCACUCAUGUCAUUACAGGAAAAGUGCGGAAAACUCUAAAUUUUUGUAUUGCUCUUUUUUCAGGGUUAGUCUUGCAACCUUAGACAAACACUCUUCUAUGUGUCCUUUUGGCCUUUGAAUCCCGAUAAUCAUCUCAUUUGCACCAAAGUUAGCGAUUCCAUGCACACAAAGCCUUUGCCGUUAUUCUUCCAUUGCCUCGUAGUUGUGCUUAGGCUGAAAUUGUUGUGAACCUUCUAGAUCUAAAAGGCAUAGUUUUCUUAUUCUACUGCCUGUUUACUUUUAGUUAAACAUCAAAAUCAAUUCUUAUGUUUGAGUUGGAUUGUAUCAUGCUCUUCCUUUUCAGUUGUUUCUAUCGUGAUGGUGGGGUAGUGGUUUUUAAGACAACCAUUAGGCUAAUUUGGGUUUCAGGCUUACUUUUCCCAUUUACGUGUAAAAUGGCUCAAGCUCACUAAUGAAAGAUAUUUGUUGGCUAGCUAGUGUUUUUAUCCUCGAUUUCCUUCUUCCCCUAAUACAUUAUGUUAUGGAAUUUGUUAGAUACCUAGAUUAGUAUAGGGUUGGGGUAUAACGGUAAUUAGAUAUUUAGGAAGUGACUAGUAGUUAUUGUGUAAGUUUGGUUACUAGUAGUUAUUAUGUAAGUGUGGUAACUAGGGUGGUUACAUGUUAUUAUAAAUGGAGGGAGGGUAAGUGGGGAGAAUUCUGGGGAGUGAUAUAAGGCUUGGGUGAGAGCACUCAAGAGGAGGGUUCCAAGUGCUUUAUACUUGGUUUUAUCUUGUAUUUUCUUAUAGUUACAUUAUAAUAAAUUUAGAUCUUGUUCUUGUUAGGAAGUAUAUGUCUCCAAUAUUAUUUAAAUACAGUAGAAGAAUUAAAAAGGGUAAUAUUGACCCACAUGAGAAUAUAGGAGAGAUUAUAGGAGGAGAGAAUAUCGGAGGAGAUCUUUCCCAUUAGUUUGUUAGGAAAGCAAAAUAAAAGGGAGGAAAGAGGAGGGAGAAAGGGGACAAAAUAUUCCAAAGAAGUAGAGGUUGCCGUCUUUCGUGCUCGGGAGAAGUAGAGGGUCCAAGUCAAGUUCUUUUUAUUGUUUGUUUUGGUCAUUUUCAUGGUUGCGGUUUGUUCUUAGUUUUUCUUGUUCUUUGUUGUGAUCCUCACUGGAGUGUGCCUUUAGGACGUAGAUGUGAGUGAUUUUUUAUUCUUAUACUAUAAUUCAUUGAGGUAAUUCAAUAAAGUAAGAUACACUUGCCGUAUAUUUACAGUAUCUUAACAGAUUGGUAUCAGAGUGUUUUACUUGGGAGAACGAUAGAGCAGCACAAAAAACGGAUCGAAGAGAAGUUGGAGACCUCUGAUAAGGAAAUCUCGGGGAUACAAGUGGAGUUACACAAGUUGUUGGCAAUUGAAGAAAAUUUGUUAUGAUUGCCAAAAAGCAUCGAAAGACUGGUCAUCUAGUUGGAAAAACAAGAACGAUUGCUAAAUGCAUCGAAGGAAUAGCAGAAAGAUAAUUCGACAAUCUCCGGAAGAAUGGAAGGAUCGUCGAGCAAAGGACCAACGAUUGAGAGUAUCAUCGAAGGUGGAGGUAAGACAUUGAAGGAAAUCAAGGUAGAAGGUAAAACAAACAAGUUUGAAAAGGAUGAAAACUCGAACGAUCAUAGCAAAUUCAAGAAGGUUGAAAUGCCUGUGUUCAGUGGCACUGAUCUGGAUUGUGUUUAUUUAGAACGGAUUGGAAUCUUCAGGUCCAUAAAUCGAUGGAUUCCAAGAAGUUGUUGAAUCCAUAAAAGAAUCGAGGAAAACGCGAUUGCAACGGUUAUACAACGAAGGUGAAGAGGAUGGCAAAGAGUGACCAAGAAGAAACUAUAGAGGAAGGUCGACGAGGAUUACCUGUGAGGCUUGAAAUUAAGACUCGAGUGAAGAAAAAUUUGUUGCUCAAAGAAACACAAAAUGGCUAGUUGCAAUGGAGAAACAAGAAGCCGACAGUUACCGGUCUACAGAGGCUCGAGAAGGUGGUCUGGAAUAGGGGUGAAUCACGUGACGAGGAAGAAGUUGCUGCACACAUGAUGGUGCCAAUGACGUGGUAGAAAUUUGUAGGAAAGAGGAUUAAGACAAAAGGAACAAUCUUGGGUUUUACUAUUUCAAGUGGGCUUCAACUUACUCUAAAUGAGCUUCAACUUAUUCUAAAUAAAACAUUGGGGGCACAUCAUUUUGUAGAUGAAGUGGAUGGAGAGUUCCAAAAAUAGGAGGGAAGAAAAAUCUGUAUGUAGGUGGGUCCUAGGAAUGAAACCGACGGCAGUAUGAUUUUGAUCUUGACGCAACACUUUGAUUAUGGCCUAGCCCACUAGAGAUGAAGAGUUUGAAAAUUAAACACUUGUUGGUGAUAUGCAUGUUGGAAUUUUUUGUCCUAAAACUCGUAGUUUGUAAAUCAUAUUCUCUUCAAUAAAAUUGUUAUUGAGAAAUUAAAUAUUAUAAUCUUAAAUCCAAGAAAUCAAGUUCCAAGGCUAUUUUUGAAUAAACUUGAACUUUAUGUGUAAACAUAAACGUGGAUCAAGUUCGAGUAUAUAGCCUAAAUAAUCUAUAGUAUAUGAAUAAAGGUUGGGCGCCUUAUUUAGAGAAACUAUGGAUGCGGCCCACUUUGUAGUACAACACGAGGUGAUCCUAAUCGUUCAUGUAGAGACAUGAAAGUGGGGGCAUCCUAUGUAAAGUGUUUACAUAAGACUGAACCAUGAAUUAGUCUUUUUUACGUUAUAACACCGUUUACUGUUUAAAACUGACUAUCUCAAUUAUUGAUGACCUAGGUAACUUAGCCUUAAUCUUGAGUUAACUAUGAACUCCUGUUCACACGAGAUUAUCCUUAGAUCUACAUAGGUGAGGGCAGCUCAUCAGCGUUGGCCCAAUAAGCCUCCCAUUUCAAGGGUAAGAUCGGGUGGAUAGCUGGGAACAUAGGGUACAAGAUGAAAUUCACUCCUACCCGAUUUAGGGUUAGUAGACAGGUUGUUCUCUUAAGAACUGAAUCCAAGUCUUGAACAAGGGGCCCCACCCUCUCAUUGGCCCGAGAGGGAUUAAGUUUAUAGGUUGAACCUUAAACCAAUUGUUCAAUAGUAGAUUAGUGGGACUUAAGGAGCAAGAUGUAAUCUUAGGGGUAAAACGGUAUUUUGACCCAGCCAAGGUUACGAGCAACCUGUGAAGGAUUAACUUACCGAUUAUGGUUUUAUCAAAUGGACACAAAUAUAUCUAUAGUGAGGAGUGCAACUACGGGACUUUAGUGGAAUGACCCGUUAGUUAACGAAUGUUGAUUAACUCGGUUUAAAAGAGUUUAGCUAGUUAAUCUUGAAUCGUUGGAGCCCAUGAUCUAUAGGUCUAUUAGGUUCCUCUGCUAGGUCAUAUGGAUUAAACUUAGAACAGUGUGAUGAAAUAAGUCGAAUUGCUCGAAUUGGGAGAAGAAAGGGAAACCGACAAAUAUAGUGAUACAGUCGUUGGUCUUCUAAUUAGAAAUAGAGCUUUAUGUUUUACAUACUAUAAGUAUGAAUGCGGAUUCAUACUAAGAAGCUCGGAAUUGAUGGAAUUGGUCAAAAAUAGUAAAAAGUCAAAAUGUUGACUUUUGACUUUGAAAAGUCAAACUUUGACCGGCCUUAUAUUCAAAUGUGAUUUAAAUUUUGGAAAAAUGAAUGCGGAUUCAUGCUCGGGAGGUUGGAAUUAGUUAAGACGGAGAAAAUGGUAAAAAGUCAAAAUAUUGACUUUUGACUAAGAAAAGUCAAAGUUUGACUUUUGACUAGAAAUAUCUAAUGACCAUUUUACCCUUGGACUAAGUUAGUGGGAAAAUCCAACAUUUUGUUGGAUAAUCCCACUAACUCUUAGUGGGAUAUGUGGCUAUAUGAGAUAUAGACACCUAGCCCACUAAGUUCCACUAAUUGUUAGUGGAACAUUAGGUGUUGAGAUUUGGCAAAUGAAUUGCAUGCAUUUUUGCAUGUAAUUAGGUUAUAAAUAGAGGUGUUUUCAAAUGUUAAAGAACUUUUGCCUCUUUUAUCAUUUUCAUCAUCUCAACAAAAAGAAAAAAAAAAAACCUUCCAAUCCCAUUUUAUCUCUAUUACUUUCUACACCAAAAUUGGGUCCCACACCCCGGUUCUUUGUCUAGAGGAUAACAGUUGAGUACUAGUGGUGGUCUCGGUUAGAAUUGGUAAGAAGAUAUCAAACCUUUUGAAAGCUUCAAAGGUAAUAUUUCUUAAAACCCUAAUUUGAUUAGUUUAUGGUUACAUGUUAAUUGUGGCAAUUAGGGUAGAAAUUCGAUUCUUUUUCCGUUGUGCAUGACUUAGUUCUAUCAAUGCAAAGGGUUAACUAAGACAAUGUGUUUUGGAAAAGGAAAAUUCAAGUACAUUGGGCUGCUUUGUGGGCUGAAGUCAAUGGACCUUAUUGGAAUCGAGAGUGUUUCAAAGCCGAAGGGGAGGAUUUCUUUUUCAACAUUGAAGUGCAGAAUGUUGGGGAUUGUUUGCAAUUAAAAAGAGAAAAAAGAGAAAGGGGCCUUGAUCAUGUUUGUAAGCAUACCUUGAGGACAAGGUGUUUUGAAGGAUCGGGUAAUGUUAGAUACCUAGAUUAGUAUAAGGUUAAGGGUAUAAGGGUAAUUGGAUAUUUAGAAAGUUACUAGUAGGUAUUAUGUAACUGUGGUUACAUCUUAUUAUAAAUGGAGGGAGGGUAAGUGAGGGGAGAAUUCUGGGGAGUGAUCUAGGGCUUGGGUGAGAGUACUCAAGAGGGAGGUUCCAAGUGCAUUAUACUUGGUUUUAUCUUGUAUUUUCUUAUAGUUCAUUAUAAUAAAUUAAGAUCUUGUUCUUGUUAGGAAGUAUCCUAACAGAACACCUCUAGAAGGUCUCAUGUUAGCGAUGAUAAUCUGCGUUAAGUGUGUAUUUGUAGGAGUUCUUCUCCCGAGCAUCUAUGGUUGAUAUUCUUUACCUUUCAAUAUAUCAAAGCCAAGGAUUCUUUUGCAUUUCUCUAUGCUUUUUCUUUACCCAUUUCUGCUUUUUUCAGUUAUAUUUGAGAGUAGUAUUUCAUUUCUUUCAUGUGAAAUGUUGAACUUCAGUAGUAUGGAGAGUGGAACGUAAUAUCUUACCUUUUAUAUUAGUAAACUUGAUUUUAAGCAAUGUGUUUUUGAAGAUUUUAUGUUGUAGAAUGUUUUUUGUUCUUCAAGCUACUGUUCUUAACUUUAUUUUCUCCUGUUAAUGUUCUCAAUGAUUAUCGAGCAUAUGCAUUACCAUGUGACUUCAAGCGUGUCAGUGUGCUCUUGCUCAUAAUUUUUACUAUAUCUUGUUACUAAAAUUGCAAGUUAAUUGCAAAUUACUCAGAGCUUGGAUUUUCUCCUCCAGUUGGUUAAAGGAAAGCUACCGGGAAGGCAGAUUUGUUGGUAAGUUCGAAUGGCUUGAUAGUAUCAAAGUGUAAUGUAUUUUCUUCCACUUAUGUUUUUCAUCCUACCUAAUUUUUGUGAUUGAUUAAUUCCUUAUUGAUCUGCAGACGAGUUGCCUUACAUACUAAAUGAUGAUGACUACAUAUCGAAGUAUCGAGCUAGCCUAAAAGCUGCAAUUCUCAGGGCAAAAGCAUGUCUUGGAGCUUUAUUUGAAGGGUAUGAUGUUUGCAUAUCAGCUCACGCUCAACCACCACCUAAAACUCUAUCCCCGAUAGUCAAGUCAGCCGGUGGAAAUGUAAGUUCUCUAUUAUUGUACAAAACUCGAGUACUAGGUUUGGUUCUCUUUAUUACAUAUACAACCACUAUAAUAUGGCUAUCCUCGCAUCUAAUGAAGACGUGAAGUUCUCAACAAACAAGUGAUAGAACUAAGUCAUGCACAGCGGAAAAAGAAUCGAAUUUCUACCCUAAUUGCCACAAUUAACAUGUAACCAUAAACUAAUCAAAUUAGGGUUUUAGGAAAUAUUAUCUUUGAAGCUUUCAAAAAGUUUGAUAUCUUCUUACCAAUUCAAGCCGAGACCACCACAAGUACUCAACUGAUAAAAGAGGCAAAAGUCCUUCAACAUUUGAAAACACCUCUAUUUAUAACCUAAUUACAUGCAAAAAUGCAUGUAAUUCAUUUGCCAAAUCUCAACACUAAUGUUCACUAACAAUUAGUGGAACUUAGUGGGCUAGGUGUCUAUAUCUCAUAUAGCCACAUAUCCCACUAAGAUUUAGUGGGAUUAUCCAACAAAAUGUUGGAUUUUCCCACUAACUUAGUCCAAGGGUAAAAUGGUCAUUAGAUAUUUCUAGUCAAAAGUCAAACUUUGACUUUUCUAAGUCAAAAGUCAAUAUUUUGACUUUUUACCAUUUUGUCCAUCUUGACUAAUUCCAACCUCCCGAGCAUGAAUCCACAUUCAUUUUCCAAAAUUCAAAUCACAUUUGAAUAUAAGGUCGGUCAAAGUUUGACUUUUCAAAGUCAAAAGUCAACAUUUUGACUUUUUACAAUUUUUGACACAAUUCCAUCAAUUCCGAGCUUCUUAGUAUGAAUCCGCAUUCAUACUUAUAGUAUGAAAAACAUGAAGCUCCUUUUCUAAUUAGAAGACCGACGACUAUAUCACUAUACUUGUCGGUUUCUCUUUCUUCUCCCAAUUCGAACAAUUCGACUUAUUUCAUCACACAGUUCUAAGUUUAAUCCAUAUGAGCUAGUAGAGUAACCUAAUGGACCUAUAGAUCAUGGGCUCCAACGAUUCAAGAUUAACUAGCUAAACUCUUUUAGAUAGAGUUAAUCAACUUUCAUUAACUAACGGGUCAUUCCACUAAAGUCCCGUAGUUGCAUUCCCCUCACUAUAGAUAUAUUUAUGUCCAUUUGAUAAAACCAUAAUCGGUAAGUUAAUCCUUCACAGGUUGCUCGUAACCUUGGCUGGGUUAAAAUACCGUUUUACCCCAAGAUUACAUCUUGCUCCUUAAGUCCCACUAAUCCCUAUUGAACAAUUGGUUUAAGGUUCAACCUAUAAACUUAAUUCCUCUCGGGCCAAUGAGAGGGUGGGCCCCAUGUUCAAGACUUGGAUUCAGUGCUUAAGAACAAUCUAUCUACUAACCCUAAAGCGGGUAGGAGUGAAUUUCAUUUUGUACCCUAUGUUCCCAGCUAUCCACUCGAUCUUACCCCUGAAAUGGGAGGCUUAUUGGGCCAACGCUGAUGAGCUGCCCUCACCUAUGCAAAUCUAAGGAUAAUGUAAUGCCCAAAGAAAAGGUAAAUAUAUAUAUAUAUAUAUAUAUAUAUAUAUAUAUAUAUAUUUUUUUAUUUUUAUAUAUAUUAUUUUAAUAUUAAAAAAUUUCUUUAUUAUUUUUCUUUUCUUCUUUUCUUUUUCUUUUCUUUUCUCCUUCUUCUUCUGCGUGCGCGCCGAUCCCUUCCCCCUUCUCUCUCGUUCGCAAACCGUCGCCUCCCUUCCCUUCCGUUUUUCUUUCCGCCGCAACACCACCUCUAUCUUCUUCUUCCCGUCCCGCCGCAGCCAACCGCAGCCAGCCGCCGAUCCUUUCCUUCCAUUUUCUUCUUCCAUCCGCAGCCCCGCGCGAAGCAAGACCGCGCCGCUGCCAGUCCAGAUCUGCGGUGCCGUUGCUCUUUCGUCGCUGCCCAACCGUCUCAGCCGGUUCUGUCUCUGUCGAAGCCACGGUUCUGCAACCGUCUCCGCCGUCUUUAUCUCCGUCCGCAAGGCAAGUCGCACGCCUCAGUCACGAACAGCCUCGCCGACGCAGGUCACGCCGCAUCGCACGAAGUCGGCUACGUUGCUGGGCUACUCCCGUCUGCGCGUAACUGCUGUUGAACGUCCGAACCGUUCUGCCUUCGUCGAUACCCGCUGUCCCAUUUACGAAUCGCGGACCAGUUCGCGUGCAAAAGUGUUUUGCACGAUGUCUUUUGUGUAGAUCCUGCGGCAACUUCUAUUUAACGUCGAUUGUCAAAGUCUUGUUACAAGAUAUUGGUAAGGAUGAGAUUGUUCGGUAAUAAGGUCUUACAUUUGUAAAUACAUUAAGAUGUGAUGUUGUUUAAUUGGUUGAAUUGAUCUUUGUUCUUGAAGGCGACAUCGGUGAUUUGGAGUUAGUGUCCUUGAGUUACGCCUUAAGCUUUGUUGGAGUUCGAUUCUUUACUCUUGGGGUUUGUUUGUUGAAGUUAGUUCGACUAAGGAAUUUUACAUAAAGAUCCAGGUAAGGGAUUUUCUACUGGACUCAAUUGUGAUUGUGAACUGUGUAUGUAUGUGUUGAAUGUAUACUGGGGUGACUGAAAAUAUAUAUGAAUGUAUAUGAAUUGAAGUAGACUUGACGUCGAAUGUAUGUCGUGAUUGUCAUGGAAUCUAUAUAUAAAUGUGUGUAUGUGGACAGGACGGAGAUUGUAGAUUGUGUUGUAUGAGAUUCUCGUUUAGAUUGGGUGUAUGAUUACGCUAAAGUAUGACUGUGUGCUGGUGAACUGAGGGGUGCAUUGACUGUAUAGUGAUUGACUGAUGUAUUAGCAUAUUAUUGACAGACAUAUGACUGUGAAAAUAAGUUGACUGUUAGGAUGUUGAAGAAAGAACUUUGUUUUGAAGUAACUGAAAGAUGGGUUGAAUGGAAUGAGGGGAUAAAUUGUUAGGUUGUAUUGGGAUGUUUACCUUGUAGGUGUCCCACGGGAUCACCAAUUUAUUUUGCACCUUCGGGAGCAUUUGACUGAUAUGUGUUUCUGCAGAACACUACUGAUAUGUACGUCCCUCGGGGCGUUAGACUGAUAUGUACGUCCUUCGGGGCGUUAGACUGAAUGUGUAUCCUACGGGAUCACAAGACUGCGACUGUACAGGGUGUCCCAAUAGAACUUUAACAAUUUAUUUUCCCCUGACGAGACCAGUAGAGGGUCUCUUACUGAGUAUUUAAAACUCACCCUUCUUAUGUUUAAUUUUCAGGCAAAGGUAAUAAAGGCGGCAAACCGGCGAGGGGCAGGAAGGAAGCGUGAUGCCAUAGGAAACGUGUUUUUGCUUCCGCUUAUGGGUUCUUGUGAGGUUUAAAAUGAAUUGAAAUUUAGUUUACAAACGUUUGUUGUAAAUAGUACUAUUUUAUGUUUUCUUGAAUGUUUAAAAAUCAGGCCUGACUUGAAGAUGUUUUUUUUUUUAUUUGUUUACGUUUUGUUUUAUAUUAAUCAAAGUCUUUAUUUGUUAAAAAAAUUAACGAUCUCGACUUACUUAGAAAAGUUGGGUCGUUACAGUUGGUAUCAGAGCCUAAGUUUUAGGUUCUGUAGACUGACUUACGAUGUAAGUCUAUGUUUUUGUGUUCCUAUGGCUAACGCGACCCUUCGUCUCUCGUCAGGUAUGCUUGAUGCUUAUAUGUAUGGUUUAUUUGCAUGACCUUGCCUAAAUUAAACUAGAUUGCAUGACGAUAAAGACUUGCUUAUGUUAUGAUUAAGAUUUUGUUAAAGAGUGUUGUUGGUGGAUAAUAGGAAUUAUGCCGCCAAGGGAAGGUGUACGUAGAGGAGGUCGUAGAGGCCGAGGUAGAGGAAGGAGGCCGAGGUAGAGGAGCAGGUCGUAAUCAGCCUACUGAGGGUCAAGCUGAACAGCGAAUUCCUGCUGCACCCGUGACUCACGUUGAGUUUGAUGCACUGUCUGCUCACAUGGAGCAGAGGUUUACAGAACUUAUGACAGCUAUAGCUCAAAACCAGCAGGCACCUGCGUGUUCCACCUGCACCUGUAGUUCCCCUGCACCAGCAGCCCCUCCUGCACAAGAUUACCGAACCAACUUUCUGCUGAGGCGAAACAUUUGAGGGACUUUCGGAAGUAUGACCCUCAGACGUUUGAUGGGUCACUGGAGGAUCCUACUAAAGCUGAAAUGUGGUUGUCCUCUGUGGAAACCAUAUUUAAUUACAUGAGAUGUCCCGAGGAGCACAGAGUUCAGUGUGCUGCUUUUCUACUGAGGGACAGAGGCAUUAUCUGGUGGAGGACUACAAUGCGCAUGCUAGGUGGAGAUGUGAGGCAAAUUACCUGGGAUCAGUUUAAGGACUGCUUCUAUACCAAGUUUUUCUCGGCUAACCUUAGAGACGCCAAAAGCCAGGAAUUCUUGGAGUUGAAGCAAGGAUAUAUGACAGUCGAGGAGUACGACCAGGAGUUUGAUAUGCUGUCACGUUUUGCCCCUGAGCUUGUUAGUAAUGAGCAGGCUAGAGCUGAUAGGUUCGUCAAGGGAUUGAGAGAUGAAAUUAGGGGUUUUGUGCGAGCACUAAAGCCCACUACCCAAGCUGAAGCACUGCGUCUGGCAGUGGAUAUGAGCAUUGGGAAGGAUGAAAUACAGCCAAGGAGCUUUGAUAAGGGAUCGUCGUCGGGUCAAAAGAGAAAAGUAGAGCAGAGAACUGUAGGAGUUCCUCAGAGGAACUUGAGACCAGGCGAUCCUUUUCGCAGUUUCCAGCAGAGUUCUGGCGGGCAGGAGACACUACUCGAGAGAGGCCAGUAUGUAAUACGUGUGGGAAACGCCACCUGGGUCGUUGUUUGAUGGGAACGAGAGUCUGUUAUAAGUGCAAGCAAGAGGGACACAUGGCUGAUAGGUGUCCCUUGAGAUCUACUGGGGCUGGAUCGAGCAGUCAGGGAGAGAGACCUCCACAGCGGGGUACAAUCUUUGCCACUAAUAGAUCAGAGGCAGAGAAGGCCGGCACAGUAGUGACAGGUACAUUACCAGUGUUAGGGCAUUUUGCCUUGACCUUGUUUGACUCGGGAUCUUCUCAUUCAUUUAUUUCAUCGCUUUUUGUGACGCAUGCAUGCUUAGAGGUGGAACCCUUAGACUAUGUUUUGUCAGUGUCUACACCGUCUGGAGAAAUUAUGUUGUCUAAGGAAAAGAUUAAAGCAUGUGAAAUUGAGAUAGCUGGUCGUGUGCUGGACGUAACCUUGUUGGUAUUAGAUAUGCGUGACUUUGAUGUAAUUUUAGGUAUGGAUUGGCUAGCUACUAAUCAUGCUAGUAUUGAUUGUUCUCGUAAGGAAGUUGUGUUCAGUCCCCCUACUGCAUCUAGCUUUAAAUUCAAGGGGUAGGAACAGUAGUACUGCCUAAAGUAAUCUCAGCUAUGAAAGCUAGUAAACUACUCAACCAGGGUACUUGGAGUAUUUUGGCAAGUGUGGUGGAUACUAGGGAAGGUGAGACUUCUUUAACUUCAGAACCUGUGGUAAGAGAAUACCCAGAUGUAUUUCCAAAAGAUCUUCCAGGACUACCGCCACAUAGAGAGGUUGAUUUUGCCAUUGAGUUGGAGCCAAAACUACUCCUAUUUCUAGAGCCCCUUAUAGGAUGGCUCCUGCUGAGUUGAAAGAACUGAAGGUACAGUUACAGGAAUUGCUUGACAAAGGCUUUAUUCGACCUAGUGUGUCACCUUGGGGUGCACCAGUAUUGUUUGUGAAGAAGAAGGAUGGGUCGAUGCGUCUUUGCAUUGCUAUAGAGAGUUGAAUAAAGUAACAGUCAAGAACAUAUAUCCUUUACCCAGAAUCGAUGAUAUGUUCGAUCAGUUACAGGGAGCCACGGUGUUCUCUAAGAUUGACUUACGGUCAGGUUAUCACCAGUUGAGGAUUAGAGACCGUGAUAUUCCUAAGACUGCUUUUCGUUCGAGUAUGGACAUUAUGAAUUCAUAGUAAUGUCUUUUGGUUUGUCUAGUGCACCUGCUGUAUUUAUGGAUUUGAUGAACAGGGUGUUUAAGGAUUUCUUGGACACUUUUUGUGAUAGUCUUCAUUGAUGAUAUUUUGGUUUAUUCCAAGACUGAAGCCGAACAUGAGGAACACUUACAUAAGGUGUUAGAGACUCUUCGAGUCAAUAAACUGUAUGCUAAGUUCUCUAAGUGCGAAUUUUUGUUGAAGCAGGUGGCUUUUCUUGUCAUGUGGUUUCCAGUGAGGGAGUUUCAGUAGACCCUGCAAAGAUAGAAGCGGUUACCAGUUGGUCUCGACCCUCUACAGUUAGUGAGGUUCGUAGUUUUCUGGGUUUAGCAGGGUACUACCGGAGGUUUGUGGAGGAUUUUUUCACGUUUGGCUACUCUUUGACUCAGUUGACAAGGAAGGGAACUCCGUUUGUUUGGAGUCCAGCUUGCGAGGACAGUUUUCAGAACUUAAAGCAAAGGUUAGUUACUGCACCGGUCCUUACUGUACCAGAUGGAUCUGGAAGUUUUGUGAUUUACAGUGAUGCUUCCAAGAAAGGACUAGGUUGUUUUGAUGCAGAAAGGUAAGGUGGUUGCUUAUGCUUCUCGUCAGUUGAAGAGUCACGAGCAGAACUACCCCACACAUGAUUUGGAGUUGGCAGCAGUGGUUUUUGCAUUGAAGAUAUGGAGACAUUACUUGUACGGUGAAAAGAUACAAAUCUUUACUGACCAUAAGAGCCUAAAGUACUUCUUCACUCAGAAGGAGUUGAAUAUGAGACAGCGAAGGUGGCUCGAGUUGGUAAAAGAUUAUGACUGUGAGAUAUUGUACCAUCCUGGUAAGGCGAAUGUGGUGGCUGAUGCUCUUAGUAGAAAAGUAUCACAUUCGGCAGCACUCAUUACUAGACAGGUACCAUUGCAUCGAGACUUGGAGAGAGCUGAGAUUGUAGUGUCUGUGGGGAGAGUCACUCACAGCUGGCUCAAUUAACGGUGCAACCGACUCUGAGGCAGAAGAUUGUUGAUGCUCAGAGUAGUGAUCCUUAUUUGAUGGAGAGACGUCGCCUUGUUGAAACAGGGCAGAUUGAUGAGUUCUCCAUAUCCUCUGAUGGUGGGUUGAUGUUUGAAAGACGUUUGUGUGUGCCAGCGAACAGUACAGUUAAGAUUGACUUACUAGAUGAAGCCCAUAAUUCCCCAUUUUCAAUGCAUCCUGGUAGCACGAAAAUGUAUCAGGAUUUAAAACGAUUUUACUGGUGGCGGAAUAUGAAAAGGGAAGUGGCGGAAUUUGUUAGUAAGUGUCUAGUAUGUCAGCAAGUUAAGGCACCUAGACAGAAACCAGCAGGUUUGUUACAACCCUUAAGUGUGCCAGAGUGGAAGUGGGAGAAUGUGUCGAUGGAUUUUAUUUCAGGGCUGCCUAAGACCCUGAAGGGUUUCACAGUGAUUCUGGUUGUCAUAGACAGGCUUACGAAAUCGGCACAUUUUGUACCAGGAAAAUCCACUUAUACUGCUAGUAAGUGGGCAGAGUUGUAUUUAACUGAGAUUGUGAGACUGCAUGGAGUACCUGUAUCGAUUGUUUCUGAUAGGGAUGCACGGUUUACUUCCAUGUUUUGGAAGGGACUUAAGACUGCUAUGGGUACGAGAUUGGAUUUUAGUACAGCCUUUCAUCCACAGACUGAUGGUCAAACUGAACGUUUGAACCAAGUUUUAGAGGAUAUGCUACGAGCUUGUGUUAUAGAGUUUCCAGGUAGUUGGGACUCUCAUCUACAUUUGAUGGAGUUUGCUUAUAACAACAGUUUCCAGGCUACCAUCGGUAUGGCACCAUUUGAGGCUUUGUAUGGCAAAUGUUGUAGAACCCCUGUUUGUUGGAGUGAGGUUGGUGAACAUAGAUUGAUGGGACCUGAAUUAGUUCGGUCUACUAAUGAGGCUAUUCAAAAGAUUAGAGCACGUAUGCAAACAGCGCAGAGUAGACAGAAGAGUUAUGCGGAUGUACGGCGAAAAGACCUUAAGUUCGAUGUGGGAGAAAAGGUAUUCUUGAAGGUAGCACCUAUGAAGGGUGUCAUGCGUUUUGAGAAGAAAGGAAAGUUAAGUCCUCAUUUUGUUGGACCAUUUGAGAUCUUAGAGAGGGUUGGUGUUGUGGCGUAUCGCUUGGCAUUACCACCAUCUCUCUCUGCAGUUCAUAAUGUUUUCCAUGUUUCGAUGUUGAGGAAGUAUGUGGCCGAUACAUCUCAUGUAGUGGACUAUGAACCCUUGGAGAUUGAUGAGCAUUUGAGCUAUGUAGAACAACCUGUGGAGAUUCUGGCUAGAGAGGUAAAGAUGCUUCGUAAUAGAAGCAUUCCAUUAGUAAAGGUUUUGUGGCAGAAUCAUCGAAUUGAAGAGGCGACAUGGGAGCGAGAAGAAGAGAUGAGGACUCGUUAUCCAGAGUUAUUUCAGGAUUAGAACUUUCGAGGACGAAAGUUUCUUAAGGAGGGAAGAAUGUAAUGCCCAAAGAAAAGGUAAAUAUAUAUAUAUAUAUUUAUAUAUAUUAUUUUAAUAUUAAAAAAAUUUCUUUAUUAUUUUUCUUUUCUUCUUUUUCUUUUUCUUUUCUUUUCUCCCUUCUUCUUCUGCGUGCGCGCCGAUCCUUCCCCUUCUCUCCCGUUCGCAAACCGUCGCCUCCCUUCCCUUCCGUUUUUCUUUCCGCCGCAACCACCACCUCUAUCUUCUUCUUCCCGUCCCGCCGAGCAACCGCAGCCAGCCGCCGAUCCUUUCCUUUCAUUUUCUUCUUCCGCCCGCAGCGCCGCCGCGAAGCAAGACCGCGCCGCUGCCAGUCCAGAUCUGCGGCGCCGUUGCUCUUUCGCCGCUGCCAACCGUCUCAGCCGGUUCUGUCUCUGUCGAAGCCACGGUUCUGCAACCGUCUCCGCCGUCUCUAUCUCCGUCCGCGAGGCAAGUCGCACGCCUCAGUCACGAACAGCCUCGCCGACGCAGGUCACGCCGCAUCGCACGAAGUCGGCUACGUUGCCGAGCUACUCCCGUCCGCGCGUAACUGCUGUUGAACGUCCGAACCGUUCUGCCUUCGUCGAUACCCGCUGUCCCAUUUACGAAUCGCGACCAGUUCGCGUGCAAAAGUGUUUUGCACGAUGUCUUUUGUGUAGAUCCUGCGACAACUUCUAUUUAACGUCGAUUGUCAAAGUCUUGUUACAAGAUAUUGGUAAGGAUGAGAUUGUUCGGUAAUAAGGUCUUACAUUUGUAAAUACAUUAAGAUGUGAUGUUGUUUAAUUGGUUGAAUUGAUCUUUGUUCUUGAAGGCGACAUCGGUGAUUUGGAGUUAGUGUCCUUGAGUUACGCUUAAGCUUUGUUGGAGUUCGAUUCUUUACUCUUGGGGUUUGUUUGUUGAAGUUAGUUCGACUAAGGAAUUUUACAUAAAGAUCCAGGUAAGGGAUUUUCUACUGGACUCAAUUGUGAUUGUGAACUGUAUGUGUGUUGAAUGUAUACUGUGGGCUGACUGAAAAUAUAUAUGAAUGUAUAUGAAUUGAAGUAGACUUGACGUCGAAUGUAUGUCGUGAUUGUCAUGGAAUCUAUAUAUAAAUGUGUGUAUGUGGACAGGACGGAGAUUGUAGAUUGUGUUUGUAUGAGAUUCUCGUUUAGAUUGGGUGUAUGAUUACGCUAAAGUAUGACUGUGUGCUGGUGAACUGAGGGGUGCAUUGACUGUAUAGUGGAUUGACUGAUGUAUUAGCAUAUUAUUGACAGACAUAUGACUGUAGUAAAAUAAGUUGACUGUUAGGAUGUUGAAAGAAAGAACUUUGUGACUUGAAGUAACUGAAAGAUGGGUUGAAUGGAAUGAGGGGAUAAAUUGUUAGAUUGUAUUGGGAUGUUUACCUUGUAGGUGUCCCACGGGAUCACCAAUUUAUUGUGCACCUUCGGAGCAUUUGACUGAUAUGUGUUUCUGCAGAACACUAGACUGAUAUGUACGUCCCUCGGGGCGUUAGACUGAUAUGUACGUCCCUCGGGGCGUUAGACUGAGAUGUGUAUCCUACGGGAUCACAAACUGCGACUGUACAGGGUGUCCCAAUAGAACUUUAACAAUUUAUUUUCCUCUGACGAGACCAGUAGAGGGUCUCUUACUGAGUAUUUAAAAUACUCACCCUUCUUAUGUUUAAUUUUCAGGCAAAGGUAAUAAAGGCGGCAAACAGGCGAGGGGCAGGAAGGAAGCGUGAUGCCAUAGGAAACGUGUUUUUGCUUCCGCUUAUGGGUUCUUGUGAGGUUUAAAAUGAAUUGAAAUUUAGUUUACAAACGUUUGUUGUAAAUAGUACUAUUUUAUGUUUUCUUGAAUGUUUAAAAAUCAAGCCUGACUUGAAGAUGUUUUUUUUUAUUUGUUUACGUUUUGUUUUAUAUUAAUCAAAGUCUUUAUUUGUUAAAAAAAUUAACGAUCUCGACUUACUUAGAAAAGUUGGGUCGUUACAGAUAAUCUCGUGUGAACAGGAGUUCAUAGUUAACUGAGGAUUAAGGCUAAGUUACCUAGGUCAUCAAUAAUUGAGAUAGUCAGUUUUAAGCAGUAAACGGUGUUAUAACGUAAAAAAGACUAAUUCAUGGUUCAGUCUUAUGUAAACACUUUACAUAGGAUGCCCCCACUUUCAUGUCUCUACAUGAACGAUUAGGAUCACCUCGUUUGUACUACAAAGUGGGCCGCAUCCAUAGUUUCUCUAAAUAAGGCGCCCAACCUUUAUUUCAUAUACUAUAGACUAUUUAGGCUAUAUACUCGAACUUGAUCCACGUUUAUGUUUACACAUAAAGUUCAAGUUUAUUCAAAAAUAGCCUUGGAACUUGAUUUAUUGGAUUUAAGAUUAUAAUAUUUAAUUUCUCAAUAACAACUUUAUUGAAGAGAAUAUGAUUACAAACUACGAGUUUUAGGACAAAAAUUCCAACAACAAGCACGUAUACGAAUUCUAGACAUGGGUCAAUAAAUCAUAGACAUGGUGACGUGUCAUUUUUUUCUAAAAAAUAUAGGAUAGUGCUAGAACACAGUUUUAAUAUAUAUAAUUUAAAAAGUAUGUAUCAUAUUUAUAUAGAAAUUCAAAGUCAAUAAGUUUAUGUAUUUAUAUGCUUAAAAAUAAGCUUGUCCUUCACUCAAAACUUAUUCAAAGCCAAGAGUUUAAUAUGUGUGUGUGACCAAUCUUGACCUUUAUUGCAUUGGAAUACUUGUUGUCUAACACAUCUACUGUACUAACUAGUGUUCAACACGUGUUCUCCGAGUGUUCCAUACAUAUUGUUUAUUGAUACACUAGCCAAACUUGAGUGUAUGUGCUUCUUAAGUCUCUAAUAUUUAUGUUUGUUUUGAUCCUAGGAAUUGAGCAUGUAAUGUAAAAAGUCUAUGCACAAGGGUCAUAUGGCCAUCUCCGUGUUUCUUUAAUUAUCAAAUUUGUUCAAGUUUUUAAUUGUCUCUAGAUCGAAAUCUGGAGUUAUUUUUUGUGAUUUGGUGUACAAAUACAUACAUCCAUGUUUCUAAUUAUGAUUAGAUUGUUUUCUGGUCGCAACAUUUUAUUGUUUCUAAUUAUGAUAGGGUGAAUUCUUGCAAUUUCCUUGUAGUAUAUACAUAAUUUUUUCUCUCAUUUGGCAAAUUCAUUAUGCUUGAAAAUUUAGGUGAUUCAUGAGCUAGAUAAAGUAAACAACGUAUGGUAGACGAUCUUUGUGGCUUGUGAGGAAGACGUGGAGGAAGCCUUGGUGGCCGUAGAAAAAGGGAUAUGGACUUUCAACGUUGAAUGGCUAAUGGCAUGUAUAAUGAGACAAGAAGUAGACUUGGAGGCCCUUCAAUUUGCUGAGUCCCUGUGAGAAACAAGGUCACCCUAACUUUCAGUUUUGAACAAGCAACAGCCAGCCAUUUCGUCCUUGUGUAUCCACUCUUUUCUCAACUCACUCUAAUUUGGUACAUAAACAAACUCUGAUCGCUCCAUCUCUAUAUUCAUCAGUACAUAAAAGACGAUAAGUUUAUUCAUGGAGAAAGUUGGAUGUAAGUAUGUUUUAGGAAUGGUCCUUCAUUUAGUAACUUUGGGAAUUGUAAAAAUGAGGUUAUGAAGUUUUAUCAAGUUGAAUGUUCUUGUUUAUGUUAGAUGAGACUGAUUCUUGGAUACCAGAAUUAACUUAAAGUACGUGUUUGAGUUCCAUUGGAGUGAUUAGAGAAAAAAUGUUCCUUUAAAAAGGGUAAUUUUUUUAUGUAGACUUUCUUUUUAUUAAAAUUGCUUAAAAUACAAUUUGAGAGUAUUUCAAUAGCUUUUAAAGAGUUGUCAAACACUUGUAGUUUUUCUAAAAUAACAUAUUUUCAAAAUUAAUUACUGUAAUAGUUAAACAAAAGAUUCUUUCCCUUAGAACUUUUAAAGUUUGUUUAGUUACCCUUAAACCUUUCAAUUGUUUAAUAGGUCUUUCAAUUUUAUGUUUUAAGUGUCUAUAAGUUUUGAUUUUUUUUAUUUGUUAGAUAUAAAUCUGAAGAAAUGAAUAAAGUAGAUUUGUAAGUUUAAAAUAGUUUAAAAGUUGAGAAAUUAAAUUUGUAGUUUAAAAAGUUGGAGUAAAUAGUUUGUGUUAAGUCGGGUUGUGAUAUUUUAUUUAUUUAUUUUAAUAAUAGAAGAGAGGGAGACGAAAACUGCAACUGAAGGGAGAAGAAGCGGUGGCUGACUUUGUAUAUUUCUCCUUUCUUUUCAAAUUGAGAAAAUUUCUUUGCAAUUCACUUUGAAAAGGAAAUGAAUAUUUCUCCCUCAGACUUAUCUCUCUCUUCUUUUCAAUUUAUUUUCAAUUUUUCUGUGUGCUUCUCACAGUGUAUGCAUAAUCUCUCUUUCAUUUUGAUCUUCAUCUCCAUUUCAAAUAUCUCCCACACAAAGAACAAAGAAAUGAGUAAAGUAACUGAGAGAGCAUUUUGUUUUUCCCUUCAUAUGGUUGGUUACUUUUUGUCAAUUAAAUGAAAAGUGAAGAAUAAGAUAAGAUUUUCUUUACCCAUUUGCCAUCAUCAUCAAAGCUAUUUACCUCAUUUUUGUUCACACACACACAACUUCAUUUUGUUGGAUUACACUCAUUUGAGAAAAUAGCAAAAUUUUAUUAGAAGAAUAGCAAACAUGAGCAUUUCACGUGUUUUGAAUUUUCAUUAACCCUAAAAUCUCCUCGCCUGCUUUUUAGUUAAACUGUAACUAAUUUUGAAAUAUGCAAAAUUUUAGCAUAAAUAUUGAUUUUCUCCUACAUUAUCUUAACACACUUUUUUUUCUCCAAAUAUUGGAUUUGUAUCAAAUCUUUAUUUUCAAAUUUUACUUUAUCCAAAUUUUCAUUUUUCAAAAUUUCAUCGUUAUUCUACUUUUAUUUUUUUAUUUCAUAUAUAUAUAUUUAUAAUAUUUAAUCUUAUUUUUUCUCUUUUCCUAUUCAUCUUCUUCCUUUCUCAUCUUCAACCUACGGCCACACCACCAUCUCUUUUCUUCCUUCUCUUUUCCUUCUCCAAUCAACUUCACCACCGUCUUCCACCUACACCGAACGUCAAGCAAAUUUUGUCCUAUCGUCGCAUCACCGUUAGCCCGAGUCACUCCGGUUCUGUCACGCCAUGUAUGUUUAGAUCUGAAUUGUUCGGUUAUUUGUUGCACCGAUCCGUCUCCGUUAGAAUUUGAUUCUCCACAAUUUGGGUAAGUUAUGGAAUUUACAUAUAGAGUGAAUUGAAUGGAUUAAAUUGUUUGUGGAAGUGAUUGAUUUCUCUUCAAUUAUGUUUAGGUCGGUUCGUUGCACUUUAGUUUGAAAAAGAAGCUUAAGUAAGGUGAUAAGGUAAGGGAUUCUCUACUACUGGACUCACUAUAGUUUUGAAUUGUGCUGUCUGUAUAGUUACCUCCGAUUGAGUAAAGAUGUCGAAACGAUAUAUACACGUAUGGAUGUAGACUUGGUGUUGAAUGUAUACUGUGAAUGACUGAAAAAAUAUAUAUACAUGGAUUGAUGUAGACUUGAUGUUGAAUGCAUAUUGUGAUUGUCUGGGAAUAUAUAUAUAUAUAUAUGUAUGGAUGUAGACAGGACGACAAUUGUAGAUUGUGUUUGUAUGGAAUGUGGAUGUGAACUUGUGAUUGUCGUUUAGAUUGGGUGUAUGUUAUACUAAAGUAUGGUUGUGUACUGGUGAAUUGAGGGGUGUUAUGACUAUAUAGUUUGAUUGACUGAUGUAUUGAUAUGUUACUGGCGGACAUUGGGCUAAAGUGAGAUAGGUUGACUAUUAGGGUGUUAAGUGAAAGGAUUAUAUGUUGAAGUAGCUGGAUGUACUAUGAAUGAGUGUUAAGAUGUUUAGAAUGGAUUGAGGGGAAAAUUGUUAGAUUUCUAUUGGGUAGUUACCUUGCAGGUGUCCUACGGGAUCACCACCUGAUAUGUGCAUCCUUCGAUAGCACUAGACUGAUAUGUGCAUCCUUCGGGAGCAUUAGACUGAUAUGUGUUUCUGCGAACACUAGACUGAUUUAUGCGUCCUUUGAGGCGUUAGACUGAUUAUGUGUAUCCUACGGGAUCACAAGAUUGUGACUGUGCAGGGUACCCCAAUAGGAAGUUAACAGUUACUUUUUCCCCUAACGGGACCAAUAGCGAGUCUCUUAUUGGGUAUGUUUAUACCAUCCUUUCAUGUUUAACUAUUUCAGGCAAAGGUAACAAAGGAGGUAGACCGACGAGGGACAAAAGGAGACGUGAUUGCCAUAAGGGAAUGUCCUUCAAAUGCUUCCGCUUUAUGUUUCUUGUUUUUCCUUUGUACAUGAGGUUGUUUAAAAAUUUUGUGAUGGAACUGAGUUUACGAACUGUUGUUUUGUAAAUAGUACUUUUAAAGUUUUGGUUAUUUGAAAUAGGACCCGAACUUAAGUUUGUUUUCUUUGAUCGUAUGAUUUCAAGUGAAUUUUACUAUAUUUUGUGUCAAUCAAGGUCUCUUUGUCAAAAUUAAUGACUUCAACUUAGUUAGAAAAGUUGGGUCGUUACAACAAAUUUUAAGUAUUAAUGUAAGAAUUAUGUACUUCAUUAUAAAGAUCGAUAGUUUAAAGUUUUUGACGAUAAUUUACAUGGAAUUACAGAUCAGUUACCACUAUCAAUAGAAUCACUUACAAAUAUUAACACGAUCGUGUACCGAUAACAAGACGAUUGUUUACACUAUUCAAUACGAUCACCAAUAUCAUAUGAUCGUGUACCCAUGUCAACACGAUAAUUUAUUUUAAUCAAUAUUAUCAUUUACCGUUGUUAAAUGGUCGUUUAUCACGGUUAAUAGGAUCGUUUAAUGUAUAUUAUUUCAUUGCACGAUCGUUUACUUAUUCUUGCAUUGUGUUUAUAUUAUCAUUUUGUACAUUUUAUUCUUUUAUUCAGUAAUAAAUGUAUAUCUAUGUCUAUCUAUUUCUUUCUAUCACAAUUAAAUACUUAAUUUUUUUUUUUACAGAUUAUAAUGUCUUUUCCUAUUGUUGUUUUUUAUUGAGGUCAAUGGAAUGGAUGUAAUAUUUAUGAGAAUUACUUAGUUGCUGAAAUUUUGGUAGAUGUCCGAGUCAGCUUUAAUUCUCUAGUUGAUUUAAUAUGUGAACAGAUUCAAUUGGAUGGAUAAGUAGAAUUAUCUGUUUUACUUGAUUUUGGUAAAAGCAAGGUCCAACUGUGGUGCCAGUAAAGAAAGACAAUGAUGUGGCUUGGUAUUUAUCUUUUGCUAAAGAUGCAACUAAUAUACAUCCAUUAGUUGCUCAUGUAACUGUUGAUUUUUUUAGAAGGUCUUCUUCUUCUUAGAGAACUACCUGUAGCUACCAUGCUUAGUUCAAUUAGAGAUGUAUUGCAAAAGUGGUUUGAUGAAAGAAGUAAAGCUACUUUUACAAUGAAGAGUUGUUUGACUUCUUGGGCUGAGAACGUGUUGCAUUUAGAAUAACAAUGAAAAGUCAAGAAUUUUAUUUGUAGAGGUUUUUUUUUUUUUUUUUUUAAUGUUUGUAUCUCAGGUAGAUAUAAAUAGACUGCUAUUUUUGUCCAUCCGAUAGAGAAAUAUAACAAUUUAUGUGUGCUUGUUUCAGAUAGAUAGAGAUAGAUAGCUAUCAAUGUCUAUUUGUCUCUAUUUGUGCAUGUUUUUUUUUUUUUUAAUUUUUCUAUAUUUGUUUUAUGUAUUAGGUUGAUCCAAUUAGUAUGACUGAAUACAAAGUAAUGGAUGAUACAAAAUGAUAAUGUAAUUUAUUUAUAUUAGUUCUAAUUUGAAAUAUUCAAAUUUACUUUGGAAAUUAGUAAUAAUUAGUAUAAUAUAUAGUGAUACAUUAUAAUAUAAAGUUUAUAUGUUAUUGAAACUUUAUUAUAAUAAAUUUAAUUUUAGAUAAAGUUCAAAAUUAAUUUAUGAGAGAUAAAAUAUUUGAAUGAGUUCAAAUAUUAAUUUAAUGUGGAUUUGUUUCAUAUUAAAAAUUAUUAAUUAUGAGAAUAAAGUUAUAUUUGAAUAUGAUUCAAAUUUAACUGAAUUUAACUUAAGUUAAAUAUAAAAUAUUUAAUUUAGUUAUUAAUUAAUAGUUUAGUUUAAUAUUAUUUAAUUAAAUUUGAUUUAAUUAAAUUAAUAUAAAACUAUAAGGUAUUGGAGAGAUAUUCAUUCAAUAAGAUUUAAAUGAAAUAUUAAUUUAAUUAAUUAUAAACUAAUUGAUUAAUGGUUAAUUAGUCAGUUAUUGAAAAACUUCUAUUAAUUUAAUAUUUUUUAAGUUAAUAGAAUCCUUUGAUUUUCUCCUACCCCGUCUUCUACUCAAUGAAAGAAAGAGAGUUAUAAAUAUGUAGAAGAAAAACAGCUUUUCUUAACCAAAAUAAAAUUGUUAUUUUCUGCAAAAUAGAUUGUAACGACCUAAUUUUUCGAAUUAAGCUGAAGUUAUUACUUUAAGACUAUAUUCGUCCUUUAACCAUAAAGACUUUAUAAUUUAAAAAAAUAUAUUUUUUAACAACAUUAAAGAGUUUUUAUUCGGGCUCUAUUUCAAAUAAAAUUUUGAAAGUGUAAAAGUAUCGAUAAUAAAGAAAGUUCAAGAACAUAAAAGUCGUUCAAUCAUGAAACCCAAAACAGUGUACUAAAGAAAACCAAAAUAAAAAAAAAAUAUAAUAGAAGCAAUUUGAAGGACAUUUCCCUAUGGCAGUUUCACGGAAAAAGAUUAAACAUAAAAGAGUGAGUAUAAACAUACCCAGUAAUAGACCCACUACUGAUCCUAUUAGAAGAAAAAUAAAAUUGUUAACUUCCUAUUGGAGGUGCCCUGCACUUUAAAAGUCUUGUGAUCAUGUAGAAAUACACAUAAUCAGUCCAAUGCCCUAAAGGACAAAAAUAUUAGUCUAGUGCUCUGCAGAAAGCACAUAUCAGUCUAGUGCUCUCGAACAAUGCACACGUCAGUCUAUUGCUCUCGAAGAAUGCACAUGUCAUUCAAGUGCUCUCGAAGAAUGCACAACAGGUGGUGAUCCCGUAGGACACCUGCAAGGCACACUACCCAAUCGACAAAGCUAACAAUUUUCCCUUAGUUCGUUAUAAACAUUUAAUCAAUCCAUUCCUAGUAUAGUCAAACUACUCCAUCAUAUCAUCAAUCCAACUUAACACACUUACGUUCAAUCUAUUCAAUCUAUCACAAAAUCAGUUGAUACUAUAACAACACACCAGACAGUCAAGAUAUAUAUAUAUACAUAACACCUUUCUCAGUUUACAAAAUACAUUAUCCAUCGUAUCUACUUCUAUACCAGUCUGGCAUAAUAUACAUUUGUCAUCAUAUCUACUUCUACAUAUAUUGGUAAACCAUACUAAGUCCAGAGAUCCAAACAGUCAACACAUUUCAAAACUUUCAAAGAGUCCAGUAAUAGAAACCCUUACUUUAAUGUUACUCAAAUUUCUCGAACGAAGGAAACCUAAUAAGAAUAUGGAACUCAAUUACUUUCACAAUACUUUCUUUCAUUUAAUUUCCUCAACGUAAAUUCUAGCUUACCAAAGUAUGGCGAAUCGAACUCCAACAAAUUCUACAAUUUAGUUGUGAAUCCAAAGAACUCAAACGCUACCUUCAAGAAUCAAUUAACAAUUUAACUAAUUAUCCCCUUACUUUUUCUUUUCUCUCUUCUCCUUCCUCCCCGUGCGCCCUUCCCCUUCUCCCCGUCCGCAGCCCAGUAACCGCAGACCUUCAUUCCUCUUCUUCUUCCGUUCACAGCAGCCGUCGGCCGCCACAUGACCGCUGCCCAGUCCAGAUCUGCGUCGCAGCCCAGCAACCGCCGCCCCUAUUUCCUUCUUCCGCCGUGCGCCGCGACUCCCACCGAUCCUUUCCCUUCCGUUUUCUUCCCGCCGCAGCCCAGCCGCAGCCAACCGCCGAUCCUUUCCCUUCUGUUUUCUUCCCGCCGCAGCCAGCCGCCGAUCCUUUCUCUUCCGUUUUCUUCCCGCCGCAGUCCAGCCGCAGCCCGCGCGCCGAUCUGCCGUCUCCAUCUCCGGUUCGCGAAGCAACCUUGCAGCAGUCGUCCCGCGCGCCGAUCUGCCGUCUCCAUCGCCGAUUCUGUCUCCGUCGAAGCCAAGGCCGCCGCGUGAACCAGUAACCGCCACGCUCCCCGCUCACAACCACCGCUCCACCUGCUAUCGACGUCGGCCGACUAGUUGCUGUAACCGUUCAGAUUUGCUGUCUGUUCGCGACGGUUUCCAUCCGUGAAGCCCAGCCGCCACGUCUCAUUNNNNNNNNNNNNNNNNNNNNNNNNNNNNNNNNNNNNNNNNNNNNNNNNNNNNNNNNNNNNNNNNNNNNNNNNNNNNNNNNNNNNNNNNNNNNNNNNNNNNNNNNNNNNNNNNNNNNNNNNNNNNNNNNNNNNNNNNNNNNNNNNNNNNNNNNNNNNNNNNNNNNNNNNNNNNNNNNNNNNNNNNNNNNNNNNNNNNNNNNNNNNNNNNNNNNNNNNNNNNNNNNNNNNNNNNNNNNNNNNNNNNNNNNNNNNNNNNNNNNNNNNNNNNNNNNNNNNNNNNNNNNNNNNNNNNNNNNNNNNNNNNNNNNNNNNNNNNNNNNNNNNNNNNNNNNNNNNNNNNNNNNNNNNNNNNNNNNNNNNNNNNNNNNNNNNNNNNNNNNNNNNNNNNNNNNNNNNNNNNNNNNNNNNNNNNNNNNNNNNNNNNNNNNNNNNNNNNNNNNNNNNNNNNNNNNNNNNNNNNNNNNNNNNNNNNNNNNNNNNNNNNNNNNNNNNNNNNNNNNGAUGAAAGCAGUAAAGAGAAGAACAGAGAUUAUCGUGGAGACGCCGUCGUCAUUGGUGGAUCCUACUAUCUCCUGCGAUUUCUCGGCGGCCAGCAGUGCGGCGGAAUCUGAGGGUAAAGUUUGUUGAGAUGUGGCGGCAUGGAUCCUCGAAAUUGAGAGUUGUUUUUGACGAUUUUGGCGGAGAGGAUUGAGAAGGGGAAGUGUUGGGCGGGAAAAGAGAGCGGUGGAGAAAGGGAACGGGGGGAUGAGGAAGAACGGAGAGUAGGAAGAAGGUUGGAAGAGGAGAGGGAAAUUGGUAGAGAUAGAGAAAUGAAUGUAGUGGAAGCCAUGGCUCAUCCGCUUUACCUUUCUCUCUCACUGAUUCAGUAGCAAACGCAUCCUCGCUGUCCAGAUCCACGACGUCGUUUCGUCGUCGUGAAGGCUCUAUAAAGCCUUCUCAAUCUCUUCCCUUCCAAAUUUCGAACAUUGUUUUAAACAAUAAAAUUAAAAAACAAAAUAAAACAAAAUUUUAAUUUGUCAUAGAAAAUUAUAGUCCAAUUUUAAUAAAGAAAAAUUACAUGACAGAUAUGAAAAGUAAUUACUUAUAUUAUAGGGCUAUAAAAAAGAAUGGUUACGAUGACUCUAUCCUCCUAAGUUUUAUUUUUUCUACUUUUACAAAUGUUGCUAAAUAAUUUUCCUUUUUUUUUUUACCAUAUUUAUAACUAAUUUAACUCAUUUUGUUAUAUCUAACAUAGAAUCCACCUAUCAUUUACACAUGGAGUAUUGAAUUAUUGUACAUCUUCAUAUCGUUACCAUUCCUUUAUAUUCUCACUUUUCUUAUUCGCGGUUUCUUGUUCUCUUCCUCCAGAAUUUAUUCCUUCUUCAUUAUCUCUCAUUUUUUUUUCAAUGCAUACCAAAAUCUAAAUGAUCACUAUUAUUUAUAUUCCAAAUAAAUAAGUGAUAGAUCUUAAAGAUCGUCACCAAGAUAUAAACGAUUGUUUACUAAUACCAAUACCUACCAAGAUCAUUUAGAUUUUGUACAAUAUCUAUCUUGUACCAAUAUCUAAAUAAUUAAUUGUUUAUCCAAGAUAGAUAGAGAUAGACCACUAUCAUUGUCUAUUUCAGUUAGAUAAUGAUAGACUCAAACGAUUGUUUAGAUAAACAAUGUGAAUCAAUAUCUAAAUGAUAUUUUAGAUUAUAUUAUACGAGUGUCUUAUUUUUGUUGUGUGAGUUUUUAACUUGUUUUAAAAUUGUUGUAUGUAAAUUUUUUUGCGUUUUUGUUAUAUUUUUUAAAAAACUUAAAUUUAAAAAGGAUUUAUAAUAAUAAAAUAAUAAUAAUAAUUCAAGCUGUGGUUAAACUAACAUUUUGGUUUGCAUGGUCUGAAGUUGUGUAAAUGACUAAUUUUAGUUGUAAGAUUUAUUUACAAUAAUGGAAAAUAUAAAGAUUAAAAUGGAAGGUCCAGAAAAUAUUAUAAUCCAAAAUAAUGAAUUAUAAUCCAAAAAAAGUAUGGUUGGGGUUGAUUAAAAUUGAUAUUGAAAAAUGUUAAUUGUUUUAAUUGAGAUAGAUUAUGAUGAAAUCGGAGUACAAGAGUGGUGUGUGUGUGUUGCGGCCAUUGAAUAUGAAUCUUUAUGUUUUAUUUGCGUAUCAAAGAGGUACUAAGAUUUGGAAGAUGAUUGAAUAUGAUUAUGUUGAUAAGAAUGCAUUGGAUGAUAUUGAGUUCCUCGCGUCAUGUGGGAGGAUUAGAACAAGAUACUCGGAUUUAAUUGUCCACCCAGCAGAUGUGAGUCAUCUUCCCGGUCAAUUUGGCAUCCAUCAAAGAGCGAAAAGGUUUGGUAGUGGCCCGAUAUGAAUGAUGCCGAAUUGGGCCAGUUUCCAAAAAAUAGUGACGACCCAAUAACGUUUGAAGAAAAUGACCAUAAUAGCCUUGAAAAUAUAGUUGAGCAUGCUCCUCAACCAAUGCAAAGGCAGAACAUAAAGUGCCAGCUCCAGGUGUCAGUUGAUCAGGCGAUCACCUCCCAUUGUAAUCUCUUAACACGGAAUCAGGAACGGCUAGGAUCCACUAAGACCACGUCUCUACCACUGGUAGCGAGUACAGUGUAGUACUAAAUUCUAGCAAGUAGACUUAGAUAAUGAAAAGAGAGCGAUAUUUCAGCGUACCAAAAAUAUCUUGCCGAAUUGCCACUAUCCGAGUCCCUAGUCCCGAUUCCCGAUUCCCAACCUUCUCCUUCCUAUGAGACAUUGUUCCCGUUUUCUCUGAUCUUCCAAACACAUUCUUCGAAACGAAAAAUCUUACCACGGAUCGAACCAACCUUACUUUUUGAAUCCAAGAUUCCAAUAAGCUACUCUAAUAACACUCGAUUUGGUUGAGGAAUCGAAGAACAAGAAUCAAUUUCUUAUGGAGAAGAAGAAGAGGGAAUUCCAAUUCGGCGGUGGUAAUGGUUGUAGAAAUGAGGAUGAAAGAGUUCUUCUAUGGGAGGAUGGGCUGCCGGAUGUUGAGAAAUUAACCCCUCUUUCUCAAUCGUUAAUAUCGCAGGAACUCGCUUCCGCGUUUAGGAUUUUGAUGGAACCUCAUCGGAGUAUAUUAGAUGUUAAUUCGGCAUCGAAGAUGACGAUAUUGAAUAUUCGUGAUGGACAGUCAGAAGGAUACAGGAGUUUUGAGUUUAAGUACGAUCAGACGCGGAGGGAAGACGUUGUGAUGGUUGAAUCAGACGAGGGGAUAAAUCCAGAUGAUUUGGGAUCUGAUUCGCGGAAAUUGAGGAGGGUUGAUUGUGUUGAGGAGACGAAUUUAGCACCUCGAGCGGAGAGUUUGAUUGAGGAUGCAGCAUUGGCUCGAACCUUGAAGCGACCUAGGCUCGCGUGGACUCCACAAUUACACAAACGGUUCGUGGAUGUGGUUUCUCACCUAGGGCUUAAAGACGCAGCUCCCAAAGCUAUUAUGCAAAUGAUGAAUGUGGAGGGAUUGACUCGUGAAAAUGUUGCUAGUCAUCUUCAGAAGUAUCGACUUUACUUGAAGAGGACGCAGAUUUCUUCAACAACUGAUGAAGCUCUUGUUCCGAUGCCCGUAACGCAGAAUGCUCACGAUUCUUCUCCCGGUGCCGCCGAUUCACACGGAAACGACUAUUUUCCGGCUACUUUUCCAGUGACUUAUAUGCCAUCUCCGAUGAUGCCUAUGAUGUUUUAUGGUAUGGGAGCUCACGGCCAUGGUCUUAGUCAAACCGCCAUGCCAAUGGUUAACCUAACCAAUGUACCUACUCAUUCGUGUAGCACGAAAGGGCAGCAUGAUUUAUAGAAUUGACAACUGACAAGUAGGGUUCGAUUUGGAUUUGGCCUUUUAUUGUGUUCUUAAUCCAAACUCGAAAUGAUAAAUGAAGUUAGAGAAGAUUUCAUCUGGAUCUUGAAUGGAGCAUUCUUUUAACUCUCUCCUUUUCUCUUUCUCUCUAUCUUUUUGGCUGGAAUUACAAAGUGAAGCAUUAGUAAUUAGAAUCUUGAAUGAAAAUUUUGAGUACAUUAGAUUUUGUUUAUUGGGUUAUCUCUAAUGAAUGAAAUUCUGUUGAGAGAAUCAUUUUGACAACCCCCUGAAACAACUGGAAGAACUUGGCAGCUUGCAGCCAUUAUAGAUAUUUUUUUUUCAUCUUUGUUGUUUUGAAGAAAGGUUUUGCUAAGCUGUCUCUAUCCAACUGCACCCAGGAAAUUUCUUCAUCUUUCUCUUCUUCAUCAUCUUCUUCAGCUUCACAACAUGUCCCCAACUCCCUGCAUUAGCAUAUAUAUCAGACAAUAACAAACUGUUCCCAACACUUCCAGGUUCCAAUUCUGAUAAAUGUUUGGCUGCUUCCUCAGCUAGUUCUAUUUCUCCAUGCUUCCUACAAGCACCUAACAAAGCUCCCCAUACGUAUAAAUCAGGCUUGACUGGCAUUGUCUUGAUCAAAUCAUAAGCCUCGGCCAACUUCCCUGCUCGACCGAACACGUCAACCAUACAGGCAUAAUGCUCGACUCUAGGAACAAUACCAUAUUUACUUUGCAUCAACUGGAACAAACUUCUUCCCAAAUCAACCAGCCCAGCAUGAGCACAAGCAGUAAGAAUUGCUGUAAAUGUUAGAUGAUCAAGUUUCUUCUCAUCAUCGUCCUUCAUUUGAUGGAAAAGCUCUAUUGCUUCAUUGCAAUAUCCAUGAUUUGCAUACCCAAAAAUCAUGGAGUUCCAAGUAGCUGAAUUCCUUUCAGACAUCCUCCAAAAUAAUAUCUUUGCUUCAUAAAAAUAUCCACAUUUUGCAUACAUAUCAACCAAUGCAGUCCUCACAUACACAUCCUUUUCAACUCCAAGAGCCAGAGAAUGUCCAUGGAUUUCCUUCCCGCAUCGCCCGUUUCCAACCGAUGCACAAGCAGGCAAGAGACUACUGAUUGUAGCAGAAGUUGGAUGAAACCCAGCAUUCAACAUCCUUCUAAAUGUAUCAAAAGCCUCCUCAUUUCUAAAGUUUUGUACAAACCCAGAUAUCACAGAUGUCCAAGAUACUACAUCUGGUUCUAUCCCAUUGGCUUCCAUCUCUUUGAAAAGCUCACGAACCAUUUCUUCCUCACCAAUCUGAGAAAAACCUGUAACCAAAGUGUUCCAAGUCACCAGGUUGGGUUUUAUACCCAAUACUUGCAUCUCCUCCACCAGAUUCAAAGCUUCCUCAGCUAAUCCAUGGUGGGCAUACCCUGAAACCAUCGCAUUCAAUGCCACCAAAUCCUUCCCAGCCAUUGAUUCAAACACUCGCCGAGCUUUCUCAACCUCUCCACUUUUCGCAUACAUAUCUAUCAACGCACUGCAGACAUAAGCAUCAGAUUCAAGGGAGUUUUUGAGGAUUAAGGUAUGGAGUUUUCUCCCAGUAGUUUUCUCGGAGAGAUGACCACAAGCUUUCAAGACACUGGGAAUGAUGUACUCGCUAGGUCUUAAUCCUCCUCUCUGCAGCUCACAAAAUACACUCAAAGCUUCUGGGUAAUACCCACAACGAGAAUAAGCCCCAAUCAAAACAAUCCACCGGCGAGGAUUUGUUCGGGGAAUUUUGUCGAACAAUAUCCGUGCAUCCUUGAUUUUGCCACAUGCGGCGUAGAAGGCUAUGAACUUCGCAGCAAAAUGUGUCAAACGGGCUGAUCCAUCGAUGAUCAAUCGAGCAUGAAGUGACCUCCCGAAGUUCAAAUCUCGAUUGCGUCCACACGUCUCGAUGAGUUCAAUAUAUCCAUCGGACGAGGAACAAAACCCACGAAGGAUGGCCGGAAAUCUGUUUGGAGCUCGAAGAAAUACAGCGCCGCCGGUAAGAGAGAGCAUCCCAAAUUCCCGGUGGAAGAAGAAGAAGUGGGAUUUAUGAAGUUACGGUAAAUGAGUAAUUUUGUAUAGAAAAACUAUUUAAUCCAACGCAAAAAAGUGACACGGCAUCGCAUGAAGAGAAAGAAAGACAAAACCAAAUCCGAAAGCCAAAUGCCUCAAUAGGAACCUCAAAGUAAAAUGAGAAGAGAAACAAACCGAGAGAGAGAAUUGAGUCGCCGAUUAGUUCUCGAACAUGCUCGAAUUGGCUAUACCGCAAAAUUUCCCUUACAUUAUCUCUGACGCCAUUUCAAGAUCUGUUUCUUAUCCUUAUAUUUUCUUUUGUCGAAAUCAACUAAAAUCUUCAAUAUCCAAUCGCCGGUUCUUCAGUUACCCGCUGUUGGCACCUCAGAGCUUUGAAUCAAGUUACUUGACGUAUCGUAGGAAGAGCUUUGUGACGCUUGUGAAAGCGAGUCGGAGAGAGUCACCGUACGAAGUGCUUGGUGUUUCUCCAACCGCAACUCCAAAUGAAAUCAAAAGGGCUUAUCGGAAACUGGCUCUGAAGUAUCAUCCCGAUGUUAAUAAAGAGGUAAUCGGGGAAUUUCUGCCCUAUUUCUUAAUUUGCUUUUCUGGGUCUCUUUUGUAAUCUGGUUGGAGUUUGGAAGUUAAGUUUCUUGAUAAACUAAUCUACGUAGGGAAUUGCAGGAGAAAGUUUCAAGCUACUGAGAUAGGGAUUUCUGUUUUUUAAAAAAAUGAUCAAUAAGUUGUGGAAUCUGAUCUACUAUCUUUAGUUUGUGGGGAAAGUCUAAUUAACUAAGAUGAUUCAAUGAUUUUUUUUACCUCGCAUUUAGCGAACUCAGUUCUUGUUAUUUUAGAACUUAAAGAUACUGUUGUACAACCUGUAGAACAUAUCUGUUCAAGUAUGGUCGUAACUCGGUUCUUUUUCCUCCAUGCUUGUUAUCUUAAAACGAGUGCAACUUCAAAUUUUCUAUUGUUUCCAAAAGAUGGAAAUUGGUCCACGAAGAGACUAAUUAAUAAAGUCUAUAAAAGUACCCAUUUAACUUGGAAGGAAGACAGACUCGGUGGUACAGAUUCCAAGCUCGCACGUCUAGUCUAGUCGGGUUAUGCUUCUGUUAUAUAUAUAUAUUUAAUGUAGUGGAUGUUUUAGCUUUGACAGACAUCUCUAUCU